rnacentral:lncRNA from 1 species
CGGUUGAAAGUUAAACUCCACCAACGAGCUUUAUUUGAAUUUUGGUUCUUUAUUUUUAAAAAUUAAUAUUUAUAAACCCUAUUUUCACCUCUAAUUUUCUUCCUAACUCGUUUCUAAAAAAUCUAAACCACUCAAAAACCAAAAAAAUAGUUUUAAAGUAUGUCUGAAAACUUUUUAGUUCUUUUGUUUUUGGUCCUCGAACAAUGGAUUUGUUCUUUUAACAACUUCCCUGUCAUACUAUUUAUCAAGAAAGACCAAAUUUUCUUAGUAAAUUUUCAAAUUGCAAAAACUAUCUUUCUUUACUUUUCAAAAUUUAGUCUUGGUUUUUAGAAUUGCAAAUUGCAAAAACUUUCUCUACCUUUCAAAACUUAGUAUUGGAUUUUAGAAUUAAUGAUAAAAGGUGGAUAACUAAAUAAAAAAACCAAUAGAUGAAAAGUAGAGAGUUUGUAAACUUAAUUUUUAAAAAGCAAAUUGCUAUCAAAUAGCUUUAGUAGUCAACUUUCAUCCCAGAAAAAGACUAGUGAGGUUCAAAUUAACUUAAUAAACUAUCACUAGCGAGGGUCUGGAAGAUCGAGAUAAUUAACUAAGGCAAGGCAAAACAUUUCGUGCAUGAUCAGGAACACAAAACAAUUGUUAAUUAUACCAUUAGAUGAGAAUCAGAGAGGUAUAUACGAACCUCAGACAGUCAGAAAUGGAAUGAAUAGCAGCUUUGGAUGCAGUAUAAGCACCAGCCCAUGGAAGAGGCGCCAAUACGGUGACACUUCCCAAAUUCACAAUCUUCCCCUUUCUUCGUGAUGCCAUGUGAGGAACCACGGUUUGAAUCAAUCUCAUAGUCCCUGCAAAUGCAAUUCUCCAAUUCAUAAAUACUAAUUUAACAUAAUACAAUAAUCCACUCCUUUCCAUAUUGGAGUGUUCAUGUUCAAAUUUUCCCCACCUCUAACUCUGCUUUCUACAUUUCACAUACCAAACAAACAGCUUUGUUUCUAACCAGUGGCGAAUCAGAAAUUUUAUUGACUAAGGCUUUAUAGACUAUUAAAAAUAAUUUGGAAGAAAAUAUAACUAAUAGGACUUGAACCUGAGUAUAGAGGGACUAAAUAAUUUCAUUGUUCACCAACUUCUUAAAUUGGUACUAUUUCAGUUUUCUAUAUAUAUAUAUUGUAAUAUAAAGAUCUUAAGUUGAUGGAAGAAAAUAUAACUAAUAGGACUUGAACUUGAGUAUAGAGGGACUAAAUAAUUUCAUUGUUCACUAACUUCUUAAAUUGGUACUAUUUCAGUUUUCUAUAUAUAUAUAUUGUAAUAUAAAGAUCUUAAGUUGAUGGGACUCGAGCUCCUGUACCUAUGCUAAAUCCACCCGUGUUUGCCAGGAAUACAAUUAUAUACAGUAGCAGAAGCUGACGAACACAGUAGAGCAGAAGAUAGGAUGAUAAAGUCUUCAGCGUUUAUUUCUAACCGACCACUGGAUCAAAUGUUAAUCACAAAACAAUAUCAAACUCAAAUCAAUUCGAAAUCUAAAUAAGCGGCUCAGUCAAUUCACAGUUUCUAAUCCCUAGAUUCGAUAUCAUUCAAUUCUGAAGGAAGAAAAAUGAAAUGGCGAAUCUGAAUAUUGAAAUACAAUUAAUUUCGCUGAUGGAUAAUUUGUUAGAGACCGAAGCUCACCGAAAACAUUGGUAUUGAAGGCGUUCUGCAUAGCGGAAAGUUGAACCUCGGCAAUAGGUCCAAUACAUUGAACGCCAGCGUUGUUCACCAAAAUAUCGAUUCGACCGAAUUUUUCGAUGACAAGAGACGUUAAUCGCUCGACGCUUUGGUCGGACAGGACAUCGAGUUCUUGUAAGAAAAAUCUGGGAUCGUGCUCCAGGUCCGCCAUUGAGGAGCGGGACCUGCUGGUUGCGACUACCAAACAGCCCUGGUCGGCGAAGGCUCGGGCGAGAGAGUGGCCUAUGCCUCCGUCGGAACAGCCGGAGAUGACAACUACUUCUUUUCCGGCAAAUUCCAUAUCCUUUUUAUCUUCUUGAAAAGUGAACGAACCCCGCCCUCCUCCAAAUUAAACCGAUUGAUAAAUCGGAGAUUGAAGUGUUGGGUAGCUCCAAGUACAUCAAUAAGAGCAAUUGCUCACUCGUCUGCACCUAGGCCCUGAAGACUUCCACAUGGCCGGUCUUUGUGGUGCCACUUGGCAACCCCACAUGGACGCUUUCCCUUUUUUCCCUCCUUCAUUUACGGUUAUUGUAUUUCUUGGGUGAUUUUAAAAAAAAAUUGGGAUUUUGGUUUUAAAUUUAUACAUAUAUAUAUGCUCAAUCUCUUCUCUCAUUUAUACAACACUCUUUAUUUUUAAUUAAUCAAUUAAAAAGUAAUAUUUUUAAAAAAUUGAAAUUAUUCUUACCAUGUUUUUUUAUUUAUGUUGCUAAUUCAUUUUCGUUAACUUGUGUUAAAUUGUUUAUGAAUUGUUGAUAUAAGUGGUUGAAGUUUCUACGAGUUACGUGCUGGUUUAUAGGAGUUGAAUGAGUGAGCAUAUGUGAGUUUUGAUUUGAAAGUAUCUGUUGAUAUAUAAAAUCCUAAUAAAUUUUAAACCUUUACUAAAAGUAAAAAUUAGAUUCCUUUGUUGAAGUCCAUCGAUAAUAGACUAUUUUAGUGAGGAGUAUCUAUAAGUAGUAGAUAUGGUAGAAGUCUUUUGGUAACAAAGUUUAACACUUGAUUUUAUUUAAAUUGCAAUUUUGGUUUCUUAAAUUCAAACCAUAGUUGGCAUUGGCUCACCGUUGGAAGGACGAGUAAAUGUUUAACUACAACAUUUAUUGCAUCCUUUUAUUUUAUUUUUCAGUAUCCAUUGUUUGUUUUAUUUGUAAAUUGUGAAUAAAACUAUGGCAAGAGGUAAUUGAAAUGAAACCAUAGCAAAUUUUAUAGAAUUAAAAGCCGUGGCACAAUGCAUGCAUUCAUUUAUCUAAAUAAUUCAAUUACAUGAGUACAAAAAAUAAUACAUUUUUUAAACGUAAAUGUUGAUAGAUUUUCAUUAGUGGAUAGAUUCUCAUGUCACAUCAUACUCUAUAUCGUUCAUAUCAAUAAUAUAAAUUUUUCGUUGAUAGAUUUUGUUAUAUUUUCUAUUUUUUAAAAAUAUUAUUAUACAAUUGUAUACCAUCUCUAAUAUUAUUAUGCCCUCGAUCAUAUCAAUCACUUUUAUAGAUUAAAUAAGUAUACAUCAUUAUAAUAGAAAUAAAAGUUCACUUUGUAUAAAAUUGUUUUAAAUUUCAUAAUACUAUGCAUAGUUUAUAUAUAGUUUAGAGAAUGUGUUCAUGAUACAUUCACAAAUAUUUAAUUGAAAAGAAUGUUAUUAAAAAAUAUAUAAUAUUUGACAAACACUCAAAAUUAGUCUUAAAACAACAUAAUCCAAACAUAACCUAAAUGGUUUUACUAAUUGAUAAUUUGUUUGCAUUUACUUGCUCAAGAAGGCCAUAAGUUUAGAAAUCAUCCCUAGGAACAAAAAAACGAAAAGUUAGAAAUUAUCCAAAGAACUAUUUUCCAUAUUGUUUGUUGGUUCUCAAAAAAAUAUUGAUUAGGUUAUUACAUUUUGGGACAGCAUACAUCUAAACUGACAAACUAAAUUUAGUAGUUUAUUAGUCAAUAAUUGAGUAAUAUAUCAUUAUUGACCACAACAAAUAAUGGCCUACCUCUUCAAAACAAUACUUCAAAUACAAAGUUUCCCCGACAAACAAUUACAUCGAAAAUUACAUCGAACAAAUCCAUAUUUAAUCUCCAUUUUUUUCAAGACUUUAGGAAAUGACAAUGCUAUUCCCCCCAUAAAUUGACCUAUAUAGAUAUAGAUAGAUAGUAUUUAAUUCUAAACCCUCUUAUUUCUAUCUAAACACUGGUACCAACAAGAAGAUGCUGUCUCCUUAUUUCGAGAAAAAAAAAAAGAUAUUGUCGAUAUUGUCUAAAGUCUUCCCUAAACGUGAAUUGAAGAUAAAAAGACGAAAUUUAUCACUAUAAUUGAAGGGAAAUUAAUUUAGUUUCUAUUGUUUCAUAAGUUUAGAUUUAGUCUCUUUUAAGUGCAGAAAGUCUAAGAGAAAUCCUUAUAAUUGAAUGAAGCUAUCACAAAUAAUCCUUGUUAUUGAGACUAAAUUAUAGUUUUCUUAAGUUAAAGUGACCAGUUUUACAAUUUAGAAUAGGAUUAGAAUGUUGGAUCUCAUUACACCAUGGUUGUACUAAAAAAUUACAACUUUGUUUUCAAGAUAUAGGGACAAAUUCUACAAUUGAAUGCAUAAUUACUACGAAUUAAUUAACCAGUUCUCCCAUGUUCAGAAGUAUCAGAAUCAUUUUUUGACUUGUUAACGUGUUUUAAUGAACUAGAACUAUAUUUCAACAACGCUCCAAAAUUCACACCAAAAAUGGAGACGAAGAGAGAAAGAAGAAGAUAUAACCCAUAAUUUGUACCUUCCUUAGUUUGAUUUCUAGCCAGAUCACAUCACCGAAGGAAGUUCAAAAAUUUACACAAGACGUAGAAAAAGAAAAGAAAAGAAAAAAAGCACUAAAAGCUUCGACUCUGGCAUGAAAUUUCUAUUGAGAAAGUAAAAGCCAGAGGAGGCCUGUUUUCAGGAAUUAGAGGUGGCCUGAAGCCCAAAUAGGGUACCCGGAUGGACUUUUUUACUGGAUUUUCCGGCAAUUCCGCCGGCGGCGUGAUGGGAAGUUUUUGGAGGUUUGACGGAAUCUUCUCUCCUGCCAGAUCUCUCCUGCUCCAUCCUCUGCAGUUUUUCCUCUGCUUUCUUUUUCAUUACAUAAACCCUAGCGCAGCUAGCUCCCAUGGAGGACAUGGUUUAUACAGAAGAAAAGGAAAUGAAAUGAAGAAAUUUCUACAAAUGUUUCAGUGGGCUUUUAAUUUGUUCAAUCGGUGGGUAUUGAAUGGCUUAAACCCUUGUUGUAUUUAUAGUGGAAAACGUGUUUGGUGGCCUUGGUGUUUCGUUGGCCCCUAGCGUAGGGGUCAGAUAACCAUAACCCCCAUUUUCUGUACCUUAUUUGGAUUGGACAAUUUCUUUUUAUUUCAAUCAAAUUUAAAUUAAAUUAAAUUUGCAUUUUUGUUAUUUAUACAAUUUUGCGUUUAACUUAAUCAAUGUAUUGUUCAAAAGUUGAGAUCUGCAAAUUCAUUGUUUCUUCCAUUCUAAUUUACAAAGGAUAAGUUUUGUUUUUAAUUUGAUCUGAUUUUUAGUUUAAUUUUAUAGUUUUUAUUUAAUUUUCUACAAUUUAAGCUUCUUUCAAAAUGCUAGCGUAGUUUUAAUUUGAUAUGGUUUGUUUCUUUAUUAAACUUAUAUCACUUCAUUACUUAAAUAGAUAUGUCAUGUUGCAAUCAUGUGCAUAGUUUGUGAAGUAAAAGUCAUGUGAACUUGGUUAAAUUUGUUAUGAACUCAACUUAAAAUUAAACUUUUUUAUUUAUUUGUUUUGACUCCAAUAAUACACUUGCAUAGUUGAGAUGUGUUUAGAUGUGUUUUACUGUUCAACUGUAGUUAGAAGUUUGUAUCUAAAUUUAUACUACAAGACAAAAGAUUAAUAAAGCAAUUGAGAACACAAAUGGAUAAGCAGUUGACUUAAUACAACUCUAAUUAACCAUUACAAGAUCUAAAUUCUCCUAAUUUAAAUGAUACAAGCAUAACAUUGUAUAAAUUUAAAUCUACAACUAAUUUGAAUCUUUCCAUUUACAUUAUGAAAAACACACUAUAUAAAAACUACAAUCUUUCCAUUUACAUUAUGAAAAACACACUAUAUAAAAACUACAACAGUAUAAUUAAUGUUUGAAUUCAUAAACGAAUCGGUUUAUAAUUUUAAUUAGAGUUUCCUUUUAGAAUCGUCAAUAUCUACUUUAAUCAUCUUCAAACUAAUGGAUCGAUGAUUUUCAAAUGUAAUCAUACAUAGAUCAAUUAUCUUUUUAAAAAAAUCUACAAAGUUUGAUACAGUAAUAAAAAAGUUAAUUAUUAGUUUAUGAUUUCACUAAAUUCAAUGUUCAAUUUUGUUUAGUAUGAUACUUGAUAAAAGAUUAUUGUCUUUAUGGAAAAAGAUCACAUGAAUUAUGAUUAAUUAAAUGAAGCUGAAUUUCAAAUUAACCAAUUAAUUAAUCACAACAAUACAAAUGAAUUUACACUAAAUUUUAAAGAGGUAUUUAAAAAUGGGAAGAAAAAAGAGAGAGAGAGAGAGAAAAGAAUUGAGUAAUAGACGCUCAAUAAUGGAAUAUUUAAUUGGAAUCACCAAGAUGGAGAAAACGGUUGAAAGACAACUAACACCGUUUACCGGGAUGGUUUUUAAAAACACAAAGUACACAGAAACGAAUAAAACGGUGGGAAACCCCAAGCUCUGAGGAAAAUAAAAAAAGAAACAAUGGCUUGUAUUAGAUGCGGCACUCACACCACUCCAACUGUGAGGUCGCCCCACGUCAGCUAAAGAUAUUAUAGAUGGAGGCGGCCAAAGGUUCUGCUUACGUGUCUGUUGAUUAUUCGCCCGAAAUUUCCAACAUAACAAAAAAGUGCUCUUCUUUUUUCUUAAUAUAUAUUUUUUUAAAAUUAUGGAAAUUAAAUGUUGGAGAGAUAAGAGUUUGAUUGAGGUCACAAUCUGAGUCGUGGACCGUGAAGGCACCUUUUUUCUUUCUUUUUCUCUCUUUCUUUAUUUACUUUGAAUUAUUUCAUUUGUCAUUAUUACCUUGCACUUACAAAAGUACCUAAGUCUAUUUCUUCAUUAUGCACCCACUCAAAUGCGUUGUGCCGACGGGCUAAUUAACAUCACCAUUCUAGAUAUAUCAUCAAAGAUUUUCUUUAUUAUUCAAAUUCAACAUUAUCCAAGUACUGAACUUUUUCCCCCAUUUGACGUUAGAUACUGUGGGUACAAUUUGAUGUUAAAUCCCACUAUAAUAUUUCAAUUCACCAUUUGUUCAAGUGCUGAUUUUUAUAGGAGUUAGAAGGUUAUAUGGUUGAGUUAUGAAUGGAAGGAGGAGAAAGAUUAUAAUAUGAUAAUGAUUCACAAUUAUAAAGGGGAAAGUCAAAUUAAAGUAAAGAUUGAAUGGUAAUGACGAAAAUAAUAUAAUUUAAUAAUUGAAAAAAAGAAUUAAUUUAAGAAUGAAAAGGAAUUGGCAUUAUGUGAAGAUACUGAAUGAAAUGGAAGGGAUGGAUGAUGAAGGGUACGGUGGUUACGGAGUACGGAAAUUCCAUUAAGGUGAGAAGAAUCGGAGAUUGAGAUUAGGUUGUCUGCCUUUUUCUACUGUUUCGUAUCGUUUUUUGCUUUGAUGUUUGUCCUCACUUUUUAAUUCCUUUUUCUUUUUUAAUUCUUUUUUGGAAGAAAAUUCCUAAAGGUUAGGUUUAAAAAAGGUUAUCUCUUACGUCCCACUAAAACCGUCUUCGGCCGAAAGGCCCAUUGGUUUUUGUCUUUCUCGCUUGGGCCGCACCCAUUUUUCCACUUCUGACACCAAACUCUCUAAACAAAUACAGAACAAUUUUGGUGAUAAAAGUGUUUAACAUAAAUAUAAUAUGUUCGACAAAUUUUGUUAUAUUUUUAUUUUUAAAAAUGUUUUUAUAUAUGUUAAUGCUUUAACAAAAUUUGUAAAAUAAUAAUAAAAAUAUUUUCUCGAGAAAAUAAUAAAUAACAUUUUUUUAAAAGAUAAAUCAACAAAAACAAUAAGAGUAAUUUAGAUGCAUUGAAAGUGCACAAACAAUUUUGUGUAUGUCAUUAACUAAUUACUUCCUUUUGGUAGAAGAAGGACAUUUCUGUAUGUAGUUUUGGAUGCUUGGUACGCACAGGCAUACAUUUCGUUCUUCAACUCCAAAUGAUUUCGUAUAUGAAUCGUGUCUUUUAAACUAAGAGUAUAUGUGUUGUUUAUCUAAAUAGUUGAAGGUUGCUAAUGACAUUCUUCUUCCCUUCCUCAAGCAUGUAUCCUACUAAUUAAGACUUGCCAUACAUAUGUUCAUGCCUUUACAUUAGUAAAGGUCUAGGUUCCUUUCCCUGGUGAAAGACUUGAGGAAUUUUUUUUGAAAUGAUUGAUUCUCAGGUAAAGUGACAUCUAUUUUAUCUAUGUAUAUUAUCGAUUUGAAAAAUUACAAUGAUGGCCUUUCAACAAUACAAGUUAAAAUUACACACCUAAAACUUUAAACUUAAUUCAUCAUCCUCUCAAACUUACAAAGGUUAGUUGUUCGUGAUAACUAUUAAAAACAAAAAUGGGCCAUGCGUGUGUUAAUAAAAUGUUAGGCAUGAUAGUUGAUUUCAUAACAACAUAUAGUUAGUAAUGAAUGAACAAUGAAAAAAAUUGUUGUGUGUGACAGAAAACAAUUGUGAUUUUCGUAGUCUUAUUUCUUCAAUACUUUAUCAAGAAAAUGCCAAGACACGCGUGGUAACAGUUGCCAUUAAUUACCAACAUAAUAUCAAAUUGAAUUCCACCAAAGUUGUUCAAAAGUCAAAAAUUCCACAUUUUGAUUAAAUCCAUUGUUUCCGUACCCAUUUCUAAUAAUUUCGAAAGUUUAAUACGAAAGAAAUAAAUUAAUAUCAUAUUCUAUUAUCUUUUUCAAAUCUUCAAACAUUGACAUCAACAAUUUAAACCGUUCAUCCGAUUAGACAAAAAGAAGGAAUAUAAAGUGAAAUUUUGCGAUGGAGAGAUUUUGUUCGUUUGGGCGGGAGGGUUUGGAGUUAUUAUUGAUGGAAAGGGUAAUUUGAGUAAAAUUGUAAAGUUGUGGCGGGACGGAAAGAGAUGGGCUGACGUGUUGGUUGUGGACUUCGGAAUGGGUCCAAUGGAUCCAGUCUCCUUCAACUUUGUCGGCCCACAAUACUCUUAACAAUAAUAAUAAUAAUAAUAAUUUAUAUUAUUUGAUUAGAGCAGCCGUACGUCCACAGUAAAAUUAGGGUUGUUUUGUUGCUGUUUAUUAAUUCCAUCCAAUUUUACGUCUCUUUCUAAAACUUCAAUUAACACUCACUAAUUAUGUCAAUUUUAUAAUUGAUUUACUAAAACAUGAGAGAUUUCAAUGUUGAAUCAAUUAAGACUAAUUGUACUGAGAUUUGAAAGGUGACAUUAAUUAUCUAUCUGUUCUUUCCAUCUUGUAAAUGGUAAAUAUGAAAAUAAAGAAUUUAGUGGAAACAAACUUCUAUUUCACACACAUAUAUAUUUGGUAACAAAUUAAAAAAUCGAAUUAUAAUAUAAACAAGAUGUAUCGUAAAAAAUAACAAAGCGACCAAAUUGUACAAAAUCAAGUGUAGUAAGUUUUUGUCGUUUCCUUGUGCUAUGGAUUGUGAAUAGUUUAUUUAUUUUGUAAUCAUUUAAAUAAUGGUGUUUAGAUGCAUUUAUACUAUAUUUAUAAAUAAAUAAAUAAGUUAUAAUUGUGAGAAUUGUCAAAAAUAGCAAAUUUGACAAAAUAUUUACAACAUAUAACAAAAUUUCAAAUUCUACUAAUAAUAAACAUUAAUAGACACUGAUAUGAUUCUAUUAGUGAUAUUGAUAAACAAUUAUAUAAAUUUUUAUCUUGGAUAUAAUCCAAAAUUUUGCUAUAUCUUAUUAAUAUUUUGAUAUUUAAAAAAGUGACUGUCAUAGUUACUCAAUAAAUAUUGAUAUUUAUAAAUAAUAAUGUAUUAUUAAUUUAUUUACCAGCCACGUUAAGUAAUUUUUGUAAUAUCAUAUAAUUUAUAAUACAUGGUAUUUAUAUUUUAAUUGAAAAGAAUAUAUAUUGAGUUUAUAAAGUUCAAAAUUUAAAAUCAUGAUAGAACAAAAUUAUUAUUUGUAGAAACAAAUAUCAACAAAAUGUCAAUAAUUUAAAGAUUAAUGGGGGGUGGUGGUGGUGGUCUGGUUUUGGUAUAUUGUUUAGAAAAAGCCAUUUAUGGGGAAAAUUAAUUGUUAGAAAACAUGGGCUUAUUAGGAAAUAUUUCAACUCUCUUUCUUCCUUCUCAUUUCCCUUAUAUGUAGAGAUGCUUUUUUAUUACACCAACUUUGUGUAUUUGGAUAUAUUUGUUAAUGUAUUAAUUAUUCCAAUCAUUAACAGACAAGUUAAUAGAUAUAUAAAACCAUUCUUGUAUAUAAUAAAAAUGGCUAUAGAGUUUGAAGCAGCCUGAAAAACAUCUCAAGUUUGUAGAAAUUAAAAAAAAGAAAGAAGAAUAAAAACGAUAUUCAUAAUUUCAUAUUAAGAAAAGAUAAUUAAGUAUGGAUGGUCUAUGAGUUGGCCAAUCCAACAAGAGAUAAAUAAAUAAACAAAGGAGAGGCAAAGGGAUUGAUUUUCUUGGAAAUUGGGUAAGUUCAAAACCAACUCAUUCUUUUCCCCAAUCAAUUAUUAUUUAACGUCCCAAUUUCCAAGUUGAUCCAAACUCAAAACACAAAACCAUUAUCAUAUUUAUUAUUUUUGUUCUAAAGUUUAGAGUGUGUGUGUGUGUGACAGUAUAUGAACUGUAUAUUCAUAUCUUCAAAUUUGUAUUCAUAUAUGUUUUAUUUGUGCAGUUUUUUGCUUUCUUUAAUUUGUCAAUUUCACGACACCUUUAGGUUAAGAAAUCAAUGCGUCACACAAACCAAACUAAAAGAAAAGAAAAGAAAAAACUUAUCUUUGAAACAGUCAAAAUAGAAGAUUGAAAUUAUAACAAUAUAGUUUGAUUUAAUUGUCCACUUGAAUGAGAUUAAUUAAGACAUCAUAUUGCAUCCUCAUCUACGUCAACCAAUUAAAGCCCACGUCUUAAAUCGACUAAGAACAUUAAUGAAUUUAAACCAUGAUUAUUGUUUGGAAGAAAACUUCUUAGAAAUUUUUGUAUUGAUAUCUUUUGGAAAGUUAAACACAUAUUGGAAUCUUGUUUUAAUUAUUGUAUAGGAUGAUGUUCAACUUAGGUAUGAACUUUAUCUAAUGUAGUUUAAAGAAUAUGAAAUCCAUAUUUUAAUCAAAUGUGUGUGUGAUCUUAUCCAUAUUUAUAUAAAUAAAAUAAAUGGUCAACUAUAUUGAUCAUUUUUUUUUAAAUUACACAAAUUAAUAAAUAGUUGCAAACAUUGAAACACAUAUCGAAACGUUUUGUAAAUUUAAGAUAUUCUUUAGUAUAAAUCAUACCAUAUAAUGAGAUCGACGUUAUUUAUAAUUUCUUUCAGAUAUAUAUCUAAGAUUACUGUUACAUGUACUUCCAAAAGGAAAAAAAUAAACAACCGUAUUAAUAUUUUGAUAAACUAUUAUAUUGUCUUAACUAGUAGAAAACCAAAAAAAUUUAAUGAGUAUGUAAAAGUAAGAGGUCUAUUGAUCGUAGCAUAUAUGGUUUAUCGUUAAGUUUUAAUUACAAAGUUUGAUAUAAUUUCUUAUAUUAGUUUUUCUACCAAAAAAGAUAGAGAAUUGAUGAACUCAAAGGCUUUGCAGAGUAAUUGGAACGAAAUUAGAGGUUGGAAUUUAAGUAUGACAUCAAAAUGAAUACAUUAAAACCCAUUUUGAGCUUAUAAUCAAUUAAUCUAUGUUCAUAUAUAUAUAUAUACAGAGAGAGAGAGAGAGAGAGAGGAGAGGAGAGAAAGAGUAUGAUAUUUUGGUAUAUAUGAAAGUAACACAUAAUCAAUAAUUGAAUGUAAAAUAAAAUAAUAAAAGUAUGAUUAGGGAAAGAAAAUAAUAAUAUAAACGUUGGGUGGGGGUGGGGUAUCCUAAAACGGGGUUUGAGGAAUUCCACGUGUACCGAAGUGAGGUUGGUUGUAUAGAAAUUCUAUAAAUCCCGGAGUUUGAACAUUUUUGUAACUAAAGAAAAGGAAAAGGAAAAUGAAAGAAUUGAAAGGAAAAGAGAGAAUAUAGUGUAGGAUGAAAUUUUCACAAAGCUUAUAAAAUUAAAAAGAAUUGAAUUAUUGGGUAUCUAUCUCUGCCUCCUCCUUCUCCUUCUCCUUCCCCUUCCCCUUCCCCUUCCCCCCAUCUCUAUCCGGACGAAGCUAUGGGAGCUCUCUCCGAGUUCUUCUCCCACCUCCACACAAUGACCGCAGUCUUCUUCACCCUCUUACUUCUCGAAUUCGUUAUUCUCAUUCGUACCAUCUUCGGCUUAAGACCUAACUCCGACAAGCGCGUAAUCACGACCGCUCAGUUUUUCAAACUCAUCGAAGACAAGAAUCCCACCAUCCGUUUCUCAAAUAAGGUCACCCCAAGUAUCGCCGAUCAGUGUGCCGUUUGCCUCUCUGAAUUCGAGGAAGGAGAGAAGGUACGGAAAUUGCAAUGCAACCACACUUUUCACAAGGAUUGUCUCGAUAAUUGGUUGAAACUCUGUUUCGCUACCUGUCCGCUUUGCCGGAGUAAGGUUUUGCCGGACGAUAUCGUCGCCGGCUACCAUAGGCUUCGAGACCGUGUAGAGUACGACGGCAGUGACGAGGAGCUCAUCUUUUUGUUAUCGGCAUUACAUGGUAACAGUAUAUAUAGAUUUUUCUAGGGCGAAACACCAAUUUUAUUUUGUUUUUAAUCACAGAAUAGAAUUAAACAACAUAGAAUGUUGAUUUUCUGUAGAUUAACUAGGGAAAUAUUGUUUUUCUCCCCUUCAUUGACGAGCAAUAACGUUAAGGGAACAGCUCGUUUCUGGUUCGAUCGAUCUCUCUAGCUAGAUCGAGAUAAAUCUAAAUCGUGUAUGUUUCUCUUUACUUGCAAUUACGCAACCCAACUGUUAGAUGUGUUGUUUGCAUGAUUGCUUCCUACUCUUCUUGGUCAUUCGUCAACGAAUCAUUAAUUUUGGAGACACCCAAUUUACAUCUUGACGGAGACCCUUUUUUUUUUUUUAACCCAAUAACGCACUGAAAUCCUCACUAAAAUCAUCCAAAUCACAACAACUUUUUUCCAUCAGGUUAAACUAAUCCAAAUGAUCUAUUGAGAUCUUUAAGAUAUUGGAUGAUCGUCUAUUAGUCUCUCUUGAUGUGGGCUUGUUGUCUCCGUAGGACCAGGAGUUAUGGUGCGAACUUAAUUCUAUAAUUUUAGUGGAUGCGAGUUGGUGAUCUAAUUUAUGGUUCUCUUACAAUGUAAAUAGAACAUGGUAUGUGAUGGCAUUUAUUAAGAACAUUGAGUGAAAGGAGAAGCAUUCAAAAUUUGAUGGAUUCUCCCUUGAUAUUUUCAUGGGGAUUUAGGUGGAGAUGGUAGGAGAAGGACUUAAUGCUCUGUAUCUAAAUGCACAACAAACUGAUUGAGCUCAUUUUCUCUAUAGUUAAACCCCGAUGGCGAAAGUGAAAACUAAUGGAUUGUGUUUAGCUCACCAGCACAUUUAUCGAAGAAUAGGUUUGCACGUUAAUCGAAAAACUUCAUUUUACACCACUACAACCUAAAGACAAACUUACUAAACACAACAUAUUAACUCUAUACUUAAACAAACUUGAAAUGUUUCUCAUUGGGAUGAUCUGAAACUAAAGCCACAAGCCCCCCUCCCUUUUUUUUUAAUGUUUGGAUCUCGUUACUUCCUCGAAGCUUUUGAAACAGUUUGGAGUUUGUUUUCUUCCACUUUUGAACACCCACCAAAAGAUGAGGGCAACUGAGGACACGGUCUUUAAAGAACAGUGAUUAGGUGAGAUGAGUUGCAUUAUUGAAGUCAGUGUGUUUAACUUUUUAGCAUUACCAGAAUCAGGGGAUGGGUGAAAGAGGAGAAGAAGCAAAGCAAAAACAGGUUUUAGAUGAUGAAGCCAAAUACCUAUUUACUGUUGGUGAGAAUAAGUUUGUCCUAAAUGGGGUUGUGGGAGCUACAGUAGUUCGCAUGAUGUACUGAAUUGUUCUGUAUGUCGGACAAUAGCAAUAAGUUGAAAUGUUAAACAGGCAAAAUCUCGUGGUGGAGCAGCGGAGGGUAAUUCAUAAGAUUUGACAUUUAAUGUCAGAUUCAAAAAAGUGGAUGAACAACUUCAAUAGUAAAGUAAUAGUACCACAAACCAGAAGUAACGCAUAUGGGGGAGAUGAAUCCUUAUCUAUUUUGGAAAUGGGGUUUGUUGUUGGUUUGAUUCAUUCCUUUUUCAAUUUUUCAGGGUUGAAUUUUAUUUGGUGCAUAUCCGUUUCCCUUUUUAACCAUGGAAUAUAUUGCUGAAAAUAAAAAAUAUGACUCUGUUUAGGUCAUGAGUUGGUAAGAAAUUAAGAUGCAACAGAUUCGUUUGGGUAAGAGUAAUAUUUGAUUGAAGAUGUGCGCCCAUUUCUAUGUAUCUCUUUCAAUUACAAAACAAAGAAUGAUUCAAACAAAAUUAAAACAACAUGGGGUAUCCUAAGCAACACAUAUAUAUUCAUCUAAGUGUCCAAUCAUGGAAUAUGCUACGUAUUGUUGUUAUUCCUUUCUUCAAUCGUGGAAUACAUCGUGAAAAUGUUAAAGUGAGCCCUGUCUGUUUAGGUCAUCGGUCAUGAGUUUGGUUAGUAAAGUGCAAUUGAUCUCGUUGAAAAAGAGUAAUGUUAGGGUCAAGUGUUGCAUCUAGUUGUGUAGUUCCUUCAAUUGAUCCAUCAAAAGUUGUCAUGUAAUAAAGUUUCUUUAUUUUUGCUUAAAAAAUUAUUUUAAGCCUCUUUUUGUUUGUGAUGGAAGAAAACAAGUAUAUGUAUACAUACAUUUAUACACGAUAAACUUGUAAUUAAACAUUUGAAAUGCGUCUCACCUGGUGAGUUGAGUUUGAAUUGUGAAGAAAGAAAUAAUUUAAUGAAUUGAUUGAAAGCUACAUUAUAUAUAGGUUGGUUUAUUGAAGUCAUUAAAUAUACAUUAUACAAAGAAGUAAUCUUUUAAAAACACAUGGCCACCACCAACUCCUAUCUGUAAGUUUGGUUCAGGGCUCAAAAUUAGAGACAUUCAGGAUGAUCAACAUCAUCUCUCUCAAUAAAUACAAAUGAUUAUAAGUCGAUUAAAUCUUUCUUUCUACAAUAAGAUAGUUAAAUAAAUGAAUUAAAACUAAUCAUUAUUUUUGCACAUCAAAUCAACCACUAUCACAUUAAAUAAUCAAUAAAUUUGAAGGAAAAAAAAGUCUUAAUCAAUAAAUUUGAAGGAAAAAAAAGUCUUAAUCAAUAAAUUUGAAGGAAAAACAAAGUCUUCGUCAACUUUUAUAAUUGUAAUUUGUGUGGGAGUAUGUAUUUAUAAUAUUUGUCUAAAUAAAAUAACUAUUAAAUUAGCAAGGGUGUUUGAGAUUUAUAGUUGCGUAUUGAUUUUAGAAAAACAAAUUUAAGUACAAUUUUUCUUUUAUAAAAUUGAUAUGAAACUUGUAAACAAAAUUUUUAUAUAUUUAGAAAUGAUUUUGAAUCAUUAUUGUUUAGAUUUUGAAUCAUUAUUGUUAUUAUAUUUUUUGAUUUGAGAAAUAGUUAUGUUAGUAUAUAAUUGUUUGUUUUAUAAAUAAUUUAAUGAUGUACAUUCUUUUAUUCCAAUAUUUUAUAAAAAGAAAACUGAAUUAGACAUCCAUUUUGGGAGUGGUUGAUUGAAAAUCACCCAACAAAAAUUACCAAUAACCUAAUUCGUUUUUUAAACGAUUUUAUAUUUAUUUUAGUUCAUGUCAAACAAGAAAAAGUGAUUUUGGACAAACACAAAAAAGUAUAUAUCUAAAUAUGGUGAUAUGGAUAGUUAUUAUGGCAACCAUGGAUAGAACUUGGAAUCAACUACAACUACAACUUUGGAAACAAAACCAAACCAAAACAAAAUUCAUAAUUCAUUAGAUGAACUUCUUAGUAAAUUAUUUUUAUAUACAUCCGUAUAUAUCCCCAUUAGAUGAUCAAAUUUACACUUUAUAUGAGAUUUAAUGUAGAAAUAGACUUUGGAUGUUCAAAACCUAACUUUUAACAGCUUGGACUUGAAAACAAUGAAUUUGAAAAGUACUUUAAAAAGUAACUUUUCCUUCUUACAAAAAAACCAAACCUAAAUUGACGAAAUUUUGAAUAAAUUAAACCAAAAUGGCCUCUCAGAUAAGACACAAAUGUGUCACCAUAACAACCUUUACCAUCAUUUGAUUUACACUCUUAAUUUCACUUUCACUUUCUUUGAAUGCCACCAAAAUUUCAUAACUAUAUAUCAAUUACAUAAAGAGAUAUCACGACCAUAAUUAUAAUUACGAGUUGAAAAGCUCACAAGGUAAUUUAUUUAAAAUUUUGUCUACGAUUUAAUAUCAAAUAUAAAUAUCAAAUUAUUAUUGAUACCAUCUUAGAUGGUGGAUUGAUCCCAAAUCAUAACUAUGAACAACUAAAUUCAUUGAUUUUUCAAUAUGGGAUCUGAACAGCCUCAUCCAUCCACCAUAUCACAUAUUUAAAAGCACCAACUAAGUGGCCAACUCUCGAUGAUUUCUUGAAAACCAAAUCAUCCAUCUUUUCCCAACAUUCAUAUGGUUAAUUCAAACCCUAUAAUAAUCAUCAAAUCAUAAUACAAUCCCACCCUUCUUCUCUCGAAUUCAAAAGCAUUUCAAAACUAAUAGAAUCCAAAAAAGGAAAAAAGAAAAAAAAAAUGUACAGAUUUGAGAGAGAGAGAGAGAGAGACGAGAAACAUUUACAAUAUAUAUAUAUAUAUAUAAACCCAAUAGAGGAACUCAAGCUGAGAAGAACCCAGUGGAAGCAGCUCGACCAAUUUGAGAUUUGGGUUCAAAAACCCAAUUGAAUUCCGACAUCUCAGCAGAGUAAUUAUGCUUUUUUGCCAUUUCCAUCAUCUUCUUCAUCCUAAUUGAAGUAGCAGUUGCAGAUAUGGAAACCCCAGAAGAACCCAACUCUUGAAGCUCUUGCCUGAUCAUCUCUUGACCUCGCCUUGGAUUCUUCGUCCUCCUCUCGUAUUCCUCUGCUACAAGAAUUGCAAUAUCCGCCAUGGCUGUGAUUUUUCAACUCUCCCUCUUAGUUGAUUUUGAGGAGACCCCUUUAGGAGGAUGACAUAAUUUAUAUUCAGAUUGAGGUAUGAUUGUGGAUAAGGCUGACAAGUCGGUGUAGUGUAUAAAAGAAAUAAAAAAAAGUGACCUUUGAUGACUUAGUCUGGUUUUUUGGGCAUUUUGGUUUUACUUUUUCUAUGGGUGGACCCUUUGUGGAGAAAUUUGAUUGUAUUAUAUUGUAUAUCUAUAAAAUAUACACAUGUAUAUUGUAUUUCAUUGAAGGGUCUUCUUUGAUUGUGCCAAUACCCAAAUAAAGGGGUUUCUUGGCAACAAAGUUGGGAUAGUUGUGUGAAUUAUAAUAGAAUAUAUCAGUAUUUCAAAAUUCUAAUGGAACACGUAUUCUUAAUAAACUUAUAAAGAAUUUACAGAUUGUUAAAUGAUACAAGAAUUGUUAAUUGAGAACAAUGAGAUUAUGUAUAUUGUGAUAGAUAGGAUAGAAAACCUAUCCAUUAUAAUGGAUGUCUUGUGGUGUUUUCAAUGAAGUUGGUGGUGGAAAUUUUGUAGGCAAUAUUCUAGUGGGUUUGGUGGGGGGGAGGAAUGGUAAAAGGCAAUACCAAUAGUUCAGGACUUGUAAAUGAUAAAGAAAAAAAAAAAGAAACCAACUCCACAAUGUUAAUUAUCUCAAACUCUUUCUUAAUAAAUGUCUGUCCUAUUCAACCUUCUCCUUCAAACAAUGAAGAGAGGGUAACUCUUCUUUGCUUUUCAAUAAUAAUAAUAAAAAAAACAUAUCUUUCUUUUGAAGCAAACUAGCAAAAUUGUUGAAAAAAAUAUUGAUAAAUAUAGUCAAAUUUUAUAUAUUUCUUAGUGUAAAAAAUAUGGAAACGGAAAAGCAAAAGGAAAGUGGUUUUUGAGAAUCGGAAAACAGCGAAACUGAGCAAAUGGUUUUGAUCUCAAAAACCAAAACCAUCACCGACAAACGCAUAACACAUCAGAUUCAUGUAACUAAUACGUGUCUAAUUACUAUUUGUUCUUCAAAUUAAUUAUAUAUUUCGUAGUACACAAUACGUGGCAUCAUAUUACUGGUUGUGGGCGGUGACAAGUCCACAGUCCACGCAUUUUCUUUUGUUUACUCUUUUAAAUCAUUCAUGCAUCUUAUUAAUUAGCUUCUAAAUAAUUCAUAAUUUAACCAUAGUAAUCAUAAUAAUGUCAUAAAUUAUACACACAUUUCAAUAAAUUUUAUUAAUGUAAUCAAUUUCAGUGUUUGGCAAAUAAAUUUCACUCUUCCAAUAUAUACCUAUUAAUAAUGAAUUUGAUUGGAGUUUUUCUAGUGCAUUAUUCUAUCCUUGUGAUAUUUAGAAGCACAUAUUUUAUAAUUAGGUUAUUCUUAAUGGAAAGUAAACUAAUGUAGUCAUAGUUAGUACUUAGUAAUUAGGCUGCAACUUACCCACUUGUUUAUAAAUCGAUGGUAAUUUUAGUUAGUGUAUUUCAUUUUAUUACACUUUUUUUUAAUCUAUAUUUCGUAAUCCUAUGAAAAUAAUGAGUUCACCUUGAAUUGAAAAAUUGAGAGUACUCAAUUGGACUGCAUUUGAGAUUUAUGUGAAACUCACUUUCGUUAUUGUUACUAUCACGAUAUUAAUUAGAAUUAUGAUAAAUGUUAUAUUCUUAGUUAUUGUUAUUCGGUAACAAUAACUAGUGAUAAAUUAUGUAUAGCAAGAUUGUAACUAUAGAUGCGAUAACUCGUAAUUGAAACUCAUUUCAAUUGAUUCAUUAAUAAAAUUUCAUUUUUAAAAAAUAAUAAAACUUUUUUUAUUAUGGUUUGGUAAACAUAACUCUAAUGUUAUAACAACUUUCUUUACAUCUCGAUUACAAUAACCAAUUUAGGCGAACAUAUUCCAGUCAAAACUUGAUCUUUUUAUAAUAAAAAUCCUAAGGAAAGUCCACUUUUAAAAUGCUAAGAUGUGCUUAAUAUUUACAAAAGUGUCGUUUUAAAAGAAUUGAAUUAUCUAUCGACUCAUCAGCAAGAAUCUCAUACUUAUCACCAUCCAGUUCUUGACAAAUGGGAGAUAAGAAUGAGAAAUAUAUAUAUAUAUAUAUAUAUAUAUAUACCUGCAGGCCAAGGGAGGUUUAGUUAUUUUUAAAAAGAAUGAUAAAAAUGUGCCUAAGAAAGAGGAAGACGGAAGUGAUAGUAGAAAACUCACAAAUAUAAUAUACUUUAUACUCAGUAAGAGAAACGUUAAAAGCAUAUUAAUUUGGAGACAUUUGUCAGUUUUGAUUGUAGGUAUUCAAAUUCGUUCCCAUUCCCUUUCCUCAAACGGAUAAGACGAAAGAAAGUAAGAAAGAUCACGAGCUUCAUCAAGCUAGCCAUUCUAAGAAUACAGAAGAAAAGGCUGAGGGUGUCACACAUCUGAGAGCAUAUGUAUAGGACUUUCUUGGUCCAAAGUAACUUGUAGUAAGUGCAACUGAGCAGCAAAAGCAUAUGGUGAGUUCAAGCUUCAACAGGUGCUCUUCUGGGCAAAGUGAAAAACUGACACAUUUCAUCUCAUAAAAGGCCAAGAGUUUUGAGCUGUUGAACGUGCUCUGCAGGAAGUGGUGGAGGCAACCAGUCAGAUCCUGUCAUCUCCCCAUCUACAUCUUCCACAACAUAUUCCUGUGAGAAAUCAAAACAUCCCAAAAAUAUAGUAAUCAAUCAAAAACCUAACCAACCAACAUAUUAUUCACAAGUGAAACUUUCUAGUCGUAAUUAGUCCAUUCUUGCCAAUUCAAGAAUAGCACAAAUUGCACAAUUACCAUCCGAAAAUUGCUGGUUGAUCCUCCAACCUCCUACAAAAAUGGUCGAUUCACAAUCAAUCCAUCCAUGGGAAUAUGUCAUUUGGUUUUAGUGUCCCCCACUCCUGUUAUCUUUCUCAUCCCAAAGACCAAUAAGACAGCCCUCGUGAAUGGAUGUGCUCGGCCAGCUGGGCAUCCACCUUCAUCCAUGAUGUUUGGCUUUUAUUUUCAUUUUCUAACGGGGUGUGUUUGGACGACUAGUAAUUUUGCUCUCUUUUAAAUCAUGGGAUUUACUGAAAUUUUUUAAGAGUACUUCUAAUCUAAAACACUUUUCUUUAAUCACACGCAGUUUGAAAAUUUGUAAAAGUAGAUAAAAGGCACUUAAAAAAGUACUUUUAGAUGAAACAUUUCAUUAGUUUUGCUUACAAAAUAAAUGCUUCACUUAAGAACACAUUUUUCAAAAUGAAAUCUCAGACUCGCCCAAAUUUAGUUGGUUCUGUUUAUUUCAAUAGCCAGUCUAGUGUACAGAAAAAGAAACCAUAUUCAAGUAUUUACACUCCUAGCUCAGAGUUUGAAAGUUAUGCACAAAUAAAUCUCAAAAGAGAUCAAUCAACUCACCUUUGUUAGCAUUCUUUUCGCAAGUAUGUGAUAGUGUCGUUGCCAUAUUCGUUGGCCAACCAUGGUAGCCACCAAGACACUAUAGAAUAUACCAAUCACUGUGAACAAACCAAGAACAAUCAAGGCCAUUAUAAGUAAUAAUGGCAGUCCUGCUUCACCAGCACCUCCUAGGCAUCCACAUUCAGUUGCAAUGCUUCCACAACUUUCGAAGCAAGUGGUACAGUCGGUCCACAUACAAAGAGUACCAGGUAAAUGACAGUCUGCACAUAGUCUGGAAAGAUGCAAGAAACACAUAAAAAUAUGAUGCUGGUGAAUAAACUAAAAAUACUAUUGUUUGGAAAAUAUUUCCAGCAUUUAUAUAUUAUAAUUUGAUGAAGAUAGAUAUAACGAGCUUUGAUAAGGAUUUUAGUCAUCAAUCUAAAAUAGCUUGAACGAAUUCUUAGCUUGGCUAAAUAUUGAAUAUUCUAUAUUUCCAGCAACAUUCUUUCACUACAAUGGGACGGGAAGCAGAAUAGAGAAAGAUCAGUCGUGUUAGAGAAUCAUCACUGCAUGGCAGCAGUUAUGCCAAAGAAUGAGCCUACGCUCCUCAACAAGCAUUGUUAAAAUUUGAAAACAAUAAAAUUUUAACAUAAUUAAAAAAGAAACUGCAAAAUAUGGAUUUAUACCCAGGGUGGCAACAACAUAGACACAAUUCUCUACAUGGUUGAGCCAAAUCACUCCUAACUCUUCGAUCAUAACAAGUGAUGAAGCAGCCAGAUACGCCGAGCAAUGCAAAAAAUAAUAAAGCCCCUGCAUAGGAAAUAACGCAAACUAGUAAAAACAGAAUUGAAAGAACUGAAAUAUGUCUUUCGAUUUUGUAGAACAGAAUAGCAUCUAACAUAAAGAAAUAAAAUAAAUUAAAAUUGUCUCUCUACUUUGAGGUUUGUUCAACUUUAAUCCACAUACUUUCAAAUAUUCAAUUUUUGCCCAUGUACAAAGCUUAAUAUUUUUCUAAAAAAAUCAAAAUUGGCUAAAUAAUAACAAUAACUUUCACGUAAAGAAAUAUGAUAUGUGAAUAUAUUUUCAAAAUUUAUAGUGAAAAUGCUAAGAAAUAUCAAAAAAUUAUUUUAAAAAAACAUUAAUAAGCAUGCAGGAGGGACUAAAUUAUAGAUUACUUGAAAAAGUUGAGACAAAAAUUGAUCAUUUAAAAGUACAAGGACUAAAAUUGAACCAAAUUUAAAUUAUAGGGACCAAAUUGAUAUUGCAUAUUUCAAGUUGACUCAAUAUAAUACUCAUACAGUGAAGGACCAUAAUCCAUUAACUACUUCCUCCUUAUGAGGUUCAACAACAAUAUGAAUAAAAUAUUGCGAUAAUGUAAUAAGCACAUUUUUUUCAGCUGUUGUUCUUUGCCCUCAAACUUUCAUUAGUUUUCAUUAAUUUCUAUGAAGCACAAAAGAUUUCCCAUCUCUCUACACACUUUAUCUCACAGGCUUUUUUUCCAUACAUAAUCUCACCCUGGUCUCUCUAGUCUCUACACUCCUCUACUACACAGUUCCUCUCAUCAUCAACUUCUUUCUAAAAAGUAAAAACAACCUCUCAACAAUUCUUCUCACUAUCACAACUUUUACAAUUUUAGAUACACCCCGACUAGUAGCUUACCAAUUCUUAAUAUACUUUUAAUUAAAACUUAAAAGACACUCCUUUCUAACUAAAGCACACCGCAAAAGUACUUAAAAAGUUAGAAUUAAAUAAGCAAACGAUAUAUUAUUACUUAUCAUCAAAGUUCUUAUGUUAAAAGUUCUUUGGAUGUGAACCCAUAAAAGUCAGAAGCGCUCUAAGCAGACCAGCAAACAAGGUCACUAAGACAAACUGCUUGAAGCUAUGGGCCAAACAAGAUUAUGCCCUAAUGCUAUAACAUAAAUUGUGCAUGCAAAGCUUGAAUCAGCCAAUUGAGAUUUUACCGCAUAUGUAAUAAAAACUAAUUUUGCUAUCAAAACCCCAAGUAAGACGAAGCCAGUAAUGUUGACAACCAUCUAUUAAGUAUGUCAAAUAUCCCAGAGAAGCAAUUACCUGCACAAAGAUAAACAAAGGAAUAUAAACUAUUCUACAGAAAAAUAAUCUCAUGCUACAACAUAACUUGGUUUGGCAAUAAAUUAAAUAGAAACAAAAUAAAACUUACAAGCUGAACCGCCAAAAAUAUAAAUAUAAUGUCUCUAGUCACAAAAAAUCGAAAUUUCAGGGUUCGCCAUUUUCUGUCAGCAACAGCAUGUACUCUCAAAUGGUAAGGGGCCUUACAUGUGGUACAGUGAGCAAAAGCAAACCCUUCCUGCAAUUUUAAUCACGGAUGACCAAAUGUAACUAAAUGAUGGCUAUAGAAAUUUCCUUAUUUAUUUUCCUAAAUAAACAUAGAACCAGUCUAAGAAGACAAAAACGAGACUGUAAAUAUGACUGGUGCGGGCGGAUACAAAUACCGCCCAAGAGUAGUGAUAUUCUUUAUUUUGUUAAUUACCCUAAAUUAGAGUCAAUCGUGUGAUAAAAAUUGAAACUUAAAAAAUGCUGGUGCAAGGAGAACAGAGUUAAUAAUGGCAAAAUACGAGUUAAUUUCUUAAGCAAUAAAAGGUAUCGUAACAAUCACUUGUUAAGGCUGAACUUAGUCAUUAAGGUGAGGAAAAUAUAACCAUGCAAAUUCAGGGAAUCAUGGGUGUAUUAUCAGCAACUUCAUUUGAAAAUUCAAUCACAAUAACUAAACUUACAUUGAAACCACCAGCAUUCAAGAUAGCAUUCAUACCUUCACGGCUCGCCAAUGAUCCAGACAUUCUCGAUGAACAUAUUUGGAUGUCCCUUUGCAUUUGCAAGGAGCAAUAAAAUCCCUACCUGAUCAUGUAAUGAAACACGCACAUUGGUUAAUUUAAAUACUCCCAUAGUCUCAGUGUGAUACCCCCCUCUCCUACCGUUAUACAAACUUUCAAGUGAACAGUCAACUCCAAAGAAUUCUAAAGCACGAAUGGCCAAGUGGAUGGGGAAUGUUAACAUCGCUUGUCAAACGAUCAAAUUAACGAAUUUUUAACACCGAAGAACCUAAUUAAUUAGACUUCAAGUCUCACGGUAUUGAAAGAAACAAUGAUCAUAAGAAAACACAUCGUAAUUUCGGAAAAUUAAGAUUCUAGGGUCCAAAGAACUUCGCCUAAAACGCUGCACUGAGCCAUUGAUUAUAAAGCAAGCAGAAGAAAUUAGGUUCCACAAUGAUUUCCCGGAAGGAAAAUGUGGAACAUACCCAAACGAAAACAACCCCACCAACCGUACGAAAACAGUCGAAACCUAACAAAAACUGAAAAACAUAGGAACGAGGAAUUACCAUCGGUCUCAAGGCAAAUUCUACACUGAAUUUGUUCCCCUUGACCAGCUUCAAGGUCGAUCUCACUAGGGUCGGUGAUCGGCGCCGGAGGAAUAAGAGGGGAAGAAUCUGACGGUUGACCCGCCAUAAGGAGUUAAGAAGCGGAAAAACACAAAAAAAAAAAAAAAAUGGUGGGAAAAAAGUGGAGGAGAAUUAGGAUAGCAUGAAGAAGAAAUAAGGGAUCUCCAUGUAAAAGAGUUGUAAGCCCAGAGAGAAUAAUAAUGGUGAAGCAGGAAGAAAGCAAGAGAUUGUGUAGAAGUGUAGAGCAGAAAGUGGUUGAAUGUCUUUCUUCCCAAAAUGGCCACAGCCUUCACCAUUUUUUGACCAACUUAUCCUUCAAUCCCUUAAAACUCUUUUCUAUUUCUAUCACAUCAAAUUUUAUAACUCAUUCUUUUUUUUUUUUUUUUUUCAAUUACAAAAUUUUAUAUCAAUUUAGUUCAUAAAUAUUUUAAUACUAUGAAGCUGGAGUAUGAAGUUUUGUUUGCCAACAAAUUGGCUUAUAAACAGUCACAAUCAUAACUACUAUAUAUAAAUUGAAAUUUGAAUUAUUGUUUGUUUUUUUUUAAUUUUUAAUUUAAGUAUUGAUUCGAUGCCUUUUCAAAAAUACCAAAUCCUCACAACUUUUUUCAUUAAAUUUAAGUUUUCUUUUUCUAUCCACAACAAUUCCAACGUAAAAAUGAUAAAUGUGUUGUAACUUCUAUAAGAAAUCUUUUUUAUAAGAAAAACAAAUUAUCUAUACGUUACACGUAAUUUGCAGUUAGUUGGGUUUAUAUGAUAAAUUUACAAUACCUUAGUUUAUUACUUGGUAUAAGAAUAAUAAAAAUCUAUUUACGUAAUAUUUAUAAUAUUAUCAUUAUUAUUUAACAUUUCUUUGGUUAUUUUUAUAAUGUUGUCCUUAUUACUUAUUAUUUAACAUUACUUUGGUUUUUCUCCAAUGAUAAUUAUUUAUUAAUAAAAUGUGAUCUCCUUUCAUUAUCAAAAAGAAAUAUAAAAAAAUCUGAACUCAUAUUACUCUUUUAUUUCCUUUGUUGCCCUUUACCCUUUAUAUGAAAAAUAGGGAGAGAAUAGUUUAAACAAUGUGAUUUGGGCAGCGAAAAGUGAACUCCUUCCAUUAUCAAAUUAAUUAAAGCAUUGAAACUAAUCGCCGUUUAUCACUGCUGCAGCUAAAAAAGUUCAAAGGUACUCUAAAAUUAUGCAGCGGAGACAUAAUUACUAAUUUGGAACACAUCCUAACAAACGUUCUCAAGAAGCUAAAAUAAAAAUUUUUAAAAGAAAAAAAAAAAAACCCAAAAGUCGGGGGAACAAAGCUACAUAUGAAAAGUGUCUAUGUCCGCUUUUUCAUCUCCCUAUUUUUUUUUACUUCUUCCUCUUCUUGGGAGGCUGGAGUGCUUCCUCGUCUUCGUCCUCGUCCUCUUCGUCCUCGUCAUCUGCUACUUCGUCUUCAUCCUCUCCACCAUCAUCAUCGUCGUCGUCAUCACCAUCUUCGUCGUCGUCAUCCUCAUCGCCAUCAUCGUUAUCAUCAUCAUCAUCACCAUCAUCGUCUUGAUCCUCCUCCCCGUCAAACUCUUCUUCUUCCUCUCCAUUCUCUUCCGCCCCACCAGCUCCACCCUCUGGAUUCUUCUUAGAAUUACUUUUGUUAUUAUCGUUGAGGUUGUUGGUGUAGUCAUCUCCAUCUUCAGAUGAUAAAUCCUCUUCACCUUCACCUUCACUCAAGUCGCCAUCCCCAUCACCUUCAUCGUCAUCAUCAACAUCUCCUCCAGCAUCGAGCGGUGUGGACGAGGGGCACAGGGUGGAACUAUCUCCUUUCAUUUCAGGAUUGAUCAGAAAUGCACCAAGAGAAUCCUGCAACAAAAUUCCCAAGAGUACAAUGGUCCAUAAGGUUAAGCAUGUCAGCGACCAAAAACAUCACUUCAAAAAUGGUCGUUGCAAUCAAAGAAAAACAGACAGAGAAACCACACAAGGACUAUCAAUUUCUAUGUUCCUUAUACACUUGAACUCAACAUAGUAGGCAAUAGAUUUUAAUGAAAACAUUAAUGCUAAAACAACGUAGCCGCUACCAGUUCACCUGAAUUUCCUUUUAAAAAGUCAAAUUGAUAGUAAUGCCUCAGAAUUUCUUUUGUUUUACAAUUUCAAAACAUGAUGAUUAGUAACGAUAAGGACAUAUUAAAAUAUUUAACAGAAUAUGAUGGGACAUAUUAACAGAAAUGAAUAGUAUGGCAGGCGUACAUUUGUUUAUUCCCCCCCGUCUCAGUCCUCCAAUUUGACAAUCUCUGUUUUUACUUUAACCUCCUCCCCUUUUUAUUUUAUUUUUUCCCCAUGUCUUUUCUUGUCGGGAUCUGGUCACCAACCAAAGUGAUAAAGAACCCACUUUAACGUUUAAAUUACCCACUAAUUUUAAUCAGCUACUUCAAUUGAAUGUCAUAAAUGGCAUCCAUUAAGAAGCAGAAAGGCAGAGGAUGGUGGGAAGGGAAUAAACUUCCCAAUCACAAUCGGGCGGGCACUAUCAUAAGCUAGAAAUAGAUACAGGAAGAUGAAAAGAUAAUCUUUUGGGCACUAGAAACCACGUAUUAAGAUUGAUUCCUAAUCCAACAAUUCUCAAAAAAGUCGCAAAGUACUCCAAGAAUUAUUCGACACCGAGUCCAAAGCAUAAUAUUCCAACAACAAAAGAAAAAGGUGACAUCUCCCUAUCUUAACAAUUGUUUAGUGAAAUAUUUCACAUGAAACGAAUAAACUUUGGAGCAUAGCUUUAUUUAUUUUAUUCUUAAAUGGAAAUAAAAUGAAAUUCCGUGUCAAUCAUCAAUAGUAUCUUCAACCACUGAAAUGAAGUGAAUUAAAAGAGGGAUAUGGCGUGUCAUUCAAGUUGUCGGUUGAGGGUCAUUUCCGUAAAUUCAGCAUCAAACCUCAACGAACCCAUCAAGUGGGGUCAAGAAAAUGAUGGCCCAAUAGCAAAAAAACAAAGGGAGAAAGAUAAAUCCAAAAGAAUCAAUCCCAUGACGCGUGAUUACAGUAAUUUCCUUGAAAAAAUAAAAAUGAAAAGUUUUCAACUUUUUAUUUUAUUAAUUUGUAGAAAAAGUUUUUGUUUUUUGGGUUUGAAAAGAUCAACCAAAAUAAUCUAAUGGAAGCCGUACGAUGGGAAUCAGUUAGCCAAACGGAAGGAGUGGCAGUGAAUGGAUCUGUUGGAUAUUUUUCUCACCUAUCCUACAGCUUACUUUAUCGACUAAGGCUCAGCCGAAAUCGGCAAACAUCAAAACGGUUGGCCGAAGCCGGGGGACUUCCAUAAAAAAACACACAAAAAACCAUCCAGUAAAAACCCAUUUGAAACAUAAUUUUUCCUCGAUAUGAAAAGCAUAUCAACUAGAAACAUUCAUUAACUGGGCAGAUAGAACUCAGAAAUUACAGAUAAGGUGGUAAUUAAAAAGGUUAGAGACAGAGAGGGGCCUUGCCUGAGCCAGGCGCUGGGUGUUGACCAGAGCCGAAGCUAGUAAAGCAGCUAAGCAAUUACUGGCGCAUGCCAGUGAGCCAUCACCGAGCGUGACACCUAAUGAAGCAUUUGCUAUCUCCAUUCGCGCGGCGACUGUUCCCUGCAAAUGGAUCAAAAAACACUGAUGAGAGAUGUGGUCGCCGUCAGAUCUGUCUCCAAAAAUUCAACAGCCGUUAAAAAAUGAAAAAAUGAAAACCUAAAAAUUAUAACAAAACAUAACUCCACCGGAAAUUCUCUCAGUCUCUCAGUCUCUCAGUCAGCCCCUUCCCCUACCGUGUUGAUUUGGUAGUUUCUACCGCCUAUCCUGAGGUUUGACCGCAGACAAUAAAUCCAAAAAGACUCAUUCUAAGACAUAUUCAAAUACCUUUUUUAAAAAGAGCAUAAGAAGUUUUCUGACGCAUCCUCUAACAAGCAGAGGGACCUAAACUUUCAGUGAAGCAAAAAAUUCCAGUGUUCAUAAAGUCAACGGUAAAUCCAUCCCAAAAGUUACAAAAAGCGUAGAUAUACGAGAAAUUAAACUCCACACAGCACAGAAAUUCAGUUAAGUCGUUCAGAAACGACCCCGAAACACUAGUAAAGUGAAGAACAGCAAAGAAGGUGAAGCAAAAAAAGCAGAAAACAAGAAAAGAUGAAGCUCAAAUAGGGGAAACAAAACAGAAACAGAUAGAAGGAAGAAAAAAAAGGAAUUAAGAGAAAAAGCAUACCGAGAAGAGAGAUCAGAGCAGAGAGAUGGUAGAUCUGGAGGUAUGGAGAUCUAAAACCACAGAAAAGAAGGAGGAGAAGGGAGGUUCAUUGUGGACCGUCGGAUCGAGAUCGAAAAGACAAAAGAGAAACGAAGAUAUAGAAUUAUCGGCGGCACUCAGAGAAGGGGGGGGGGGGGGGGGUUGAGAGGGAAAGAGGUGAGAGAGGGGAAGUGAGAGAAGCGAGUGCGAUUACUGGAGACCGACUGCCCGUAAUUUUCCAGUCCGGUAUCGGGCAGAUCGGGCAGCGUCGUAAUCUUGUAAAAAAGACCGCGUUUUAAGCUGCCCAAUGAGCCUCGAUGGACAGGUGUGGGUUCGGAUAAACUUUUCUCUUCUAUUUUUCCCUUUGGUCCUUUCUUUUUUUCCUUUUUACUUUUUCAGCAACCAGUUUUUCCAUUUAUUACACAAACCUUCCUCCAACGAAAACUGUCUUUUUCAUAAAGUCUUCGUCCCCCCCCUUUUUUUCUUUUUUCCUUCCCCCCCUCUUCUUCUUCUUCUUCUUCCUCUUCCUCUUUUAAAUCAUUCUUAUUUAAAUUUAAUAUGGCUUCAACUUUAAGCAUCUGAACAACUCUUUAUCUUCAGACUAAAAGUAUAGUAUUCAAAUUAUUAUUAUUCCUAAAUAAGAACAGUAUCGUCAGACCAGACUCAGUCCACCAGGAACUCCACAUCCUUGAUUAUAAAUUAAUAUCAAUGAAAGGAUAUUGUUAAUUUAAGAAUAAACCGAUAGAGCUUAGAUUUUAAGCAAGAGGGAGGUAUGGGCCUGUUUUAACAACCAGGCCCAGGCCCAUUCUUGGUCCAAUUAACCAUCUUCUUCUGGAAGGAUCAAAAGCUCCUCCACUUUAAAACCAUGGAAGAUGUUUAAUAACCCUAAUCCAUGUAUUUUCAGGAAUGGGGACACAGAUGGCUUAUAUUUUAAAUUUUCAAAACAAUUACCUUUUGAAAUAUGUCAUUACCCGUAGUUAUAAUCUAUGAACUAAAUGCAGUCAUGGUAGGUUCUUUGGCAAAGCAGAGAACGCCUUCUCUGGAAAAGGUUCGGAUAAAAGAAUAAUAGAAACUACAAAAUAAAUAUCACACGGGAAGCCUCGGUUCUUAUUUUGUUAUAAAUCAAUAGGUUGAAGCAAACUUAGCUCAACUUGCAUUUCCUUUCUUAAGAGAAUGAAGAUUUGAUUCAUUUUCGUUAUUAUACUAAAAAAACCAAUAAAAACUUAUCUCGAGACAACGAUUCAAUGUAUUUAUAAAUGUAGAAUAAAUGUUAGGUGAGGUGUGAUUCAAAAUUUAAAAGUUAAAAGGACAAACUUGUAAGGAAGUUAAAAAUUAGAUAUAACAUAAAAUUGGAGGAGCAAAUUAUGAAAGAAAGGAUAUAAGUUCAAUAAACCACAAACAAUAUGGAUUUUAUUGUUUAUGUGCUUUUGGGCAUAAAUUUGGGAGCUGUCUUUUGAAAUGAACCACCACUGGCAUCUAUCUAAUACAUAUUCUGCAGUAGUCAAACAUAGGAAUGCUGUAAAAGAAAAAAGAAAGAAAGAAAUGUUCUUGUUUGAUUAGUGGACCAAACUAUAUGCUCCCACCACCAAGUGAUUACAUAAUAUACUAAUUGGUAUAGCAAAACUUGGAUGCUUCUCAUACACCAUCUUUUUGGUGUACACCUAAAUCUCAUAACAAAAAAAUAGGUUUCUAUGUAGCAAACUAUAGUUGAACUAGUAGAUUUUGAAACCUAAGAAUCAAAAUAGAUAUCAAACUGAUGGAAGAACUCAAAAUUCAAAAGUAAAAAUAUAACCUUUUGAAAUCUAAAGAUCAAAAUAGAUAUUAAACUAACUCAAAACAAACAUUACUUUUAUUUCUGUUUUUUAUAUAAUACAGUGACAUAGUUAUUAUUUCCACAAUGAAUUGAGGUGUCAACUUGUCACUAAUACAUUGGAGAGAUCGUUAAAUAGACUAAAACGUUAUAAACUCACCAUUUAUCACGGCAGUUUAUAAAAAUGGAAGUUGUAAAAGAGAUCCAAAGAAAUCAAAGUCUUCAAAAGCCAGCAGGAGCCCCACCCUUUCUGGGGUCACUUACAGCAACAAGCUUCCCGAAGCCAUCACCUUGUCUCAAUGAGCUAGAACCUUGAACAAUGAACUGACAAAUUGUUCCUCCGGCAAGCCCUUCUAAGACGUGACCUUUCUUCGCAAGGACUGCCCUUGUUUCAGCCGGAACUUCAAAAUGAUCCCCCAGCACAGUGGUCCAGUUCUCAUAGUUCAAAAUGUUUGGAACCAGCUGUUCGUUUACCAAAUUAUAUUAAUUCCCAAACUUCAAAUUGCACUUCAGUGACUAAUAUUUUAGUGUAAGAAUGUUUGGAUCAGAUGAACAAAUGGAGGAAUAUUAUGAGAUGGGUUGGUGAAGGGAAGCUAGAUGAUGAAACGAACCUGAUGGUAAACUCUGGGAGCCAUCACAGAUGAGAAAGGACUCAUUCCUUUUGCAAAAUGAUUCAACAAAACCUCUGCUGUUCCAGCAAUGAUGAAGCCUCCUCCACUUGCACCGACCACAGCUUUCAGUUGACCAUUCUGUGGAUGAGUUUUACGAAAAUCUUCGAUUAUAACAUAUUUAUAGAGAGAGUGAAAUUUGGAAUUCAAGUUCAUUUGUGAUUGGAGGAAAUUAGAAUGAAAAGGGACCUUUAGAACAAUAGUAGGAGACAUGGAUGACAAUGGCCUUUUUCCUGGCCUAAUGAAAUUGGCUGGUGCUGGUGGAAGUUGAUUAGCAGAAACAUUAGCCGGGAUAGCAAAAUCGUCCAUUUCAUUGUUCAAGACUAUUCCUGUACUUGGGGACAGUAUAUGUGCUCCAAAAUAGUAGUUCACAGUGGUAGUCAUGGAGACGGCAUUUCGUUCUCCAUCGACUACAGACAAAUGACUGGUUCCAUGGUCAUUGAUUGGAUUCCAUCUGUUACAAACAGAAUAUAUGUUACCAACAGGCUCAACUCAAAGGAAGAAAGUAGAGAUAGAAGGUCUUGCUUGGAACGACGAGGAAGCACUUGGAAAUGCUUACAUUUAUAUGAGGAUAUAAAGGAAAUACUAACGGCGAAUCCAUGUAGGAGCACUGACCUGCCACCAUAAUGGCUUGGAUGAAAAGUUUUGUUGUCAUUGAUGGUUUUCUUCAAUUGUUCAGCAAAUUUGGGUGAGAGCAUAUCAGAAAGAACUUCGGUAACAUUGUAGAAAUCAGGGUCACCGAGGUUCGUCCUUACUGCAACCACAUGUUUCAAUGCUUCAAUCUCCCGAUGGAUACCAAGAGGGCCCAAAAGCCCUGAAGGCAGUUUAUAUUGAGCCAGAAUAUUAAGCAUCUGCAGUAGAACGUGGUGUUACUAACAAAAUGAACUUUUAACAAAACUGCUCAUAAAGACAAGACAACAAACUUACAAGGAUCACUCCAGAGCCUCCUGAAGGAGGAGGCAUGGUGGUUAUCUCGAGAUCCAUUGUACGAGAUAAGAUGGGGACUCUAGUUUUAACUUGAUAACUCUGCAAGUCCUUCAUUGACAGUAACCCUCCAAGCUUCCUGAUGUCUCUUAUCAAGUUAAUUCCGAUCGAACCAUUAUAGAAGGCACUGACACCAAAUCUAGAAAUAGUUCUUAGAGUUUCUGCCAGUUUCUGGUUGCGGACAAUAUCUCCCUGUUUCAACAAUUUUCCACCUGAUGUUAACAAGUUCCUGAGCCCUUCAUCCCCUAAGAUCCCUGAUUCUGUUCUAACCAUCUGCAUAUGAAGGUAUGGAGAUAUUUUAAACCCCAAGCGAGCAAGACGUUCAGCUGGUUGAACAAGCCUUGCCCAUGGAAGCUUUCCAUGUUGUUUCCAAGCCUCAUGAAGCCCUGCAAGUUCUCCUGGAACGGCAAUGGAAAGGGCUCCGGAUGCUUUUGAUGCAACAUUGCCAGCAUACAUAUUCUGUAUAUGAAUGCAAAAAAAUUUAAGAAACUGAUUCAAUGAGAAAUUUUGGAUGAGUGAAGUUAUCAGGUUGUGUAUAGCCAAUUGAUAACAACUCAUUAUUCAUCAGUUUCCAAAUGUUAAAACUCAAAAGUUACACCCAAAAGACUUUUAAGCAUAUGCUCGUGUAAAGUUCAACACAAUGAUGAUGAAAGAUAUGAACUACUUAAAUAACACUAUUCAAUGCCAUCAAACUAUCAAUCACUAUACAACAUUUGAAUUUCAGACAUGAAUGAACAACAUGAGCUUUCCAACAACAAUAAAAUGAGCAAGAAGACUAUAUGACCAUUGUGCUUCUUUUUUUCUUCAUGAAAAAUGAUUAAGUUGGAAAUCUAACAAAGAAGAAGAAAAAAGCGGAGUACCAUUUACCUCAGAAGCUAGCAAAGGUGCGGUCUCCCUCAUAUCGAAAGCCUGAGCUUUUCCACUGGCUGAUCUGAUCAGCAUAAAGGCUCCUCCACCAAUGCCACUUGAUGCAGGACUAACAACCCCCAGGCAAAGAGCAGCAGCCACUGAUGCAUCAACAGCAUGUCCUCCUUCGCGUAGAACAUCCAUACCAAUUUUGGAGCAACGGCGAUCAUCUGCGGCAACGGCACCAUGGCUUGCUACAACAACUUCAGGUCGAGCUAUGGAGGUCGGAGUCAGUAACCCAAUAGAAACAAGAACAAUCACAAGCCACCGUAUCAACAUUGCUGCAGCCACACAUGCAAACCAUUAUAGAUUACUCAGUAAAUAAUACUGAUCAGUUUAAUUGGGAAAAAAAAAUGUAAAUCACUAUCAGGAGAGCAUACAUUGAUAUAUUCUUGCUGGCCAAACUAUGUUUAAAGAUAUGAUACAGAAUAAAGGUUUUAAUUAAUUUUUAAAGUUUUUCAAAUCAGCCCAUUUGCCGAGGAUUUAUAAUUAUAUUAAAAGCAACGUAACUAAAACCGUGAUUACGAUCAGGGGCGCAUUCAUUGACUUUUGAAGGCCAAACCAUGUUUAAAAAGAGCAAAAUGGCUUUGAUCUUUUAUACAGUUUUCUAAAUCAGCCCAUGUGGAAUUUGAAAAUAAUGCCAGAAGCAGCACAAGUAAAAUGAUUUCAGUAUCUUUAAGGUGCAAAACAAUUCCUUAGACCAUGUUUUGUUCCUGUAUUGAUGAGAACAAGAUUUUGAAAAUAGAACACGCCACAAAAGAUAAGAUUGAAUUUAGUGCGUUUGUUGGCCUUAGAAGUUCAUUUGGCAGUAAAAUUUGCCAAGUGGAUGUUUAUGUGGAAAUUUCUGUUUGGUACUUGGAAUGAAAAGAAUCUGUGGCAGAAUCUAACUGCUAGAAGUUGACAAAUUGGAAAAGAUUUUCUAAGAGAGACGGUAAGCGGAUGAAGAAAGAAUGAUUAGAACAAUAGAGAAAAUGAACAAAUAGUGUACAAGCUCAUGCCUAUGGAGGGAAAAAGGGUGGCCGUGUUAUUUCUUCUAGAAAAUUUUGAGUGAAAAUGUUUUAGAUGGCAAUGCUAUUGAAAAUGUUUUUUUUAAAGAAGUAAAAUUUUGUUAGAUAUGCUAUAUUUAAAACCAUUCCAAACUAUAAUGUUAUAUUAUUACUAAAACUAAAAUAACUCAAUGUUUAAUUUUAUCAUUUUGUUAAAAUUAAUUUUAAAUAAUUAAAAACCUUUUUUCUAAAAUAAUUUUGAAAAUAACAAAAUCCAUAAAACCUAUACCACCGUCCAAAUCUAAUUCAAAACACCAAUUAUCAUUUAAAUGUGAAUAUCCUUCCUAAAAAAAUGUCAAAAAAGUAAGCCACCACAAAGUGACGGUGAUUAUAAGUACAAAGUUUGUAAAAAUAGUAAAAAAAUUAUGAUAAUAGAGUUCAUGUCACUUAUCUUUUUAAAAUUGUAAAAAUAACAAAUUUAGAUAUAAAAUAUAUAUAUAUAAAAAUAAAAAAUAUGUUAUUAACUGUUUUUUACUCAAUUUUUUAUUAGCUGUUUUUUACUAAAUAUUUUUAUCAUCCAAUCCAAUUUUCUAAAAAUAUCUCCCAAUUUGUAUAGUUGUUAAAAUUGGCGUUGUAACCUUGUAGAAGUUUGACCAAACAUUUGCAAAGAGCUUUCCGGACGAUCUACGCCAUCGUCGUUACGUUGGUCCUCAAAUUACUAUUCUCACUCUUCGCACCCCCAAAUGUAUAAUCAUUCUCCCCACUAAUAUUACUUCAAUUUUCCAUGGAAGAUUGAAAUGAGUUCAAUUUGAGGAAAAACCUUUCCCCAAGAUUCUGCCAUGAAUGAUUUCAGAACGACGAAAUAAAAUGGAGAGUUCUGACUCAAAUCACCAAUUUAUAACCACAAACAAAAACCCAGAAACCAAAAGGCGAGAAUGGAUCACGUUGAAGCAAGAUUGAAAUUACUCAUUCAAACAGUGACUCACUUGGGAUGAUUUAUUGGCUAAGUAAGAGAAUCAGCUCGAAUCCGCCCUUUCUUGUCGUCUUCUUCUUUCCGUAGUCGAUUUAUUUGGCAGCAGCCUUGUUCUUUCCUGGGAAUUAAAGAAGAAAAGCAAUCGCAAUAAGGAAGUUGCAUUGACAAUGGGUGAAAAACAGGAAAGAAGGCGAUAUAUCGUUAUCAUAAUCGACGACUUUCGUGACAAUUUUUGGGCGUUGUUUUUUUAUGAAUCGGAUAAAUUAGGAUUUAGGGUCUAGUUUUCAUCUUUUGCGGUUUCGUCGAAGUUCACUUUACCUUGUAAAUUCUGCACUCCACAUUUCUCGAGUCGUUCGUUUCAGAUAAUUUUCCGAAUUUUCAAGGGCUAAAACUACGUCCUGAUUAUCCAGAGGAAAAGAGCCGUUGAUCAUCCGAUUCGACCCAACUUGGCGGAUUGAUGAGAGAUUAGAGAAGAAUCAAAAGAGGUCGCAUAGUGCGAUAGUUACUCUAGGAAUCUUCCACCAUGUGAACCUUUUUUCCAUGGACCUUUGAAAAAGUUUGAAACUUUCUUUGUUAGAACUUUAUUUCCAUCGUGCGAUAUUUCGUGGAUAAUACUAAGAUACAAAAUCUUGUAAUCUAAAAGUAAAAGAAUCUAAGUCAGUGACUUGAUAAUUUUACUUAUUCUAUGCUUGAAUUUCAUGAGUAACUCAGCAAACCCCGUCUACAAGAUACAAUCAACCAUCCUUUGUGAAAACACUCUGAAAGUUUUGAAUAAAAGGUGAUGAAAAAGUGGUUCUAAAAUGCCAUUUGAAAAAGAAAAAGACACAUUAAUGAACUAUUUGUUAGCAUUCAAAUACUUCGUUCUUAGUUAAUUAUGAAAUUCGAAAAGACAUGUUCAUUGCAACCACAACCUAAAAGUACAUCUUCUGCCUAACUUUAUUUGGGUUAAUCCUAUGCCAAAACGAGUAUCCCCUCCGUCCAAGAAAAAUCUACAAUCCUACUUUACAAUCUCAAAAUGAACCUUUUCUCUCCUUAUAAACAUUAUUAUUUUAUUUCUUUCCACUGAUUUAAAUUCAUUCUGCUAACAUGUCUUUUAACAAUGGAAGCUAUUGAAGAGAUCCAAGAAUUCACAAUCUCAAAGCCAGCCGGAGCCCCACCUUUCCUUGGAUCACUUACUACCACAAGUUUAUCCACGCCACCACCUUGUCUCACUCACCCAAAACUUUGAACAAUGAACCGACGAACUGUCUCUUCUAAGACACGACCCUUCUUAUCAAGGUCUGCCCUUGUUUUAGCAGGCACUUCAAAAUGACCCCCAAACACAUUGGUCCAAUUCCGCAUAGUUCAAAAUGUUUGGAAUCAGCUGUUUGUUUGCUUCAAUUCAACAAAAAAUGUAUUAGUUCCCAAAUGACUAACAUCUAGUAGUGCAAGAAGGUUUAGAUCGGAUGAAUCGAUAUAGAAGUAUUACAAGACGGAUCGGAGAAGGAGCGCAUUAACCGGAUGAUAAACUUAAGGAGUCAUCACAAAAUGAUUCAACAAAACCUCUGCUACUCCAGCAAUGAUGAAGGCUCCUCCACUUGCACCAACCACAGCUUUUAGUUGACCAUCUUGUAGAUGAAAUUAAGUUCAAAGAAAUCUUCAAUUACAAGACACCUAUAAAGGUAGUAACAUUUUGAAAUUCAAGUUAAGAAAUUAGAAUGAAAAGAACACCUUUAGGAGAUAGUAGGAGACAUGGAUGAUAAUGGCCUUUUCCCACAGUCAGCGAGACAGCGUUAUCAAGUGUUGAAUAAAGAAGUUGGGCUGAAUUUCAUCACCUUCUGGGCUGGAGGCCCAUUAUAGGCCCAUAUAUAAUAUCCGACCCGCGUUGUUCGCAUCCCGUCAACAUUGCUAUUAUUCAAUUUCAAACCACCAUCUUUCUCCCGCCCAAUCUUCUUGCCCACGUCUCAACAUCGGUUCUUCGGCAGAGCUCAAAAAGAGGAAGAGAGAGAUUUACCGGUGUAAAUUAAUCCAUUUUUUUCCGUCUCCGGCAGCUACAUUUCUUCAUGUUUUAGAAUCCCACUGCGAACUUCAAUUAAUUUCACUGUGCACUACAUUAGGGUUUGAAAGUUUUUGUACAGUUGAAAAUCCAGUGACGAAGUACGGAUUCAUCUCAGAAUGCUGCAAUCUGAGUAGUCCAGUAAAGCCAAGAAAGACUGGUAGCUGAGAAUGGCAAGGCGAAAGGCGAAGAAAACGGUUAAGAAGUCCAGCCCUUCACCUAUACUAGAAGCAAAGGAUGAAGCAGCGAAUGACGAGGAUGGUAUGUUGAAAUUCGUGGUGAUUUCGAUUCUUUUACUGAAGCCGGAAUUUAAUUGAAAGAAAAUUGUUUUGUUUCUCUUCCCGUUAACAUAAUUGUUCCUCUGUUUUCCCUUUUACUCGUGUUUAGUUGAACGGCAUGCUGCUGCAAUCCGUGCCAUUCGGGAUGUGGAGAUCGGGCGUUUGAUUACUGAAUUGCGGUUGCUUCGUUCGUAUUUCAACAAGGAGCAAUUGCAAACUCCUUUAUUGCAAUUCUUCGAAGAAAAACUUCCUAGGUUGUCUAUUUCGAGAACAGGCGAACAAGGAGAAAUUGAAGUACAAUGGAAGGAUACAGAGGAUGAACUACGCACCAAUCCAGCUGAUGGAAUAGAUAUACAUGCGUCUCUCCUUCACCGCCUGUCGAUAGCUUAUCCUAACUGCUCUGCCGGAAUGCGAUCUUUCAAUGGAUUCGAAUUUUCCAGUAAAUCAGGUAUCUGUAGAUUUUGGAUUUUGGAGCGCAAAAUCAUUUAGUAAGUGCCCCCUUAUACGACGCUUCUUUGCUGCAACUCACCUUCUUUUCUCUACUGAUGGCAGUGAAAACGAAUCCUUUCAUUGUCGAGAACCUGCAAAUUCCAAACUUUGUAAGUAAUAUUUGCAUAUGAUAUCUUAAAUCGUACAGUAGUAGAAUGAGUUAUAUGGUGCGAGCACACAACAUACGAUGUAGUUUGUCUAUAUCUUUUGUUUCAUGUUGUUGAUUUGUGGAAGAACGCUACUAGAAAUAAAACCGUGAACAAUUUGGUAUUGACUCAUAGAUUUGUUAACAAUUCUUGAUUUUAGGUUUUGGAGGAGCCCUCGGAUAAUUUGGUGCUCGGCAUGCCAGACAUACACCAAACUCCUGGGGUUUGUAUCUUUAUGGUUUUUGCACAUCGCUUAUUGCAUUGGCCUUUUCAUGUUAAUAUUCUAUAGCUGUCUGUUAUUGCCAUUUUUUUAGGCGGUGUUUUCACUUAAAUUAUCUAGGCACAUUGAUUGUCGGGGUCUAAGGAAUGGAAUUACUGUAGUGAUAGAUGGGUGGCUGCAAUCAAUUAUUAAUGUUUUAUUUUCAAUAAUUAACGGUGUUUUGUUUAAAUAUUUAAGGGUGUCUAAGCUAAUUCAUGUCUAUAAGUAGGGAUUUAUUGCCUCAAUCUGUCAAUAAGUUUGAGUUGUGACUUCUUGGUUAUAAGUUGGGAUCUUGUUGCCCACCAUCAGUUAAACUUUGUGGUUAAUGAAGUCUAAAUGUAGGGAAUAAGUUCAGCACAUAGUGGCCAUCCCACUACCAAAUAUUUGAAAAUCAAAGUAGAAUCACAUUAUGAUAGUUUUUUCUGUGAGGAUAGUUGAGGCUAACAAGCUGACCUUAAAGAAAACAUGGCCUUCAUAUACUCAUUAGUAAAUCGGAAAUGAACUUUGAACCUAGUAUUUGUCUUGCAAUCGGAUGCUAUUUGAAAUUUUGGAACGUUGGACUAUAGUUUUGUUUUUUCUUCUCUCUUUUAAUGGUUCAUUUUGGAUUUGAAUAUUUCUACUCCGAAACUUCAGUGUAAAUGUUCCUAUGGAUAUCAAUACCAUGAUAAAAGUUCAUAUUUAUAUAUGUUUUCUGCCAACCAACUAGGGGAGAUAAAUUAAGUUCCGAGCUAAGUUGCAAAAAAGUUAUUGGGAGCCGGGAGGCAAUAGUCGAUCAUUUCAAAAAUCAAUCAUGACUAGAUCGUAGAGGGAAUGAUGGAACACGGCUUCAUUUCUAGUAAUUAAAUAAUUUAUUUGUUAAGACAGGGAAAAUCUUGAACCCAUGAAGGAAGCUGCAAAGAUGAAUUCUAAGUACAAAGAUCGGCAUGGUUCUUACUAAAAAAUACAUGUAAAGAUUAUAUUUUAAUAACAUCUCAGGCUUGUUCGAGGGAUUAUCCCUAACAGAACUUGCUUAAGGCUGUUUUUGUCAUUGUUGCCUCUAUUUAGUGUAUUAUACUAUAACUAUAAGCUAACUAGCCUUCCUUCUACAGGUGAGUAACCAACGAUUAUCCAUUGGGAUGACUCCGAAAACCCGAAGACUGCCAAAACCAGGCGAGAUGCUUGUGUCCAUCCAUGGAUCCCCCUUGGGUGUUUACAAGGAAGACAACAUGGAAGCAAUCCAUGGUAUGCUCAUUUAGGUCAUUUCCAUUUCUAGACAUGGAGUAUUUUGGUGGGUUUAUAUAAAUCGUGCUUCUACAUUUUUCUAAUGGGUAAAUUGAUAUUGUGCAGAAUCGGAAGAGGGUUGAUUUGCUGAUUCAACGCGACUUGACUGCUUGUCAAUAGAAGUGAUACUCCAAAUGCGAUCAUCUCGACCAUCGUUUUACUUUUACCUGAUGUACUUUCAACCUUCUUGUCUUGUAAUCUAACCUUUUGAUUACUUCUUAAAAGUUACUCUUACGUGUAUAACUAUAAACUAGUGUGUUUUAACUCCAAGGAACGAGCAUGUACAAACACGCAAUUGCUCCACUAGAUUAUUGUUCAUUGUUAUUUGUUACGAAAGUUGACGUUGGAUUAAAGGUAAAUCUGGAUUGUUGCUUUGUCUUUAUUUCCAACAUGUUUUUUGUGAUUACCAACACAGUCUCAGAUCGCUAAUGAGGCAGAAAAAUGGUUCAGACGGUUGCUUAGGCUCUCCGAUGACAAUUGAAUCAAUUUAUAUAAUCCACAAAUACAAAGCACACUUAGUUUGUCUGUACAUCCCAAUUUUGUGAGGAGUCGGACCUCAUCAAAUCAUAAAAUUUCAUGGGAAAAUAAAUGAGCAUAUAUACAAAAUUUUGGUUUCUUUUCAAAACUCAACAUUCCUGUAAUUUUUGUAAAACUGCCGUACCAUUCUCCAAAUUUUAAGAGGAGAAGUCAAGAAGCUUCUAAAGAAUGUAGAUUGACCACAAAAAGGAAAUUCUUAAGCUAACCCUAGCUCUGGAGCAUGGUUUUCCACACCACUUUCUGAGUUUCGUGAACCUGUUCUAGUUCUUGAAGAUCUUGGUUUUUGCACAUUACUUUCUAAGUUUCUUGGACCUGAUCUAGUUCUUGAAGAUGACUGUUUUUCCACACUACUAUCUGAGUUUCUUGAACCUGUUCUAGUUCUUGCAGGUUCUGGUUUUUCUUGUGACGAUCCAAUGGUUCCCAAAGCAUCGAGGAAGAAUCUCUUAUUUGGAAUGAUGCCAGCUUUGUCCAUAUUCUUCAAGAGCUUCUCCAGAAGUUCCUUCUUAUCAGCUUUGGUGUAAGCUUUAUAAAGAAGCUUGUAUGUUGUUGAAUCUGGAAAUACCCUCAUAUUACCUGCACUCUCAAAAAGCAAAUCGGCUUCCAAGGGUAAACCAUUGAUGCAGUAAACAUCAAGCAUGGCAUUGAGGGUUGAGACUCUCACCUCCUUCCCAGAAUUAACCAUUCCAUCAAAGAUUUCUCUAGCCUUAGAAACACAGUCACAAUGACCAUACAUCAUGAUCAGGCUUUCACAAGUAACAUAGCUGGGGUCAUAUCCCAUAUCCUUCAUCUUCCUAAAAACCUCUUCAGCUUUCUCUCUAAGCCGUGCCUUCCCGUAGUUUGUGAUCAUUGAAUUGAAAGUAGGCAGUGUUGGCCUCUCCUUCGAUCGUAGUAAGCUCUUAAACACCUGUUCCAUCUUGUCAAAUAACUGUUUCUUCCCAUAUGAAUCAAUCAACAAGUUAAAGGAUAUGAUAUCUGGUUUAAUUUGAUUGCUUUUCAUGCGAGCAAGCAUCAAUUCCAUCUCUUUAAUGUUCCCAUUUUUCCCAUAUGCAUCCAUCACUCCAUUAUACGUAUAUAUAUCAGCUGAAACAACACUCUCAUCGAGAUCUUUAAACAAUGUAUUAACUUGAUCCACUUUUGCAGCUUGAGCAAAAGCUCUGGUAAGAAUGUUGUAAGUAACAAUGUUUGGCUUACAUCGUUCCAUUCCUUUCAUCUUCUCGAAGUACGAAAGGACUUUAACUAAAGCUUUAGCUUUGUCCUUAGAAUGAAGAUGUGCUGUGAUAAGUGCAUUGUACACAGAAGUAUCAGGUCGACACCCACUAUUUCGCAUCUCAGAAAACAACCACAUAGCCAUCCGAAUUUGACCCUUCUUUCCCAUAAUAGAUAUUAGUUUAGAAUAAACCCCAUUGUCAGCAAUAUACCAACGUUGUUUCUGCAUCCAUCUGAAGACCUGGAGAUGAAAACACAUCAAUAAAACAUAAUAGCAGAAAAAUGUAGACUCUCCCUUCUUCAUCUAUGCCUAAAUAGAGCUUGAACUACAGUGAAAAUUCAAUUAAUUCUGUGUAAUGUUCACAAAUUGAAAAUUCAUAUCCUCGAUUUCAAAUUCAAUCAACCGUCUUUGAGCAUUUUCACCACUACCCAUCAAUCCAAGUUCCAAAAGUCAAUACCCAUAGGCUCAAAUUCAGAGUUCAAAAGAAGAGAAGCGAACCUCGAGACAUUCAAGCCAUUUAUCUCUUUUCCCCAAUUCCUCAAAUAGAAGAAAACAGUGCUCAGUUCUCAUAACACGAACGUAUUUGUCCAGUGUCUUGAGCAAUGGUUCUUUGUCGCUGAAAUUUCUAAUUAUACCUCGAACCAGUUCUUCAGCCUCGGAUCUGUCGGUUUUAACCCCAAAUUUCCUACUGGGUCGAGUCGAAAUGCAGACCACUCGAGUCGAAACGGCUUUCUUUAUAGAUGAAGGGAGUGGAAGCCAUAGCCGGGAGAGUUGGGAAGAAGAAUAAGAUGGAGUGAAUGUGGGAGAAAAUUGCAGAGAAAAUGAAAGAGGCAUUGGAGAAUUUGAAGUACCUUGGAGUUCGACAGGGAGAGAGGAUAGCAAAAUCCGAUGAAGUAAAUGGUUGAUUUUGUAAAUUCCUCGCGUUGGAGAAAAAAACAAAAAAAAAACAAAAGAGGGAAUUGAACCCGACGUGAAUCGAACACGCAACCUUCUGAUCUGGAGUCAGACGCGCUACCAUUGCGCCACGGAUCCACUUGUUGAUUUCAUAAUUAAGUAAAAGAAUUAAACCAAUAAUAUUUUCAUUGUAAGAAAUAAAAAUGAUCUAAACAUUAAGACUAAAGUUUGGAUAAUUUUUUUGAAAAUGUUCUCUUUGUACAAUUAACACGAUUCUUGAAAAAUCAUUAAGCUACAUUGUAACAUCUUCAAUAAAUAAUUUUAUUCUCCACAACUAUCAUCUAAUUUCCUCGAAAUUUAACAAAAAAAAUUGGAGGUUAUGAGUAAAAGGAGGGUGUCAUUGUUAAUAAAAAAUGUAAAACUGUGGGUUGGAUUGCCUCUACCACAAGGAGAAAUAGAAAAAGACGUGUGUGGCGGUUUCUUCCUGCACCAAACCAAUAAUGUUUGACCAUUACAACCUAAGCCUUCUUUGAAAUUAAUGCAUCUCCUAAGGAUUUGCCAUUGAAAAAAUGGUAGUUUUGUAUUCUCUUUUUUUUUUUUAAUAACAUUUUAAAAUUUUUCUGUGUGUAGCCCAUGAAAUUAAGUGCAACAAUCCAUUGCUUUUUUUUUUUUCCUUAAUGUGUGCAACUUUAGAAAGCUAUGUAUAGGUGAAAGAAGAAAAAAUAAUUUUCAUUGUUGUUUCAAAAAAAAAAACGAUCCAUUUCUCGUUUCUAUUUUUCUUUUUCCAUUUAUUGUUAAAGGAAGGAAAUUCUUUCAAAAAACAAAAGUAAAAUUGAAUUAUCGAGUAAAGGCCGUGACAGAAGAGAAAUUAAUUUUCGUAGUUGCAAGGUUAUUCUUAUUGUCCUCUUACCUUUUUUCUUUAUUAAAAGAGAGAAGAUUAGAAGAAAGAAAAGACGUGCAAGAAAUGUUAGCUUUUCUAUCCAUAAAAUAGAAAACAAAAGCAGAGAAGAUUUUGAAAAUAAACAUAGAUUUUUCUUUUCUUUUUGGAUAAAGUUAUAGAGAGAAACAUCAUAUAAAAUAAAAAAAAGUGUGAGAAAAAUGAGUUAGCACAUAUGCAUGGGAGACUGGCCGGAGAUUCGCCAAAAAGAUGGACGCAUGUCACCGGAGGAAAGUUCAUCGACAAAUAUUUAACCACAGGUUAAGUCUUCUUUUUUCAAGCCUUGAAAAUUAUUAAUAAAACUAUAAUAUACGUAACCUUUCAUCACUUAUUGCAUACCAUGGCUUGGGUUUCGGCUACAAUAAUUGGGUUACUGCUUCUUCUUCUUCUUCUUCUUCUUUCAAAUUACCUCUUUGAAAUAUGGCUAUUCAAGAAUAAGAGUAAGGGCAAGAAAUUACCUCCUGGCCCGAAAGGGUUUCCCAUUUUUGGCAGUCUCAGUUUGCUCAAAGAGUUUCCUCAUAGAGAUCUUCAUCGCCUGUCUCAAAAAUAUGGUCCUAUUAUGCACAUCAAAUUGGGACUUGUAAACACGAUUGUUGUUUCUUCCCCACAAGCUGCUGAGCUUUUUCUCAAAACCCAUGAUCUUAUUUUUGCAAGUAGGCCUCUCACUAUGGUCUCUAAAUUCUUGUCUUAUGGCCAAAAGAAUUUGGUUUUUGCUCAAUAUGGAUCUUAUUGGAGGAAUGUACGUAAAAUGUGUACACUUGAAUUGCUUAGUAAUCACAAGAUCAAUUCUUUCAAAUCCAUGAGAAAGGAAGAGGUUGGGCUGUUGAUUGAGUAUCUCAAAGAGGCUGCAAGUGAUGGUGUUUCUAUUAAUAUUAGUUCAAAAGCUGCGUCACUCAUUACAGACAUGACUUGCUUGAUGGUUUUUGGGAGGAAAUUUGGCGAUGAAGAGUUGGAUGAUAGAGGUUUCAAGGCUAUGAUGCAAGAGGUGAUGCAAUUAAUUGCUGCUCCUAAUUUGGGAGAUUUUAUUCCCUUUAUCGAAAGAUUUGAUCUUCAAGGCCUGAAUCGUCGGAUGAUAAAUGUUAGCAAAGUGUUUGAUGGGUUCUUUGAGAGGAUUAUUGAUGAACAUCUCAAGUCUAUGGGCGAAAAGAAGACAAAAGACUUUCUAGAUGUCAUGUUGGAUCUAAUGAAUACUGAAUGUCUUAGUUAUGAGUACCGAAUUGAUCGAUCCAACGUCAAAGCAAUAAUACUAGUGAGAAUUCCAAUCCUCUUAAUCCAGUAAAAAAAAUGCCAUAAUUAGAAUUGAGUUACUUCAUUAUUGAACAAAGUUUCAUAAAUUUAUAACUUUUUUUAAAAAAUAAUUUAUAAAGUAAUUUCAAAUGAGCACGUAAAUUAUGAAUUGAAAUAUUAAUAUUAUUAUUUUAGUUUCUAUCUAUUUUUAACAAAUUCAUUCUAAUUAUUAGAUCUAUAUUAUUAACUUUUUGUUCAUUUUGAGAUUAUUGAAUUUUAAAGAAAAAAUCCAUUUCCAUCCAAUAAAAAUGAGGACAACUAAAUGAAUCAUUUCUUUUAAUGAAGUAUAAAAGAUCAAAAGGAAAUGAAAAGUAUGUAAAAGUAGUGCAAUAAUUUAAAUAUGACAUAAAAGAUGAAUUGGUUCAAUAUAUAUAUACUGAGUUUGAUUUUGUUGAAGGAUAUGCUUGGUGCUGCAAUGGACACAUCAGCCACAGUAAUUGGGUGGGCACUACCUGAGCUCAUAAGACAUCCACAGGUAAUGAAGAAAGUGAAAGAUGAACUUGAAAAUGUGGUGGGCUUAGAUACAAUUGUGGAAGAAUCACAUUUAAUUCACUUGCAAUAUUUAGACAUGGUCAUUAAGGAGAUUCUUAGGCUCUAUCCUCCCGUUCCAUUGUUAGUUCCACACGAAUCUCUUCAAGAUUGCGUUGUUGAUGGUUUUUUCAUUCCAAGAAAGUCUCGUGUAAUAGUAAAUGCAUGGGCAAUUGGACGAGAUCCAACUGCUUGGAUUCAUCCACUAAAGUUUCAUCCAGAGAGAUUCAUGGAUAGCCAAUUGGAUGUAAAAGGAAGAGAUUUUCAGUUAAUUCCAUUUGGAGCUGGUAGAAGAGGGUGUCCAGGAAUUCAUUUGGGUUUGACUGUAGUUCGUUUGGUAUUGGCUCAACUUCUACAUUGCUUUGAUUGGAAGCUCCUUGGUGGUAUGUCAAUAGAUGAAUUGGAUAUGACCGAAAAUUUUGGUUUGACUUGUCCUAGAGCUCAAGAUCUUAUUCUCAUUCCUGUUUAUCGACUUCAUAUUUGAAUUUAAUUAUUCUUCUCUCAUGUCAAUUUGAAAGUUUAAUAAUAUGUAAAAGAAUCAUAGUCGUUCAAUAAAAUAUCACGUGUACCAUGUAAUGAUUGGUUAACUUAAUCCCAAAUUUUGAGUUUAAAUUUCAAAUGGGAGGAAUCAAAUGAUUUAUUGUAAAAUUUAAAAUUCUUGAAAUUUAUAAAUUGGAAAAUCAUGAAAUGAAUUUUGUAAAUUGUGUUUUAUACAGUUCAAAAUGAAAUUCUUUUACAUAUUAUUAAUUUAGAGGAAGGAUCUAUAUGUAAUUUUUUUCAGUAUUUCUUUUUAUUGAAAUGACUAUAUAAUUCUUUUACUUAUUAUUAAACUCAACUUGGCACAAUGAAAAGGGUAAUUAAAUUCAAAUAUGAAGUCGAUAAAUAGGAAUGACAAUAAGGUCUUGAGCUCUUGGACAAGUCAAUCCAAAUUCUUCGGUCAUAUCCAACUCAUCUAUUGACGUACCAUUGGGAAGCUUCCAAUCAAAACAAUGUAGAAGUUGAGCCAACACCAAACGAAUCACAGUCAUACCCAAUUGAAUUCCAGGACAUCCUCUUCGACCAGCUCCAAAUGGAAUUAAUUGAAAAUCCCUUCCCCUUACAUCCAAAUGACUUCCCAUAAAUCUUUCGGGACAAAACUUUAGAGGAUGAAUCCAAGCACUUGGAUUUCGACCAAUUGCCCAUGCAUUCACUAUUACACGUGAAUUUUUUGGAAUGAAAAAGUCUUCAACAAUGCAGUCUUGAAGAGAUUCAUGUGGGACUAGCAAUGGAAGUGGUGGAUAGAGCCUAAGAAUCUCCUUAAUGACCAUAUCCAAAUAUUCCAAGUGAAUUAAAUCUAAUUCUUCCACCAUUCUAUCUAACCCCACCACAUUCUCAACUUCAUCUUGCACUUUCUUCAUCACAUCUGGAUGUCUUAUGAGCUCUGCUAGUGCCCAUCCAAUUACUGUGGCUGAUGUGUCCAUUGCAGCACCAAGUACAUCCUAUUCAUGUAUAUGGAAUGUAAUAAGUGUAUUUUAAAACACAAAAAAUUACAAAACUACAAAAUAUAACGAAAUUUUAGAUAUAUCAAAUAUAGGUACCGAUCAAAUCACAUUUUUAAAUAUAACAAAAUGAACCAAAAUAUUUACAAAAAUAUAACAAAAUUUAAAUUCUAUUAAAGAAAAUUGUAAAAAAUAACAAAUUUAACAUAAUAUUUAUAACGUAUAGCAAAAUUUUCAGAUUUUAUCAAUAGUAGACAUUAAUAAACAUUUAUAUGCAUCUAUUAGCGACAUUAAUAGAUAGUGGUAAAAGUCUAUCAAUUUAAAAAUAUUUAAAUACAAUAUUUUAAUUAACAUAAGACAAAAAUGGACAUUAUUAAUAAUUCCAAUGACCAAAAUAAAUAUUUUGAACCAAAUAAUCCCAUAUUCUUAAAUUACCAAUUGAACUAACAUAAUUUGAAGUAUAAAAAUAAAUAUGACCACUAAAUAAAAAAUACGGGACGUGAAGAGGCAUUCAAACCUAAACAAUAAUAAUAAUAGAUUUUCAUCUACAAAACUAUGAGCUCAUCUGAAAUUACUUUAUAAGUCAUUUAAAAAGAAGUAAUUUUAUGCACGAAAAUAAAUAAUUCUUCAGACAAGAACUAACUCAAUUUUUGACCUAGUUUGAUGAUUAAAACAUUUAAUUAAAUGUCUUUAACUAGAGAUCAAAGGAUUUAAAUUCUUACCAAUAUUAUUGCUUUAACACUGGAACGAUCAAUUCGAUACUCAUGAGUAUCUUCAGACUUCAUUAGAUCCAACAUGACAUCUAAAAAAUCUUUAGUUUUUUUUUCACCCAUGGACUUAAGAUGUUCAUCAAUAAUCCUCUCAAAAAACCUAUCAAACACUUUGUUAAUAUUUUUCAUCCGACGUGUCAACCCUUGAAGAUCAAACAUUGCAAUAAAAGGAAUAAGAUCUCCCAAAUUAGGAGCAGCAACUAAUUGCAUCACCUCUUGUAUCAUAGCCUUGAAACCUCUAUCAUCCAACUCCUCAUCCCCAAAUUUCCUCCCAAAAACCAUCAAGCAAGUCAUGUCUGUGCUGAGUGACACAACUUUUGAACUAAUAUUAACAGAAACACCAUCAUUUGCAGCCUCUUUGAGAUACUCAAUCAACAACCCAACCUCUUCCUUUCUCAUGGAUUUGAAAGAAUUGAUCUUGUGAUUACUAAGCAAUUCAAGUGUACACAUUUUACGUACAUUCCUCCAAUAAGAUCCAUAUUGAGCAAAAACCAAAUUCUUUUGGCCAUAAGACAAGAAUUUGGAGACCAUAGUGAGAGGCCUACUUGCAAAAAUAAGAUCAUGGGUUUUGAGAAAAAGCUCAGCAGCUGGCGGGGAAGAGACAAUAAUUGUGUUUACAAGUCCCAAUUUGAUGUGCAUAAUGGGACCAUAUUUUUGAGAUAAGCGAUGAAGAUCUCUAUGAGGAAACUCUUUGAGCAAAUUGAGACUACCAAAAAUGGGAAACCCUUUUGGGCCAGGAGGUAAUUUCUUGCCCUUACUCUUCUUCUUGAAUAGCCACGUUUCGAAGAUGUAAUUUGAAAGAAGAAAAAGUAAUGCAAUUAUUGUAGCCCAAAUCCAAGCCAUGGCAUGGAGUUUUAUUUGUCCCAGCUAAUUAAUGAUGAUGAUAUUGAAAUAAAAAUGGGAUUUAAUAAUAAGCUUUGAUUGUUAUAAUUAAUUGAACUAUCUCCAACCCUUUUUAAAUGAUAGGCAUAGUUGUUAGAUGGUUUUGUUUUGUUAAUAUUUUAAAGCCACCAAGAAAAUUUUCAAAAUUUCAAAUUCAACUUUUGCUAUAUACUCUAGGGAAAUUCAACUAGUGGAGGUGUGGGUAGGAUGGUUUUCAACGAUAUCGGAGAUCAUGUAAAAUUAAAAAAAUUCUCCUUGUUAAUUUUUUCUCCAAAGAUGUACGAUAUUAUAUUAGAAGUAGAAUGAUUUUCAAAAUAUAAUUUUGGAUUGUUUUCUUCAAUAGAUCAUACAUGCAUGGUGUGUAUUUGUAAUAAUUUUGGAAUGUCAAGAUUGGGGUGCGGCCAGUAUAAGUUUGAAGAUGCAAAAAUAAACUAAACUUCCUUUUAAAUAAGACAGUUGAGUUCAAACUAUUCAUUCUAAUUAUUAUUAUUUAUUAUCUACAAGAUACUAAUGGGAGAGAGGGACAACUGCUCAACUGGAUUUUUUUCUAGAAAGUAGACAAAUUACUUUGGAGUUUUGUUAUUAUAAAAAUAAAUGGAAACAGGAAAGAGGUAAUGAAAUUAAAAAAGGGAGAUGAGUAUAAGAGUGGCCAAAAGUCCAAGCCAUGCCCAAUCUAAUGAUACAUUUGUAAUUAUGCUUGGACAAAGAAAGUAUUUGGCAGUAGUCUAUAUAUCACAAAAGAGUGUAGCUUUGUAAUUAAUAUAUAUCUCACGAACAUACUUUACACAAAAUAUAUCAAUCAUUUAUUUUAGCCCCGAGCAUCAAGUCAAAUCUUUAUCGAUUUAUUUCAAUUCCAGUACUUUUAAAUAUUGAAUUAUUAUUGUACAUUGUUAAUUAAAAUGACGUCUCCAAUUUUUUUUUACUAAAUUUACAUGGUACAUGAAUUCAAAACAAGCAAUACAUAAUUGAAGACACUGUUUUCAUUCAUAAUGAAAAUGUCUACUAACUAAAUUCAAUAAAAAUAAAAUGAAAAUGAAUAAAAAGUUUAAAUGUAGUUGUGGUAAAAAUUAUUGAAGUGAUAGACAAUUGAAAUUACAUCCCACUCGAGACUUCCAACUAGAUCUAGCAAAUCUGAGAUAGAUAUUAUUUUGAUAGUGAUUGGGUGUGUUGGAGUUUAGCAUCUCAAUUAUGAUGGCUCAAAAGUUGUUUACGUCGUCCAAGUCAACUCCAGAACAGUUGAAUAAAACCCAAGACAAUUUUUCAUAUAAAUGUUAAAUAUAAUCUUAUACUCUCCUUCUAACUAGAUCAACAUCUAAUUUUAAACUAUACAUUACAUUUAUUUGAGGUUAGAUGAAUAAUUACUAUUUUCAUUAUAACAAAUUACAUAUUCAAUCAUAAAAAAUAAAAAAAAUACUCUAGUCACUUUACUCAUUCAUAUAAAAUAUGUAGCUGUUAGUGAAAUUCUAAUUUUUUAAGUUACAUUCAUAAAGGCAUGUUGGUAAAAUAUUGACGUCAAUAAUUAAGUUACUAAAUAUUGGUUGAUGAUGUUUUUAUUUGUUUAGACAUAAAUAUAGAUUGAUGUUGAACUAUUAAAAUAAGCAACAUUGUUAAAGCAAUGUGGGAGGACCCAUGGCUAUUAUGUUAUGGGAUGUUAUUAACUUUAAUUUAAUUAAAAAUUUGAUUGGAUUAGAUUAGAUUAUAGUUUCCUAUACAACUAUCAAAUUUCAAGAAUAGAAAGUUAUUUAGUGACCACUACAAAAAAGUAAGUAUAAAAAAAAAUAAGAUAAAUGAAAGUUGACAAUAAUUAGACGUAGGUAUAGCAUAAGUUGCAUGAUAAUUUAUAUCAUGUAUAAUAUUUUUUAAAAUUACAUCUAUCUUUAUUAAAUUAUUUUUUGGGAUGCAAAAUGAUUAAUUUUGUUUAAUCUGUGUUUUGAUGGCCGUAAUUAAAGUUAGGUCACAAACAAUUAAUCCAAGAAAAGGACAUGCAUCCAUUGUUAUCAAUGUCUAUACCAAACGAAAAAUACCCAUCAGCCAUUUCUCAAGUAAAAAUUAAAACCCAAAAAUACCCUCACCAGUCACCACUCAACUCUUCCAUUAUUGCUAACGUCCAACGCAAAUUUAAAUAAAUAUAUUGAUUUUUUAGUUUCAUAGUUAUAUCACAAAAUAUCUUACAUGCUUUAAAUUUUAUUUUCUUAAAAAAAGAGAAACAUUAAAUAUUUUAAUUUAUUUUAUUAUUUUUCAUAAGAAUAAAGAUAGACCAUUUGAGAUUGAUUUAAAAUAAUUUAAAUCACACUGUAAUCUAGUUUAUUUUAAAUUAUUCUAGAACACAAUUUUACAAUUUCAGGUUGAAUUUUACCGUCUUAAUCCAAAAUUUUCACACUAACAAAAUUAAAAUUCAACUAAAAUACUUUUUCUUAUUUUCAAACAUGGUUGAUAUUUGAUCCAUACCUUUAUUAUUUAACAUUUAUCCUUUUUUCGCACAACCCAACCCACCUAUUUAUAAUCUCAACAACAUAUCCAAAACCCCAACACUCUCAUCUCAUUUGAACAAAAUCUAAGCCGUUCCAACAGUAGAGAGAAACUAAGAAAAAGCCUAUGGCUUUGAUUUUGGUCGUCGUCGUCCUCAUCACUCUCCUCCUUGCUCUUCUAAUCUCACACUCAUGGCUAUUCAAAUCCCAAAUCAAACCCAAAAAAUCCCCUCCAGGGCCAAAAGGGUUUCCCAUUUUUGGUUGCCUUCAUUUACUAGGAAAACUCCCUCACAGAAAUCUCCACGAAUUAUCCCAAAAGUAUGGACCCAUAAUGAGCAUGAAACUAGGGCUUGUUCCCACCAUCAUAGUCUCAUCCCCUCACGCCGCCCAACUCUUCCUCAAAACCCACGACCUCAUUUUUGCAAGCCGCCCCUCUUCACAAGCUUCAAAACACAUCUCUUAUCAACAAAAAAAUUUAGUCUUUGCUCCAUAUGGUCCUUAUUGGCGCAACAUGCGUAAAAUGUGCACUCUUGAAUUGCUUAGUAACCUUAAAAUCAAUUCUUUCAUGCCUAUGAGAAAACACGAGCUUGGUUUGUUGAUUGAGUACUUAAAAGAAGCUGCUCAUAACAAAGCUGUUGUGAAUCUGAGUGCUAAAGUUACGUCACUUACAACUGACAUUAUUUGUUUGAUGGCAUUUGGAAAGAAAUAUGGAGAUGAAGAAAUUGAUGAAAGGGGUUUUAAGGCUGUAAUACAAGAAGGUAUGCAGUUGUCUGCUGCGCCUAAUUUGGGGGAUUUUAUUCCGGCAAUUGCUUGGCUUGAUCUUCAAGGAUUUACUCGUAAAAUGAAACGUGUUCAUAAGGUGUAUGAUGAAUUUCUUGAAAAGAUUAUUAAUGAACAUCUUGUGGCUAGAGGUGGGAAGAAGACUAGGGAUUUUGUUGAUGUUAUGUUGGAUCUUAUUGGUUCUCAACAAACUGAGUAUCAAAUUGAUCGUUCUGCUAUUAAAGCUAUAAUGCUGGUAUGCCUACCUCUUUCUUCUAUUUCUAUCUUUUCAAUCCUACGUCUUCUCAAACUUUUUAUAUUUUUAUUUUUGUACAUCACUUACCUUAAAAAGAAUAAUAAAUUGCUAUCCAAUUAUAAUGAAAGGUUAAAAAAACAAACGUUUUUUUUUGUGUUUUUUCUUAUAUUUUUUUAUUAACCUAACAAAUGUGGUGGGAAGGUUCUUUAACAUAUGUGCUGAAGAAAGGAGAUUGUUAUGAAUUUUGUGUUUGAUUUUGAUGAUUAUUGUUUAAUAAAUCUUUAAAAUAAUUUUGUGUCAAUUAUUGAUUAUUAAAAUUUUUAUUUAUGUAUUUAAUAUAGGUCAUUAACCUAUCAUAUUCAACAUUUUUAAAGUUCUAAUUUAGUUUAUAGUUAUAUUAAACAUGAAAUUUAAAUUAGUGUCGAUUGAACAACUCAUUUUGAAAAUUUUUACCUGUCCAUGUUGGUUAAAGACAUUUAAUCUUACAUUUAAUGUAAAAAAAAAAAAACAAAAAACAAAAAAAAAUUAUCAUGGAGACACUUACUUUACAUUAAAUUAUAUUAUCCCCUAAUUAAUGAACUAAGAAAAACAGUAUAUUUACUUUUUAUCGGUGCAAUUAUGAGGAUGGCUGAAGAGCGAUAGAACAGAAGUGGACAGAUAUCUUUGAAAUAUAAAAGAAAUCACUAAAUAUUUACCCAAGAAUAAAUAUAUCACUAAAAUUCAAAAGUGAUUUACAAACCAUUUUUUGCUUUUGGAUAAAUAUUUUGUCAAUUAUUGGAUACUAUUUUUAGAAAUAAUAAAGGUGUAUAAUAACAUUACUAAAAAAUUUAAAAUAUAAUGGAGUUUGUGAUUUAUCCCUAGAUUUUCACUGCUAUUUUUCAAUAAACUUGUACUUAUGAUAUGAUUUAGAUUUUGAAAACUGGUUGUUGUAAACUUUUUUCCUUGUUCUACAUUAACUUGUCUAUUAUAUGAGAUCCACUAACAUUGAUUUAAAAUUUAUUGAUAUUUAUGUAAUGAAAUAUAUAAUGUGAAAGAAAAAUAUAUGGUAACCAUACUUGUGAAGGUCGGCAUUCAAAUUAUCUUUAUUAUUUACCUUUAUUGAACAACACAAAAGAAUAUUCCACAAAUAUAGGGAAAAAAAACUUGGUUUAUCUUAUUUAUUUAUUUGGUUGUUUGUACUAUUAAAUGCAUUGUCAUCCCCAUACUCUAUCCCUUUAGUUUAUAUUUAUUGUGUUGGGUACUUCUUGUAGGAUAUGCUUGCAGCAGCAAUGGACACAUCAUCAACAACAAUAGGAUGGGCAAUGUCAGAGCUAAUAAGACAUCCAGAUGUAAUGAAGAAAAUGCAAGAUGAAUUACAAGAAGUUGUUGGUUUACACAGAAUGGUUCAAGAAUCUGACUUAGUAAGCUUAGAGUACUUAGAAAUGGUAGUGAAAGAGAUUAUGAGGCUAUAUCCAGCAGGUCCAUUAUUGAUUCCACGCGAGUCUCUUGAAGACUGCACUGUCGAUGGGUUCCAUAUUCCCAAGAAAUCAAGAGUAAUGGUAAAUGUAUGGACUAUUGGGCGAGACCCGAGUGUUUGGAAUGAUCCACACAAGUUCUUUCCUGAGAGGUUUAUUGGUAGCAAAAUAGAUUUGAAGGGUAAUGAUUUUGAAUUGAUUCCAUUUGGUGGUGGGCGUAGAGGAUGCCCUGGAAUACAAUUGGGCUUAACUAUGGUUCGGUUAUUGUUGGCUCAACUUGUGCAUUGUUUUGAUUGGAAGCUUCCAAAUGGUAUGUUGCCAUCUGAAUUAGAUAUGACCGAAGAAUUUGGAUUGACUUGUCCUAGAGCAAAAGAUCUCAUGGUUAUUCCUACCUUUCGUCUUAAUGAUUCAAUUAGUACUAAGAAUUUGUCUUCUUGAAUAACCUAGAUAAUAUAUAAGUAAUGAUUGAUAAUAUAUAAUAAUGGUCAAGAUAAAGAGUGAUUGAAAUACUCUCUUUAUAUAAAUAAUAAUAUACAUAGAAACUUUUAUCAUCCUUUACCACUUCUUCCCGUUAGUUGAAAUAAAUGAAUAACAUUCGUCUUAUUUGAUAAUUAUUUGAUUAUUUAAAUUAAAAAUGAAGCUCGUAAAAUGAUAUUUUACGUAUAUAGUUUUGAAAACUUUUUAAAAAUAUACAUGGUCUUUUUGUUCACAAAUUUUUUAUACAAAUUACUUUGGAAUUUUGUUAUUGAAUUUUGAUUUAUUUUUAUUAAAAAAAUAAAUGGAAACAGGAAAAAGGUAAGGAAAUUAAAAAGGGGGAUGAGUAUAAGAGUGGCCAAAACUCCAAGCCAUGCCCAAUCAAUGAUACAUUUGUAAGCAUGGACAAAGAAAGUAUUUGGCAGUGAUCUAUCAGUACAAAGAAUUUGUUUUUGUAAUUUAUAUCUCACAAAGACGUGAACAAGAGUGUACCAACUUUACACAAAUCAUAUUGACCAUUCAUCAUAAUUAUCACGACCAUCACAUCAAAUUUUUAUGGGUUUAAUAUUUUAAAUAAAAUAUUAUUUCGAUUCCUAUACUUUUAAAUAUUACAUUUUUAACAAAUUUAAAAUAAACUCAUCUCUUCUGUUUUUGGUUAAAAUUAUGUACCCAAACUGUUACAUGGUAAAUAAAUUCAAAGCGAUAAACAAUUGGAACAACGUCCACCAUGGGUGUUUGAACUAGAGUGAGAGAAUGUGGGAUGGACUUUACUUUGAACAUUUAAUUUUGAUAGGGAAUGGGUGUGUUGAAGUUCAGAACAGUUGGAUAAAACCACAACAAUUUUUCAUUUUCAACUCACAUAAUUUUUUCUUCAUUUUAUUCAAAACAAAAUAUAUGUACUUUAAUAAAUGUUAAAUAUAAUCUUAUAGUCUCCUUGUAACUAGAUCAACCUCUAAUUUUAAACUAUACAUUAUAUAUUUAUUUAAGAUUACAUGAAUAAUUACUAUUUUCAUUAUAAAAAAAUUAACAUUAAAAAAAAGAAUCUUUUUUUAUGGUGAAGAAAGAGAUCGUAUUCAUAUUCCAUGUUGUCAACAUUUGAUGAUAAAAGAAUACACAAAAAAAAAAGAUAUUCUCGUCACUUCACUCCUCUAUGUCAUCGAAUAUAAAAUAUGUCGAUGUUGUUAGUGAAAUUCUAAUUUUUUAAGUUCUAUUAAUAAAAUAUCGACAUCAAUAAUUAAGUUACUAAAUAUUGGUCGACAUGUUUGUUUGGACAUAAAUCCGGAUGGAUGUUAGAACUAUUAAAAUAAGCAACAAUGUCGGAGGACCAAUAAUGUCUAUUAUGUUUUGAGAUAUUGUUAACUUUAAUUUAAUUUUAAUUUUGAUUGGAUUAUGCUGUAUUGUAGCUUGGCAUGAAACCAUAAAAUUUCAUGAAUAAAAAGUUAUUUAUUUAGUGGUUGCAACAAAAAGUAAGUAUGAGAAAACCAAGAUAAAAGAAAAUCGACAAUAAUUAUGUGCAAAAUAGGUUGCAUUUAUAUCAUGUAUAAUCUUUUUUAACAUAGUAAAAAAUAAUAAUAAUCAAUUUCUUUAAAAGAAAUUAAAACCCAAAAAUACGCUCACCAUUCACCAAUCAUCACCUAAAGACACUCCAAAGGUUAAAAUUAAAAUAUGUCUAUAUUGAAAUUUUAAUUUUAUAGUUAUAUUGAUAAAAUAAAGGUAGAGAUCAAAGAAAGUGUAGGUUUGAGAUCGAUUUUAAAAUAAUUUAAAGCACUUGUUUAUCUAAAAUUAUUCUAAAACACAUUUUUUUUUAAAAAUUUCACGUUGAAUUUUACCGUCUUAAACCAAAAUUUUCAUACUAAUAUAAUUAAAAUUGAACUAAUACUUUUUCUUAUUUUCAAAACCACUCUCAAUCUUAGUUGAUAUUUGAUGCAUAUCUUUAUCAUUGUUUUAUCCUUUUUCACACAACCCAACCCAUCUAUUUAUAAUCUCAACUACAUAUCCAAGACCCCAACACUAUCAUCUCAUUUGAACAAAAUCUAAGCCGUCCCAACAGUAGAGAGACACUAAAAAAGAGCCUAUGGCUUUGAUUUUGGUCGUCGUCGUCGUCAUCACUCUCCUCCUUGCUCUUCUAAUCUCACAUUCAUGGCUAUUCAAAACCCAAAUCAAACCCAAAAAAUUCCCUCCAGGGCCAAAAGGGUUUCCCAUUUUUGGUUGCCUCCAUUUACUAGGAAAACUCCCUCACAGAAAUCUCCACGAAUUAUCCCAAAAAUAUGGACCCAUAAUGAGCAUGAAACUAGGGCUUGUUCCCACCAUCAUAGUCUCAUCCCCUCAAGCCGCCAAACUCUUCCUCAAAACCUACGACCUCAUUUUUGCAAGCCGCCCCUCUUCACAAGCUUCAAAACACAUCUCUUAUCAACAAAAAAAUUUAGUCUUUGCUCCAUAUGGUCCUUAUUGGCGCAACAUGCGUAAAAUGUGCACUCUUGAAUUGCUUAGUAACCUUAAAAUCAACUCUUUCAUGCCUAUGAGAAAACACGAGCUUGGUUUGUUGAUUGAGUACUUAAAAGAAGCUGCUCAUAACAAAGCUGUUGUGAAUCUGAGUGCUAAAGUUACGUCACUUACAACUGACAUUAUUUGUUUGAUGGAAUUUGGGAAGAAAUAUGGAGAUGAAGAUUUUGAUGAAAGAGGGUUUAAGGCUGUAAUACAAGAAGGUAUGCAGUUUGCUGCUGCGCCUAAUUUGGGGGAUUUUAUUCCGGCAAUUGCUUGGCUUGAUCUUCAAGGAUUUACUCGUAAAAUGAAACGUGUUCAUAAGGUGUAUGAUGAAUUUCUUGAAAAGAUUAUUAAUGAACAUCUUGUGGCUAGAGGUGGGAAGAAGACUAGGGAUUUUGUUGAUGUUAUGUUGGAUCUUAUUGAUUCUCAACAAACUGAGUAUCAAAUUGAUCGUUCUGCUAUUAAAGCUAUAAUGCUGGUAUGCCAAUUCUUCUAUUUCUACUUUUUUUAAUCCUACGUUUUCUCAAACUUUUUUAGAUUAAAAGAAAAAUAUAUUAUAUUUAGGGUAAUAUUUGGAUGCAUAUUUAUUUUUGUCCAACACAUACCUUAAAAAAAUUAAAAUAUUUCAAAAAUGAACUAAGUUGCUACGUUAUUAUAUGUUAUAAUUGGAUAAUUUGGUGUACCAAAACAAAUAUAAUCUUUGUGUUUUUUCUUAAAACAAAUGUGGUGGGAAGGUUCUUUUAACAAAUGAACUGAAGGAAAUGAGGGUGUUAUGAAUUUUGAGUUUAAUACUGGUUAUUGUUGUUUAAUAAAUCUUUAAAAUAAUUUUUUGUCAAUUGAUUACUGAUUUGUUUUAAUUAUUUAAUAUAGGUCAUUAACCUAUCUUACAUUUUCUCAAAAAAAAAAAAGAAAAAAAAAGAAAAGAGAAAACAUCAUGGUGACACUUACUUUAAAUUAAAUUAUCUUAUCCCCUAUUUAAUGAACACUAUAUUUAUUGCUUAUCGGUGCAAUUAUGGGGGUGGCUGAAGAGAGAGAAAACAUGUGGACAGAUAUCUUUGAAAUAUAGAAGAAAUCACAGAAAUAUUUACCCAAAAAAACAUCACAAAUUCAAAAGUUAUUUACAAACCAUUUUUCUUUACAAUUUUAGAUAAAUAUUUUGUUGAUUUCAUCGAAAACUUUUAGAUAUUGAUGAGGUGAUGUUUUAGAAACAAUAAUUAAGUGUAUUAUAGUAUUUUAAAAUUAUAAAUAUAACAUAGUUAAUUUAUAUUUAUUUUAUACUUUUAUAACUUUUUUUUGUUUGAAAACUGGUUAUUUAAUUAUUAUUUUUCUUUGUUCCACAUCAACUUGUUUACAUUGAUGUAAAAUUUAUUGAUAUUCAUAAUGUGAAAAAAGAAAAAAAAAGGGUAAACAUACUUGUGAAGGCCGGCAUCCAAAUUAUUAUAAUUAGUUAAUUUUAUUAUUUAACUUUGUUUAUGGAAGAACACAAAAGAAUAUUCCACACUUAUUGAAAAAUAAUACUUGGGUUUCUAUUUUUUAAUUAAUAGUAUGAAAGAUUUAAUUUAAAAGUAGAGAGACCCACAAUAAUAAAUUAGAAGUAAUGAAAUCAAUUGUUAUUAAUAGUUUUACUUAAUUACGUAUUUCUGUUUUUGGUUGGGUUCUUUUAGGAUAUGCUUGCAGGAGCAAUGGAUACAUCAUCAACAACAAUAGGAUGGGCAAUGUCAGAGCUGAUUAGACAUCCAGAUGUAAUGAAGAAAAUGCAAGAUGAAUUACAAGAGGUUGUUGGUUUACACAGAAUGGUUCAAGAAUCUGACUUAGUAAACUUAGAAUACUUGGAAAUGGUAGUGAAAGAGAUUAUGAGGCUAUAUCCAGCAGGUCCAUUAUCCAUUCCACGCGAGUCUCUUGAAGACUGCACUGUCGAUGGGUUCCAUAUUCCCAAGAAAUCAAGAGUAAUAGUGAAUGUAUGGGCUAUUGGGCGAGACCCGAGUGUUUGGAAUGAUCCACACAAGUUCUUUCCUGAGAGGUUUAUUGGUAGCCAAAUAGAUUUGAAGGGUAAUGAUUUUGAAUUGAUUCCAUUUGGUGGUGGGCGUAGAGGAUGUCCUGGAAUGCAAUUGGGCUUAACUAUGGUUCGGUUAUUGUUGGCUCAACUUGUGCAUUGUUUUGAUUGGGAGCUUCCAAAUGGUAUGUUGCCAUCUGAAUUGGAUAUGACCGAAGAGUUUGGAUUGACUUGUCCUAGAGCAGAAGAUCUUAUGGUUAUUCCUACCUUUCGUCUUAAUGAUUCAAUUAGUACUAAGGAUUCGUCUUCUUGAAUGAUGUAGAUUAUAUCUAGGUAAUGGUUGAUAUUAUAAUAAUGAUUAAGAUAAAGAGUGGUUGAAAAGCUCUCCAUAUAUAUGAAUGAUAAUACACAUAGAAAAUUUUAUCUUUCUUGCCACAUCUGGUCGUUAAUUGAAAUAAAUGGAUAAUAAUAAUCAUUUUAUUUGAUUUUUUAAAUUGAAAAUGAAGCUUGUAAAACGAUAAUUUUAUCUAUAAGUUUAUUUAUUUCAUAAUCCACUUUUAAUCAUUUGUUUAAACAUGAAGUUAUCUAGUUUCAAAAACUUAUAGAAAGAGAUACUGGACUAUUCUGUUCACAUUUAUUUUUAGUUAUAGUUUCAAAAACUUAUAGAAAGAGAUACUGGACUAUUCUGUUCACAUUUAUUUUUAGUUAUAGUCCACAUUUGUUUUUAGUUUGUAUAAAUAACUCAACUUGCUUAUAUUUAGUUUGUAUAAAUAACUCAACUUGCUUAUAUUUAUUUGGAUAACUUGUUUUCUUUUACACUUCACAUGUAUUAAGGAAAAUGAUUUUCUAACUUCAACCUAACUUCAUACUUACUGUGAAUUUAAAUACUUACCUUAAGAAAGAUGACGACUCCAACAUCCAAAAUGGGUAAUUUUUUUUCUCUCUCAAGUGUCCAUUUACUUGGGUUGAACUAUUAGUUUGAUUUGAGAUGACAUUGAGUGUAGAUUUAUAAAUAAUUACGACAAAGACGAAAAAUGGGAACCACCUUAAGAUUUUGGGCUCUAGGACAGAUCAACCCCAAAAUUUCUGUCAUGUCCAAUUCAAGGGGUGACAUACCAUUGGGAGGCUUCAAAUCAAAACAGUGUACUAAUUGAGCCACUACAAGACGAACCACAACCAAAGCUAAUUGUAUUCCAACACAGCCUCUUCGACCCGAUCCAAAUGGAAUUAGUUCAAAAUCUCUUCCUUUCACAUCCACUUCACUUUCCAAAAAUCUCUCCGGAUCAAACUUGUGAGGAUCAACCCAAGUAUUUGGAUCUCUUCCAAUGGCCCAUGCAUUUAUUACUAUUCUUGAUUUCUCAGGGAUAUGAUACCCAUUUAUAUUGCAAUCUUGUAUGCAUUCUCUUGGAAUUAAUGGAACUGGUGGAUGCAUUCUCAAACUCUCUUUUAUUACCAUCUCCAAGUAUUUCAAGUUACUUAAGUCUGAUUCUUCCACCAUUCUAUUCAGUCCUACCACUUUUUCUAAUUCUUCUUGCAACUUUUUCAUUAUGUGUGGAUUCUUAAUAAGUUCUGAUAACAUCCAAUUGAUUGUUGUUGUUGUACUAUCCACGGCUGCAAUAAGGAAAUCCUGCAAAAAAAUUAAGAAAUAUUCUCAGGUUUAGUUAUACAUUCUUUAAAAUAAUUUAAAAUGAGAGUUUAGCAAAAUUUCAUCUAUUAUAGAGAUCUAUCCAUUUUUUGGCUUAUCACUAAUAAACAAUAAUUUCUUUUUGCUGUAUUUAAAAACAAGCUCUUUCAAAUUAAACACUAAAGAAAAAAGAAAUCCAAGAUACACUCUCAAUCAAUCAAUUCACUUACCAGGAUUAUAGCUUUGAUAUUUGAUCGAUCAAUUUGGUACUCUCGAGAUCCCAUCAAAUCCAACAAAACAUCCACAAAAUCCUUGUCUUUAUUAUCCCUCUGGAACACAACAUGUUCUUCAACAAUCCUCUCUAAGAACCCAUCAAAUAUUUUCCCAACAGCUUUUGCACGACCCCCAAAUCCUUGAACAUCAAACCUUGCAAUUAAAGGAAUAAAAUCUCCCAAAUUAGGAGCUGCCGCUAAUUGUGUAGCCUCUCGUAUCAAACCCUUAAACCCCUUUUCAUCCAACUCAUUAUCUUCAUAUUUUCUCCCCAACACCAUUACACAUAUCAUAUCUCCAAUAACACAAGAAAUUUUAGAAGUAAGAUCCACAGCCACGCCAUCUGUAGCAGCCACUUCAAGACCUCAAUCAACGAACCAACCUCUUGCUUUCUCAUUGAGGAAAAAGAGUUGAUUUUUAAGGAGCUAAGCAAUUCAAGAGUGCACAUCUUGCGAAUAUUGCGCCAAUAAGGACCAUAUUGAGCAAAAGCUACGCCCUUUCUACCGUAAGAAAUAUGGUUGGAAGUGAUGGUAAGAGGUCGGCUCGCAAAAUGAAGGUCGUGAGUUUUAAGGAAGAGCUCGGUUGCUCUAGGGGAGGAGACGAUAAUGGCGGGGAGAAAACCUAAUUGGAUGUGCAUUAUGGGACCGUAUAUUUGGGAUAAGUAAUGAAGGUCUCUGUGAAUGAGUUUGCCUAAUAGAUGAAGGCUUCCAAUAAUUGGAAACCCUUUUGGGCCAGGAGGGAGUUUGUUGCAUAAGGACUUGGUCUUGAGAAGCCAUUGUUGAAAGAGGUAAGGGAGAAGGAAGAUGAGUGUAAUUGUGGUCAAAAUAAUCCAAGUCAUGGCAAUUAUAUUAGAGAUGUAUUUGUGAGGUUAUGUGUAGGGUUUAUAAUAUAUUGAUAUAUUUCUAUUUAUAAAACGUUUUUCAUCGUUAACUGACCGUUUUUAGUUUUUGGUUUUGAAAUUUAUGAUUGUUUUAUCCCAAUUUUUUAAAAAUCGUUUUGGUUUUUCUUUAGUUAGAACAAAAACACUUUCUUUUUUUUUAAAAAAAUUAAAGUAAGAUCUAACUUUUUUACAUUUUUUAAAAUUAGUUUUUAAGGCUACAUUAAAUAAUUACCGUUUGAUUUUUGAAAAUCAAAGUUUUCUAGGAAUUGUUGUCUAUAUUUUAUGACUAUUUUCAAAAUCAAAACCAAAAAGUUGAAAACUAAAAAAGUUGGUUCAUGUUAAUUGAUCUAUAGCUCGCGUUAUAAUUUUCGCCUUCACAAAACAUUAUCAUAUUGAUUAUGCCGCACAUAUUUUUAAUUUCUACAUUAAAUAUGGUAACUGACCUACUAGUUUCUAUUAAUAAGCUAAUUAAUUACUCUAAUAACGGCUUAUAAAUUAAAAUAUUUACAAAUUAUAAUAAAAUUUUAGAUUUUUUAUAUUCGUUAUUAAUGUCACUCAUAAACACAUAUAAAUGUCUAUUAUUGAUAUAUAUUGAAAUUUGACAAUUUUCUUAAAUUAAAAUAUAAUUGUGGUCAUCACAAGAUUAUCAUUUAUAACUAUAUUUGUCGUAAUAAGUAUAUAUACCCUUGCUCACAAUGUUGAGUGCAAAGUUUGAGGUUGGAUUUACAUCCCCAUUUUUGUUACCCUGGAUGAUUUUUUUGCUUAUGUCUUGUGAUGUUUAACCGUUUCUCGUGGAGCUUUUGCCUCUCUUGCAAUAUGUCUUAAAAAAAGUGAGUUUUCAUAUGUAGUAAAUUUUUCAGGUAGAUUACUUAUGAGUUAAAACCAUAAUAACCAAAUUGUUAGAUAUUAUGUUAAAUUUGUCUUUAUCCAUAAGUUUAAAUAUUUAGGUCAAUUGGUGAUUUAGAUGGAUAAUUAGAACAUGUGGUCUAGGAAAGUUAUGUUUUCAAGUCCAUGUGUAGUUUCUUCUCCGAUCAUUAUUAAUUUUCACUUCAAAUUUUAAGCUCAUAAAUGAGAAGGAAAGUUAGAUAUUAUAUUAGUUUUAAUUAUUGACUAAACUUAAAGUUUUGAGUCGAAACUUUAUAAAUCAAAAUAUAUAUAAAAUAUAUUUUACCAAAUUAAAACUAACUUGGAACAGUAGGAAUUAAAUUGAAAGAAAAACUCUGAAAUAGUUAGAAGAAAAAAUUAAUUAAAGACUUAACAAGAUUAAAAAGUACUAUAAAAUAUUUUCUAUGGAUAUAUAUGCUUGAAUGUUUACCUUACAUGUUAAAUGAAAAAAUAUACUUAAACUUUCCUUUAAAAAAUAUUAAUUAUGAUUUGAAAAUUAUAGAAAAAUUGUCCAAAAAUAUUUAAAUUUUAUAAUAUAAAAUUUUGUUAUAUAUUUGUAAAAAUUUAGUUUUUAGAUUCAAUUUUGUUAUAUUUUAAAAUGGUUCGGAAUUCUUUUGCUAAAAUAUUGAAAUUAAUGAGGUCAUUUAACUAAUUGACUACGGCGAUUUCGUAUUUAUGGUCCUUAUUUGGAAAUUUAAUAACUUAAAAUCUAAUAUCAUAUAAUUAAUAAUUAGGUAUGCACUUAAUUAUGAUUCACGAGUUUUUGUACAAAAAUGAUUGAUGGAGUUUCAUUUCAUCGAUUAAUUAUUGGUGGGGUUUUACAAAUUAUGAUUGCCCUUUGAAUAUAUAGCUCUACUUUUACUAACAUGUGGUGUUGGUGCAUUCAACCUCUAACUAAUUCCCUUAAUAAUACAAACACCAUUCAAUUUCAUGAAAUUAUAUUUCUUUACUUUUCAUACCCACCUUUUUUUCUCCCAUUUUCAUUCAAUAAUUUUUUAAAGAUUCAUAUUAUCAUACUUUUAGCUCAGUUAAUGUGAUGUUUAUCUCCGUGAUUAACGGUUAAGUUUACCUUUUUUUUCUUUACAAAGUUUUAACUUUAGAUAUUACGAUACAAAGUUGAUAAAUAUAACAAAAUUUAGAUUUAGCUUUCAAAACAGUCUAUCAAAAAUGAUGGUUUGAAAGGCUAUCAGCAGUGGUUAUUGAAAAAUGAUUGUCAACGGUUGUGGCAUGAAUAGUGGUUGGAGGUUGGCUAGUGGGGAUCAACGAAAGUGGUGACUAAAUUUUUUUACACAAAUUAGAAGAGAUUAAAACCGUUAAAACAUUCCAAGUUUAUUUUUCUAAAAGUUGGUUUGUAAACAUUUACCCUAAAAUAACUUAUUUUAUAAACUUGAUUUUUCAAAAUUUAUUUUAGAUAAUUGUCAAAUACAUGAAUUUUUUUUUUCUUUAAAACAACUUAUUUUUUAAUUUAAACAUUUGGAAAAGACGAUCCAAACCCACAAUCUAAAUUACCUUAAAAGGUAUGGGAACGCACUUUAGUCUUUUGCUUAAGUUGCCUCUUGAAAUCUUGUAUUUGAAUGGAAAGCUGAACUAAAAUUAAAUUGAAACAAAAAAGACUUUGUUUCUAGCAACCUUGAUUGUAUUUUCCCAAGAUUUUGUUCUUUGCAGAUCAGCUACGUAGUACGAUCAAUUGGGUAUUUGGAAAAUAGUUGCGGUUCAAAUUCAUCCACUCUGCCAAAGAAAAAACAAAAACAACAGAUCAGUAUCAAUAAAUCAAGUAGGGCCUAAACCAAAAAGAUGUUUAUCUUGACAAUUAGCCCAACCUAACUUUCAUCUCUAUAUCCUUCUUCCAUUCCAACACCAAAUCCCCCAAACACUGAAGUCUCCAAAAUUUGGUUCAUAUGGCUUUGAUUUUUGCCAUUAUUUCUACAUUAGCUCUUCUUGCUCUCACUCUUCUCUUCAAAUUCUACCCCUUCAAAGCCCAAAAAUUGCCUCCUGGUCCUAUAGGAUUUCCCUUUGUUGGUAGUCUCCAUUUAUUAGGAAAGCUCCCUCAUAGAGAUUUUCAUAUAUUAUCCCAAAAAUAUGGACCCAUUAUGCACAUAAAAUUAGGUCUUGUUCCCACAAUCAUAGUCUCUUCUCCUAAAGCUGCUGAACUCUUCCUCAAAACUCAUGACCUUGUUUUUGCAAGCAGGCCCCUUUUAGAAGCCUCAAAGCAAAUGAAUUAUGGGCAAAAGAACUUAGUUUUUGCCCCAUAUGGUCCUUAUUGGCGCAACAUGCGUAAAAUGUGCACUCUUGAAUUGCUUAGUAACCUUAAAAUCAACUCUUUCAUGCCUAUGAGAAAACACGAGCUUGGUUUGUUGAUUGAGUACUUAAAAGAAGUUGCUCACAACAAAGCUGUUGUGAAUCUGAGUGCUAAAGUUACGUCACUUACAACUGACCUUAUUUGUUUGAUGGCAUUUGGGAAGAAAUAUGGAGAUGAAGAGAUUGAUGAAAGGGGUUUUAAAGCUACGAUACAAGAAGGUUCACAAUUAGCUGCUACUCCUAAUUUGGGGGAUUUUUUUCCUUUUAUUGCAAGGUUUGAUGUUCAAAGAUUGAAUAAUCGAAUGCAAUGUGUUCAUAAAGUGUUGGAUGGGUUUCUUGAGAGGAUUGUUAACGAACAUCUUGAGGCUAAGGGUGACAAGAAGACUAAAGAUCUUGUGGAUGUUAUGUUGGAGCUUAUGAAUUUCCAAGAAGAAACUGAUUAUCAGAUUGAUCGCUCUGCUAUUAAAGCUAUAAUGCUGGUAUGGAUCCAUGCUAUAUAUAUAUAUAUACAUAUAUUCAUUCAUUUUAAUACACAUUUACUCCCUAACUUACAAACAAAUGUUAUGAUAGUACGUGAAAUAAUUCUAAUUUUGUGUUCAACAACUCCAACAACUCCUUAAUAUAUUUGAAAUUUUAAAAAAUUAGAACUCAAUUAGCAUAAUGUAUUGACUUGGUGUGCUCUCUUAAUUUAAUCUACUUUGUUUUAUUGUGUUUAAUUAAACGAUGGUUGCUUGGAUAAAGGAAGAGAAAACAAAUUUCAGGUAGUUUCGUUAAAUAUUACAUUGUAGGAAAAGCAGAGCAGGAAUGAUAUAUGUAAAAGCUCAAAAUCUUUUCUCUCUUUUUUUUUCUGAAAAAAGGUAAACAUUAUAUAUAUAUAUACACAUACAUAUAUAUAGUGUAUAAUUAUGUUGAAUAUAUAAUAUUUUUGUAUUAUGUAUAGGAUAUGCUAAGUGCAGGAAUGGAUACAUCAGCAACUGUGAUAGGAUGGGCAAUGUCAGAGCUAAUUAAACAUCCACAUAUAAUGAAGAAACUACAAGAGGAAUUAGAAAAUGAAAUUGGUUUGGAUAAGAUUGUGGAAGAAUCAGAUUUAGAAAGAUUAGAGUAUUUGAAAAUGGUGGUUAAAGAAAUUUUCAGACUAUAUCCACCAGCCCCAUUAUUAUUACCCCACGAAUCACUUCAAGACUGUAUUGUUGAUGGCUUUCAUAUACCUAAGAAAUCACGUAUAAUAAUCAAUGUAUGGGCCAUUGGAAGAGACCGAAAUUCGUGGAUUGAUCCUCAUAAGUUUGAUCCUGAAAGGUUCAUAGAUAGUCAAGUGGAUGUGAAAGGAAGAGAUUUCCAAUUGAUUCCGUUUGGAUCUGGUCGAAGAGGCUGUCCUGGAAUGCAAUUAGGCUUAACUUUGGUUCAAUUUGUGUUGGCUCAACUUGUACAUUGUUUUGAUUGGAUGCUUUCAAAUGGUAUGCCAGCUUCUCAAUUGGAUAUGACUGAAGAAUUCGGUUUAACUUGUCCUAGACUUCAUGACCUUAUAGUCAUUCCAAGAUACCGUCUUCGAAUUUAAUAUGCUUUUUUCAAUAAUGAUAGCUUUUAACUUUUAAAGUUGUGUAUGUUCCAAUUAUUCAGUUUCUUUCCUCUUUCAAUCAAAAAAAACUUUCAAAAUUGAAUCUCCCCAUUUACAGGUGAAAGAUGCAACGUAACAAAAGAAUAUCGGAUGGUUUCACAAGUUGUUGUAUCUCAAUUAAAAAUAAAACAAAAAACAAAGAAAAUAGCAAACCACAAUCUUUAAUUACGUGACUUUUUUAAAAAAUAAAGGUCACAAUCGAUGAAGGGAGAAGACAAAAAAUCAUAUGAGUGUGUGUGAUCAAAUGUAAUUGUUGGCAGUGCUUAUGAAGAUACCUUGAGAUUGUAAGAAUGACGAGAACCACAAGGUCCUAAAAUGCAACGUGAUUUUCUACCUCCAUUUGUUUCAAUCUCUGUUCAUGACCACAUAUAACAUAAUAGGGUACGAACUAUUCUAGAACGAUAAUUUACACACAUAUUAUAAACACAAACUAGUGAUAUAAAAUAAAAUUCACAAUUAAGAUUCUCAACCCAUAUAAUUGCUUUAACAUGUUUCAUUUGAAGCCACAUCUUAGAAAAGAAAUUAAUAUAUAUCAUGGAGAUAGGAUAUAAACAUCUAGCUAAUACAAAAAUGUAUAAAAACUUGUGAUCGAAAUCAGAGAUUUUAUUAAACAUCCAAACAAAAAAUGUAGCCAAAGUAUGUAAGACCUCUAAUAUUUAUAAAAUUGAUAGAAAUCUAUCCUUGUCUACCAUAAAUAAAAUUCAAAAUUUAGCUAUAUAUUGUGUAUAUUUUCUGCAUUUUUGUUAUUUAUAAUAAUUUUCUUAUAUAUAAUUCUCAAAUGAAAAAUAAUGGAGCUUGUUUUAGACGGAAAGCAUGGCUUGGAUUUGGGUGAUCGUCGCUAUUACAAUAAUUGUUCUUGCGUUUCUCCUACAGUACUCGUGGGAGUUCAAAGGCAAGAAUUUGCCUCCUGGUCCAAAAGGGUUUCCCAUUUUUGGAAGCCUUCAUUUGAUAGGAAAGCUUCCUCAUAGAGAUCUUCAUCGUUUAUCCCAGAAAUAUGGACCCAUAAUGCACAUGAAAUUAGGCCUGGUUCACACCAUCAUAGUCUCAUCUCCUCACGCAGCCAAGCUGUUCCUCAAGACCCACGACCACGUAUUUGCAAGCCGGCCCCUAAUCCACACUUCCAGCAUUAUGACAUAUGGUAAAAAAGAUUUGGUAUUUGCUCCAUACGGUUCGUAUUGGCGCAACAUCCGCAAAAUGUGCACGCUCGAAUUGUUCAGCUCUCUCAAAAUCAACUCAUUUAAAUCCAUGAGGAAGAAGGAGGUUCGGGAGUUGAUUGAGUAUCUUAAAACAGCUUCGACAGACCGCAUGGUUGUGAGAUUGAGUUCGAAAGUGACUUCUUUGAUUGCUGACAUGACUUGUUUGAUGGCGUUUGGGAAGAAAUAUAGAGAUGAGGAAUUUGGUGAGAGAGGGUUUAAGGCAGUGAUACAAGAAGGUAUGCAAUUAGUAAUUGCUCCUAAUUUGGCGGAUUAUAUUCCUUUUGUUGCUCCAUUUGAUAUUCAAGGCUUGAAUCGUCGUGCUACUUUUGUUCUGAAGGAAUUUGAUGGGUUUUUUGAGAGGAUUAUUGAAGAACAUAUUGAGUCCAAAGAUGGAAAUAGAAACAAAGAUUUUAUGGACCAUUUGUUGGAUAUCAUGAUGUCCUCACAAGACCCUGAUGGAUAUCAAAUUGAUCGCUCUAAUAUUAAAGCUAUUGCUCUUGUAAGUACAUUUCUUUCCAUCUAUACUUUUUUUUUUUUGGGUAAAAAUGAAUUUGUAUUGCGUAAACCCCUCAAUUAAAAAUCUAAUUUAUUCCAAAAUAUUUUUCGUUUUAGACUUGUUGAUGCAUUUCUAUAACAUUUUCAUAAUUUUCUUCUUUUAUAAUGUUGAUAUAUAGCAACCUCAUUGUAGAGAGCCCUCAUGGGACAUAAUUUGAAAGUUGAAAUUCUCUUAUGCCAUAGGACUUGUCUAUGAGGAAGAUAAAUAUUUAUAAAGUACAAAAUUUUUGCAAAUACGAUUAACAUGUUUCUUUAAUGUAUCCAAAAGAGGCAUUUUAAUAUUAAACAAGAACUAUAAUUAAAAAAAUAAAAGUAGUGGAAUGCAUCUGUCUCAUUUCGAAUUUUCCCCCAUUUUUGAUCUCAUAUUAAAAACCUCACCAUUAAUUAUUACUAAAUAAAUAUGUAUAUAUUUAGGAUGUGCUGUCGGCAGCAAUGGACACUUCAGCCACAGCAAUUGAUUGGGCACUAGCGGAGCUCAUCAAACAUCCACAAGCAAUGAAGGAAUUACAAGUGGAAUUAGAGAAAGUGGUUGGUUUAAAUAGAAUGGUUGAAGAAUCUCAUUUAGAACACUUACAAUAUUUGGGAAUGGUCAUUAAAGAGGUUUUAAGGCUGCAUCCACCUGCUCCCUUGUUAGUUCCACACGAGUCUCUUGAAGAUUGUACGGUUGAUGGUUUUCAUAUUCCUAAGAAAUCGCGUAUAUUUGUCAACGCUUGGUCAAUUGGGCAAGACCCAAAUGUAUGGAUUGACCCACAAAAAUUCUUUCCGGAAAGAUUCAUCCAUAGCUUAGCUGAUGUGAAAGGGAGAGACUUUCAUUUGAUUCCGUUUGGAUCAGGUCGUCGAAGUUGUCCUGGAAUACAUUUAGGAUUACUUAUAGUUUCACUUGUGGUGGCUAAUCUUGUGCAUUGUUUUGAUUGGGAGCUUCCAAAUUGUAUGUUGGCAACUGAUUUGGAUAUGGAGGAAGAAUUUGGUUUAACCUGUCCUAGAGCUCAGGAGCUUAUGCUCAUUCCUACUUACCGUCUUCGCAACUAACAAGUUGAAGUUAAACGUGAUUGUUGGAGUGCUGCACACAUCCAUUAUAUACGAACAAAAAGUUGGAUUUGGUUUAAGUAUUAUUGGAUGUUUAGUCGUGAAUUUUUAUGCUAUUUUUCUAUUUUAUGUCUAAUAAUUAUUCUUAUAUAUACUUUCAAGCACAUGUAUAUUUGCUCAAAAUAGCAUAACUAUUGAAAACUAUGGACCUUUUUAGGCAACGUAAACCUGCACAAAAUAUGCAUUCUGGAGUUGCUUAGCAGCCACAAAGUUAAUUCUUUCAAAUCAAUGAGAGGGAAAGAAAGUGGAGUUAUUGUUGAUUAAGGAGCUACGUGAGGCUGCAAGAAGUGCACAUGUUAAUGGUUUUUAGAAAGACAUAUGAAGAUAAAGAACUUGAUGAAAAGGGUUUAAAGUAGAUCGAUGGUAGAAGAGGCCUUCAAAGUAACUGGAGCUUUUAACUUGGGGGGAUUUCAUUCCUUUUAUUGCUGCUCCUGAUCUCCAAGGAUUGAGCCGUCGGUGCAAAAUCUGUUCAUAAAGUAUUUGAUAGUUUUCUUGGAAGGAUCAUAGACGAACAUCCUUGAAUAAUCCAAGAAUAAUAAUAACAAUUGAUAACAAAGAAGACGUAGAUGCCAUGUUGGACAUCAUGGAAUCUCAAGAAACCGAGACUACCCUAUUGAUCGAUAUGAUCCACCAUCAAAGCUAUCCUGCUGGUAAGUAAUUAAACAUGACUGUUUAGUUUCCACUAAUAUAUUCACUUUUCAAUUGCUAAAAUAUAUGAUUAGACAUAUGAAAAUGUAAUUUCCAACAAAACUCCUUAUCACUACUCAGAUUUUAAAAAAAAAAAUGCCAAAAUUUAUCACAUGUCUAGUUUUAUUAUUUUAACAAGUUUAUUAUUUGGAUUAGCUCAACUUUUACAUUGUUUUGAUUGGAAGUAGCUUUCAAAUCUUCCAAAUUGUAUGUUGUUAGUUAACUUGUCCUUUAGCUCAAGAUUUGACAGUUACUUCAAUUUACCAUCUACAAAAUUAAAAUGAAUAACACUAACGAUCGUAUUAAUUAUCACUUACUAUGUUAGUAUGCUUUUAACAACAGCACAGAGUCAAUCAAUACUUAGAAAAUAAUAUUUACGAAGUGAAGUUAGGUUUUUAUGUGAAUAGAAAGAGUAGGUAUACUCUUGUGAUACCAGAAAAUUACCGUGUGUUAUGGGCUUCGUUGCCUUUGUGUACCCUAGCUCUAGUAAAACUCAUAUCAUGGACCCUCCUUGCAUAUAUUAAUUUGAUUGUUACGUGUAACAUAAUGUAAUUUAAUGAAAUUAAUAUUAUAUUUUUUUUUGCGAGUAACUACUUAAUAAUAAUAAUAACUUUCAGACUCUUAAUAGUAAUACCACCAAUAACAAUAAACCUUUUUUCUCUCGAUUUUACUAUAUUUAUAAAUUUGUGUAGUUACUACCAAAUAAUAGCAAAUUCAUGUGUUUUAAAGUGGGUAGACUACUUGAAUUAGAUGAAAUUACCAAUAUUAUCUUAUUUUGAUAUUUGAUAUAAUUAAUAUAAAUUUAAGACAGGAUGAUUUUAUCUCUCACCGCCGUCGAUUUCGAAUUUCCUUUUGAGCUUUAUAAAUGUGCUACAGAAUUAAUAACCCAACUUUUAAAACUUCAAGGAUGCAAUCAAUACUAUAUUCAAAUUUCAACCAUUUAAGACCUCAUUUAUGUAACUUUUUAAAAGUUCAUUCAAAUUUAGAAUUGGGUGUAGCGAUUUAGAAGUUUAAUUUCAAAACAUAAAUUUGGAAUUAAGAUAUAUUUGAUAAAAACAAAAGUUGUAUUUUAUAUUUUUGUAUAUGUGUUUCGUUCUAGAUUUAGAAAUUAAAUUUUAAUUCAAACAAUUGUUUAAUAUGUGUUUGUGUCUAUAUUUAUAAAUCAUAAACUAGUUAUAGUUGUUUGACAAUAAAUUGUUAUUAGUUUAUUUAGUAACAUUUAUGUUAAAAGAUGGAGAAAUUCUCAUGGAUGACAGAAAAAAAAAUUAUAUUUAAAAAAUAAAGCAAAAAAACUUAAUAAGUUUUGGAAAAAAUGAUAGAUUUCGUAAAAAGAUUUAUAUAAUUAUUACAUAAUAUAAUGUUAUAUAAUUUAUAAUACAUAUUUUAACUUUUGAAAAUAGAUUGAAUUUGUAACAUGAUAUAUUAUGUUUUUAAAUGUUUGUAUAUAUUUAUUUAUUUUAUAUAAAUCUGCAGUUUAAAAUUUAAAAUUUAAAAUAUAUAUGAAUUCAAUGAAAGCGUUGACAAAACUGUUCCUUACGGAAUUUGAAGUGUUUAAACCAUAGAAUCUAAAGAACAGUUUGCAAAAACAAAGUUCGUGAUGUCUGCUAAAAAUGGAUGACUGAAGUUCCCAACAAUGCGUUUGUGUAUCAUUAUUAAUUGAGGUAAAGCCUAUCAUUAUCAUCUCUUGACAUCAUAUGGAACUAAACAACAUACAUUAAAGACAACCUCCUUGGCUCCUUGCUCUUCAUCUUGUAGGAAAAAGUACAAAACAAAAACUAGGUGAGAUACAUUGAUUAAAUAAGAAACAAAUAAUUACAAACAGUAAGUUUAAAGUUUUUUAAUAAAAUAUAAUGAAAAGGCAAAAUUGCACUAUAAAAGCCUCAUAUAUAUUACUUAUAAAAGUUAUAGUAUACUAAUGUAUUUGUCAAAUAUAUACCAUAUAUCACGAUAAACCAUCCCAAUAAGGAAACAUUCUUGAUUAGAAUUUCCCAUGCAUCCAACAACAUAUCGAUCACAGAGGUAUUAAUAUCAUUUAGUUAACUUUUCCUUCUUUUAUUGUGCAUUGAAACCAUCAAAUCUGAUAUCAGAAUAUGGAAGACGUGACAAACUCUGAUCCUUGUACUCAUCACUUGGGCGGCCAUUCUGCUUUUAAAAGAACCCAAUCUCCAAAAGCCUUGUAUGUGUGAAAUUUUACCUCACCACAGAUAGGGUUUGAGGAAUAAAUUUUUCCAAUCUCCUUAUGGCUUGGUAUUUUCUCGCUGUUGCAUUAGUUGGUCUUGCUCUUCUGUUGAGAACAAGGCUAUAUAGAAGUCCUAACAAAUUGCCUCCUGGUCCUAGAGGGUUCCCUGUUUUUGGUUGCCUUCAUUUGCUAGGAAAGCUUCCUCAUAGAGAUCUUCAAAGUUUAUCUGAAAAAUAUGGAUCCAUUAUGUACAUGAGACUCGGCCUUGUACCCACUAUCAUCGUCUCUUCUCCUCAUGCAGCUGAGCUCUUUCUCAAAACCCAUGAUACUGUUUUUGCAAGUCGCCCAUUUGUUCAGGCUUCCAAGUACAUGGCAUACGGUCAAAAGAACUUGGCGUUUUCUCAGUAUGGCCCUUAUUGGCGUAAUCUGCGUAAAAUGUGCACACUCGAAUUGCUGAGCAGCGUGAAAGUUAAAUCUUUCAGAUCAAUGAGAAUGGAAGAGCUAGGUUUGUUCGUUGACUAUCUUCGAGAUGCUGCAAGAAAACGUGUCAUUGUAAAUCUCAGCUCCAAAAUCUGUUCUCUCAACACAGAUAUGACAUGUUUGAUGGUUUUUGGAAAGAAAUAUAAAGACCAAGAGUUUGACGAGAGGGGUUUCAAAUCUGUGAUACAAGAGGCCAUGCAGAUAGUGGCUAGUCCUAACUUGGGAGAUUUUAUUCCUCAAAUUGCAGUACUUGACCUUCAAGGGUUGGACCGUCGCUCAAAAGCUGUUAGUAAGAUAUUUGAUGAGUUCUUUGAGAGAAUUAUUGAUGAACAUCUUGAAUCCAGGUAUGAGAAUAAGACUAAGGAUUUUGUGGAUGUCAUGUUGGAAAUCAUGGACUCUCAAGGAACCGAGUAUCAGAUUGAACGGUCUAACAUCAAAGCUAUAAUCCUUGUAAGUAAACUUCCUACGUAUUAAAUAAAGGAGUCGAGAAGGAUAUGGCUUACUGUGGUCAUGAUACAAUAGCAUGCUUUUCUGAUGUUUCCUUCUUUUUUUUUUUUUUUUUGAAAAAAUAUAAUAUAUCUCUGAAUACUGUCACCAAAAAGUAUGCAUAAAGCUAAUUGCUCCUAAAUUUUAGUAACUCAUCGGCUUAAGUAAAAGAAAUUUCAGUUAUUGGUUCUAAUUAGCUUGACCCCAAUUUUAGGAUAUGCUAGUGGCCGCAAUGGACACUUCUGCCACCACAAUCGGAUGGGCAAUACCUGAGCUCAUCAAACAUCCACAUGUGAUGAAGAAAAUGCAAGACGAAUUACAAAAAGUGGUGGGUUUGGAUAGAAAGGUGGAAGAAACUGACUUGGAUCACUUGCAAUAUUUGGACAUGGUCGUUAAGGAAAUUCUCAGGCUACAUCCACCAGCUCCAUUAUUAGUUCCACAUGAGGCUCUUGAAGAUUGCAUUGUUGAUGGUUUCUAUAUUCCUAAGAAAUCACGUAUAAUAGUAAAUGGAUGGGCAAUUGGAAGAGACCCAAACUUUUGGAUUGACCCAGAAAAAUUCUUUCCUGAAAGGUUUAUUGGUAGUCAAGUGGAUGUGAGAGGGAAGGAUUUUCAAUUGAUUCCCUUUGGAUCCGGCCGAAGAGGUUGUCCUGGCAUGCAAAUGGGUCUAACAGUAGUUCGUCUAGUGAUAGCACAGCUUGUCCAUUGCUUUGAUUGGGAGCUUCCAAAUGGCACGUUACCAGUUGAAUUGGAUAUGACAGAAGAAUUUGGAUUAACUUGUCCCAGAGCUCAAGAUCUAAUGGUUACUCCUAUUUAUCGCCUUAACAACUAAACAAGCCAAACAGUUGCACAUAACUUUCAAAUAAAUAAAGAGUUCAAUAUAUUAUCAGAUUGUACGUGUGAAAUCAAGUGAAAGAUGUGCAUGGUUUGCAAGAUUCAGAAUUCCUGUCAUAAGAAGAGAAGUUAAUAAAUUUGUGCUUGUAUGCUUAGCAAGUAGGUCUGCUUUUGUUGGGUCUCAAUGAAUGGGCCAUCCGCCAAAUGAAAACUGUGUAUUUUAUAGACUCAAACCCUAUCUGUGUUGUCCCGGAAGGUAACCAUAAGCCAUAAUUGCAUUAAAGACAUGUUACAUGAACUAAUAAACAACGUUCGCAAAUGAAAACUAAGUCUAAGUAAUAUUCUAGAGUAACUCACGGUACACAAAAUGAUUGUUACUCUAUUAUAUUUCAUUAAUGGUGACGUACAUGCAACGACGCUCAAAAUGCUUCGUACUUCAAAAAAAUGAAUUGAAGACAGAAGGUUGGUGGAGAUUCUCCAUCUUAAUUAUCAAUACACAAUAAACUUCAGGGUUGCGUACUGAUCAAAACACGCUCUCAAGAUAAAAUACAUCCCAAGUUCAAUAUAUUUUCUUUGGAAGAGAAUACAAGAAAAGUUCGAGAAAAUGGUGGAUUAGGACACAAGACGGUGGACAAAUGAGAGUUGGGUUACUUCAAAGUAUCGGGAAGUGGUCACCCAGAAAAUGCUCGACUCAAGUCGUUGCAUCUACCAUUCUAUUGUUAGUACUACUUUAGUCUAUCGUAGGUAGUAAAAUCAAUCGCUUCCCAUACUCCCAGAAAGUGCACGUAAAUAUUAAACAAAUGGGUGAGUUAAAAGUGAUCUUUGAAAAAUAUUGACUCUCUUUUUAAUGUUUGGUAAAACUGUUUGUUUGUAAAUCUACUGAAAUCACUUCUGGAGAACAUGCUCAGUUUUUAGGAUCUUUGAAGUAUGUUUUCUUAAUUUUCAGAAGGUUAUUUACGGUUUCAAUUUUCAAUUAUAAAAUUCUACUCUUCAAAAAAAUUAAAAUUUAUUAAAUCAUACAAUUUUUUAUUUUAAAUAUAUAUAUAUAGAGUAAGAUGACAAUUUUAAGUCAAAUGUAUAAAUUUAAUUCAUAUAAUUAUUAUCAAUUCAGUUAGUCAAACGUUCAGAUCGUUAUUUAAAAAAAAAUAUUGAGUAAUCCAUGGACAAUAAUUUUAAGAAUAAUAAUAAAGUAUAUAAACAUCUUUUAAAAAAAUGUGAAUGUAACAAAAUCUGUAAAUGAUAGACGUAUAUUACUGAACUUACAAAUAGCAAAAUCUACGUCACAUAUCACGUAUAGUUGACAGAUUUUCUUAUUUUUACAAUUCUUAUAAAAUAUGGUUAUAGACUAAUAUUUUAAAUUUAAUUAUUAUAUUUGUUAUAAAUAUACGAAAUAAUAGCAAAUUCAGUGAGUCAACUUUUUAUAAACUUCAAUUAAAUGAAAUUGUUAAUAUUGUCUUAUUUUGACUUUACAUAUAAUUAAUAGAAAUUUAAGUACAAUUAGAUUACACAAAAGGUGAUAUUGGCCGACGCAAAUAAAUUUUUUCCAAAAGGACUCAUCGGUAGUGAAAUAGACCUAAAAGGAAGUGACUUUAAAGUAAAUAUUCCAUUUGGAUAUGGAAGAAGUUGUGUUGUAAUACAAUUCGGUUUACCUUACAAUUCGAUUUGUUUUAUCUCAACUUCUACGUAGUUUUGAUCGAAUCAAAGGCUUUCAAAUCUUCCAAAUUGUAUGUUUCCUACGUUAACUUGUCCUUUAGCUCAUGAUUUAAUGCUUACUCCAAUUUACUAUCUACAGAGUUAAAACGAAUAACACACUAACGCUUCUAUUUAUCACUUACUAUGUUAGUAUGCUUUUGAAAAAUAGUAUAGAGCAAUCAAUACUUAAAAAUAAUAUUUAUGAAGUGAAGUUAUAUAUAGAUUUUAAUGUGAGUAAAAGAGUAGCCACUCUUAUGAAACUAGAAAAUUAUGGUGUUUGUCUUUGUGAAUCUCUAGCUCUAGUAAGACCUAUAUCAUGAACCCUCCCCUGCAUGUCUUAAUUUGAUUACUGUGUGCAACAUGAUGUAAGUUAAUGAAAUGAAUAUUAUAUUUUUCUAUGCAUGCGAGUAACUACUUGUUAUACAUGUGUAAAAUAUCUUAUUUAGAAAGGUUUAAUUUGAGGAUUAGCUCAACUAUUGAAAAUGUUAUUCAAGUAAUGCGUAUGUGGGAGAAAGAUUUUAUAAAUCAUUGUCGUCCAAAACGUGUGUAACUGUCAAUAUAUAUAUAAAAGGCUUUUCGAGUUAGUAGAUCUUAAAUCUCGUACGUCUUUCUAGAGAAGAAGAGGAAGUGAAUGGGGAAAUCAGUUGUUGGAGCACCAUAAGAGUGGAAGAAGAAGAUGAGAAUUAAAUAAUUGAGAGUGUGUUGUAUCAAUCAAACUAACAAUUGUAUAGAAUUAAAUAAUUGAGAGUGUGUUGUAUCAAUCAAACUAACAAUUGUAUCAGUUUUAGACUCUAAAUUUUUACAAGUUUAUCAACUUAACCUCAAACUUAUGUAAAUCUAUUGACACAGAGGGUAUGGUGGUUCAGGGUGCACAAAAUAGAUACCUUUAGCCCUCUCAUCAUCUUUCAAGGAAUAUUUAUUCAGCACAAAGGAUAAAUACAAACAGUUUAGGGCUAGAGUUUAGAUACAGCAGACCCACCCUAACAAUAAUAAUUAUAACAAUUGUUGUCGUUAUAUAAAUUGUGUGUUAUGGGAAUACUAUGCCAAACUUAUACUUUCCUCCUCCACAUUUACCUUUCAUGAGCUAAACUUUGCUUAGCUCAAAGUCAACACAAAAAAUGGGUUUCAUUUGGAUCAUUCUUAUCAUCAUCCAUCUGCUUGCUCUUCUACUUAUCCUUUGGAAAUGGUUGCACAUGAAUAACAAAACCAAGAAAUUACUGCCUCCUGGUCCUAAAGGGUUCCCCGUUUUUGGUAGCCUUCAUAUUUUAGGGAAGUUUCCUCACAGAGAUUUUCACCGCUUGUCUAAAAAAUAUGGAGCCAUAAUGCACAUAAAACUAGGCCUUGUAAACACCAUUGUUGUGUCUUCCUCUGAAGCCGCGGAGCUGUUUCUCAAAACCCAUGAUCUUGACUUUGCAAAUCACCCACCUAAUGAUGCUUUGAAGCACAUUUCUUUUGGUCAAAGCAGCAUGGUGGUUGCAAAAGAUGGGCCUUAUGUACGCAGCGUGCGCAAAAUGUGCACUCAGAAGUUGCUUAACAGCCACAAACUCAAUUCUUUCAAAUCAAUGAGAAUGGAAGAAGUUGGGUUGUUUAUUCAAGAGCUUCGUGAGGCUGCAAGAAGCGGGUUGCUUGUAAAUCUUACUUCUAAACUCUCUUCUCUCGGUGCAAAUAUGAUAUGUUUGACGGUAUUUGGGAGGAAAUAUAAAGAUAAAGAACUUGAUGCAAAGGGUUUUAAGAGAAUGGUAGGAGAGGCCCUCAAAGUAAUUGGAGCUGUUAAUGUGGGCGAUUUCAUUCCUUUUAUUGCACCUCUUGAUCUACAAGGAUUAAUCCGUCGUGCAAAAUCUGUUCACAAAGUAUUUGAUAGGUUUCUUGAACGGAUCAUUGAUGAACAUCUUGAAUCCAAGAACAAUAAUAGUACCAAAGAUUUUGUUGAUGUCAUGUUGGAAAUUAUGGAAUCUCAACAAACUGACUACCAAAUUGAUCGAUCCACCAUCAAAGCCAUCAUGCUGGUAAGCAAACAUUAUUUUGUAGGUAACAAUCACACAAUCGUAGUAGAUUUUUCUAUAUUUGCAAUAAUGUAAAAGAGUUCUAUUACACACUUAACUAUCAAAGUAAUUUAAAGGGCCACCUAUUGCAAUUAAUUAUCAUACAACAAAUUAAAAGUACACCAAUGUCUGCUUUUCUGUUUUUUGUGUGUGUUAGGAUCUUCUUUUUGCCGGAAUGGACACUACAACGACUACCAUCGGAUGGGCAAUAGCUGAGCUCAUUAGACAUCCAGAGAUAAUGAAGAAAGUGCAAAAUGAAUUAGAAGAAGUUGUAGGUUUGAAACGAAUGGUGCAAGAAUCAGAACUGUCUCAUUUGAAAUACUUAGAAAUGGUUGUUAAAGAGGUUUUCAGGUUGCAUCCUCCAGCUCCGUUACUGAUUCCACAUCAACCCCUCAAAGAUUGCAUAGUUAAUAAUUUCCAUAUUCCUAAAAUGUCACGUGUAAUUGUGAAUGCAUGGGCAAUUGGACGAGACCCAUGUGCUUGGACCGAUGCACAUAGAUUCUUUCCAGAAAGAUUCAUCGGUAGUAAAGUGGAUGUAAAAGGAAACCAUUUUGAACUAAUUCCAUUUGGAUCUGGAAGAAGAGGUUGUGUUGGAAUACAAAUGGGUUUACUCAAGGUUCACUUUGUUUUAGCUUAACUUCUCCAUUGUUUUGAUUGGAAGCUCCCAAAUGGUAUGUUGCCUGUUGAUUUGGAUACGACAGAAGAGUUUGGUAUAAGUUGCCCUUUAGCUCAUGAUGUUAUGGUUACUCCUAUUUAUCGCUUAAAGAACUAAUUAUAUGAGUAGUACUUCAAUAUAUUACUUGUCACAUCAACAUGCUUUUAAAAGUUGUACAAAAGACAUUAAUACUUGAAGAAUGUUUAUGAAGUUAUAGAUUUUUAAUUUAUAUGAAUUAAGAAAGAGUAUGUGUAUACACACUCUCGUGAAGUUAGAAAAUUUCCAUAUGUGAUGAAUGUUUGUUGUCGUUGUGAUAUCCUCGCUCUAGUAUGACUUGUAUGCAUGAACCCUCCAAUGUGCAUUAGGGCACUAUAUAUAUGUAACAUUGUAGGGCACUAUAUAUGUAACAUUAUGUAAUAUAAUGAAAUGAAUAAUGUGUAUUCAUGUAUAUGCUAGUAACUGUGUUGUUAACAUGGAAAAAACCAUGCAAAAUAGAGUUGAAAGGUAAGUAAUAAAAAAAAAAUCCUCUUUUAUCAAAGGUCUAAUAACUUAUGUUAGAUUCUUACAAAGUGAAUGCAAAGAAAAUAAAGAAAAGACAAGAAAGAGCUUAUGCUUGUGAUAAUAUAUAGGUUGUUUAAUGAUAAUUAAGAUGAGGAGAAAGGGUAAUAUUACAACUAAGGACCCUAAUGUAUAACUAACAACAAUUAUUUUAAAACUAUAUAUGUGAGUGUGGCUCAAAAAUUGCCUUUCGUCUAUCUUUUCAUUCAAUUAAGUUUGUCGAACGUCGAUAUCAGCUACUUCCCACGUGGUUAGUUCAAAAGACAACUUCCUUGGCUCCUACCUUUUCAUCUUGUAGGAAAAAGAACAAAACAAAAACAAGGUGAGAUACAUUGAUUAAAUAAGAGACCAAUAAAUUACAAACAGUAAGUUUAAAGUUUUUUAAUAAAAAAUAAUGAAAAAGCAAAAUUGCUCUAUAAAAAAAACCCAAACAUAUUAUUUUUAAAAAAAUCUAUAGUAACAGAAGUAGUAUAAAAGAGUUGUGUAAAGACUACAAAAUACAUGAAUAAAUCAUUUAGUGAAGAGUUAAUUAAUGGCAAGGGAAUAAUAAGUAAUGGUUCCAUAUAUUACAAUACCAUAUUUGUUAAAUAUAUAUGAUAUAUCACGAUACAGCAUUCCAAGAAGAAAACAUUAUUGAUUAGAAUUUCCCAUCCAACAACAUAUCGAGGUAUUAUAUCAUUGAGUUAACUUUUCCUUCUUUUAUUGUUCACUGAAACCAUCACAUUUGAUAUCAUAGUAUGGAAGACGUGGCAGGCUUUGAUCCUUGAAUUCAUCACUUGGACCGUCAUUCUGCUUUUAUAAAAGAACCCAAUCUCCAAAAGCCUUGUAUGUGUGAAAUUUUGCCCCACCACAAAAUCUGAGUCUCCUUAUGGCUUGGAUUUUUCUCGCUGUUGCAUUGGUUGGUCUUGCUCUUCUAUUGAGAACAAGGCUAUACAGAAGUCCGAACAAAUUGCCUCCUGGUCCUAGAGGGUUCCCUGUUUUUGGUUGCCUUCAUUUGCUAGGAAAGCUUCCUCAUAGAGAUCUUCGAAGUUUAUCUAAAAAAUAUGGAUCCAUUAUGUACAUGAGACUCGGCCUUGUACCCACUAUCAUCGUCUCUUCUCCUCAAGCAGCUGAGCUCUUCCUCAAAACCCAUGAUUCUGUUUUUGCAAGUCGCCCAUUUGUUCAGGCUUCCAAGUACAUGUCAUACGGUCAAAAGAACUUGGGGUUUGCUCAGUAUGGUCCUUAUUGGCGUAAUAUGCGUAAAAUGUGCAGACUCGAAUUGCUGAGCAGUGUGAAAGUUGAAUCUUUCAGAUCAAUGAGAAUGGAAGAGCUCGGUUUGUUCGUUGACUAUCUUCGAGAUGCUGCAAAAAAACGUGUCAUUGUAAAUCUUAGCUCCAAAAUCUGUUCUCUCAACACAGAUAUGACAUGUUUGAUGGUGUUUGGAAAGAAAUAUAAAGACCAAGAGUUUGACGAGAGGGGUUUCAAAUCUGUGAUACAAGAGGCCAUGCAGAUAGUGGCUAGUCCUAACUUGGGAGAUUUUAUUCCUCAAAUUGCAGUACUUGAUCUUCAAGGGUUGGACCGUCGCUCAAAAGCUGUUAGUAAGAUAUUUGAUGAGUUCUUUGAGAGAAUUAUUGAUGAACAUCUUGAAUCCAGGUAUGAGAAUAAGACUAAGGAUUUUGUGGAUGUCAUGUUGGAAAUCAUGGACUCUCAUGGAACCGAGUAUCAGAUUGAACGGUCUAACAUCAAAGCUAUAAUCCUUGUAAGUAAACUUCCUACGUAUUAAAUAAAGGAGUCGAGAAGGAUAUGGCUUACUGUGGUCAUGAUACAAUAGCAUGCUUUUCUGAUGUUUCCUUUUUUUUUUUUUUUUUUGAAAAAAUAUAAUAUAUCUCUGAAUACUGUCACCAAAAAGUAUGCAUAAAGCUAAUUGCUCCUAAAUUUUAGUAACUCAUCGGCUUAAGUAAAAGAAAUUUCAGUUAUUGGUUCUAAUUAGCUUGACCCCAAUUUUAGGAUAUGCUAGUGGCCGCAAUGGACACUUCUGCCACCACAAUCGGAUGGGCAAUACCUGAGCUCAUCAAACAUCCACAUGUGAUGAAGAAAAUGCAAGACGAAUUACAAAAAGUGGUGGGUUUGGAUAGAAAGGUGGAAGAAACUGACUUGGAUCACUUGCAAUAUUUGGACAUGGUCGUUAAGGAAAUUCUCAGGCUACAUCCACCAGCUCCAUUAUUAGUUCCACAUGAGGCUCUUGAAGAUUGCAUUGUUGAUGGUUUCUAUAUUCCUAAGAAAUCACGUAUAAUAGUAAAUGGAUGGGCAAUUGGAAGAGACCCAAACUUUUGGAUUGACCCAGAAAAAUUCUUUCCUGAAAGGUUUAUUGGUAGUCAAGUGGAUGUGAGAGGGAAGGAUUUUCAAUUGAUUCCCUUUGGAUCCGGCCGAAGAGGUUGUCCUGGCAUGCAAAUGGGUCUAACAGUAGUUCGUCUAGUGAUAGCACAGCUUGUCCAUUGCUUUGAUUGGGAGCUUCCAAAUGGCACGUUACCAGUUGAAUUGGAUAUGACAGAAGAAUUUGGAUUAACUUGUCCCAGAGCUCAAGAUCUAAUGGUUACUCCUAUUUAUCGCCUUAACAACUAAACAAGCCAAACAGUUGCACAUAACUUUCAAAUAAAUAAAGAGUUCAAUAUAUUAUCAGAUUGUACGUGUGAAAUCAAGUGAAAGAUGUGCAUGGUUUGCAAGAUUCAGAAUUCCUGUCAUAAGAAGAGAAGUUAAUAAAUUUGUGCUUGUAUGCUUAGCAAGUAGGUCUGCUUUUGUUGGGUCUCAAUGAAUGGGCCAUCCGCCAAAUGAAAACUGUGUAUGUUAUAGACUCAAACCCUCUCUGUGUUGUCCAAGAAGGUAACCAUUAGCCAUAAUUGCAUUAAAGACAUGUUAUAUGAACUAAUAAACAACGUUCGCAAAUAAAUACCAAGUCUUAGUAAUAUUCUAGAGUAACUCACGGUACACAAAUUGAUUGUUAUUACUCUAUUAUAUUUCAUUAAUGGUGACGUACAUUCAACGACGCUCAAAAUGCUUCGUAAUUCAGGAAAAUGAAUUGAAGACAAAAGGUUGGUGGAGAUUCCCCAACUUAAUUAUUAAUACACAAUGAACUUCAGGGUUGCGUACUGAAAACACACUCUCAAGAUAAAAUACAUACCAAGUUCAAUAUAUUUGCUUGGGAAGAGAAUGCAAGAAAAGUUCGAGAAAAGGGUGGAUUAGGACACAAGAUGGUGGACAAAUGAUAGUUGAGUCACUUCAAAGUAUCGGUAAGUGGUCACCCAGAAAAUGCUCGACUCAAGUUGCAUCUACCAUUUGAUUGUUAUAUCGUAGGUUGUAAAAUCAAUCGCUUCCUAUACUCUUAGGAAAGUGCACAUAAUAUUAAAUAAAUGGGUGAGUGGACGAAACUCAACUGUCCAGAUUGAUCAAGUGAAGUUGUUUUCAGCGAGUUACGUUAGAUGCCAAGUGGAUGUGAGAAGAAAUUUAACUAAUCCUGUUGGGACUUAGUUGAAGAGGCUACCCAAGAAUGCAAAUGGGUCCAACUAGCUAAGUCUCUGCAUUGCAUUAAUUGUGAGAAUCAAAAGGAUAUAAAUGUUGAUAAUCAAAUCGGAUUUGAAAGCAGAGUUUAGAUUAACCUGUCCUAAAGCUCAACAUCUUUACGGUUAUUCAUAUUUAUCAUUUUCAUAACUAACUAAAGAGCUUGGAAUGUUGUUGGGUUCGAUAGUGUAGAAUAUAAGGUUUCGUCAGUAAGUUGUAAUAAUCCAAAGUUUCUUCUUGUCUGGAGAAACAUGACCUUUCAAUUUAUUAUUUUUUUUAUAUCAGUGAGUAUUCGGGCCAGCUUACGCGCAUCUCGACUAAUCUCAUGGGACACCUGCAUGACCCUACAACAUUUUGGUGUCAAAGGAGCAUACCUUUCAAUUUAGUAGCUAUACAGAUAGUAAAGUUCUAUCUUUGGUGAAGACAAGUACACAACGAAGAACAAUCAUUGAAUCAAUGAUUUGUAUUUUCAUUUCCACAAAGAGAAGCCUUUCUGUUAUUUUCAUCGCCUGGUCACACUGUCUUUGAUCAUCCUUAAGCUAUGCUAAUACCUUUUCAGAAACUAGCAGCAUUGUUUAAGUGGUUGAUAAUUUUUAGCUCACUUUUUUUUUUGAAGUGAUUAUCAUUGAGAUCUCUAUGGAUUAUUUGCCGUAGUGUCUUGUGCACAGUCAGACUCAGAUAUCAAGAACAUACUUAUCUGGCAUUUUAUGGGAUCAUAGGAGUAACGUCAUAAGGAGAUUUAAGCAAGAAAUUGGAAUUUGAGGCACGUAUGAGGUUUUCAAAGCAGUAGGCUUUCCUGCGUAUCUUUGAGUAAAUGCUAAAGGGAACACGGGUAUGAAAAGAAAAUGGACGUGAAAAUGACUAUCACCUUCAGAAACUUGACAUUCUAUUCUUUUAUUUCCUUAAUAUCUGUGAGUAUUCGGACCAGCUUACGUGUAUUUCAACUAACUUCGAGAAACUUGGCAUUCUAUUCUACCCUUGUGCAAUGAAGAAUUUUACUAUUAACAAUCAGAUUGAAGCUUAUGAAACAAUCUCUAAUUGUAAUUUACCCUAUUUUGAUAAGUUGACAGGAUCUUGUGGUAUAUAAAAAUGCUGGAAAGUAAAAACAAAUUUGUUAAAGAUCACACUUACAGAGAAAUAGUUCCCUUGUCACGGUUGAAGAUUAUUGGUAAACGCAGCUUCAUAUCGUAUCAAGCUCAACCCACCUCUGAGCAUGUGACGAGAAUUCUUUUUGUUUCAUCUGCAUUGCUAAAUUUCCCAACGCUUCAUAAAUAAGCAAACUGUCGUGAUGGCUUCUGUCCUCAACAAAAAACACGUGAGACAUUCCAUUCACUUGAACAACGCUUUUCCCAGGGGAUUUCCUCAUUUGGUUUGAUCUCAUCGUUUUUCUCAUAGCUGCAACUUCAUCCCAUCUUCCAACUGAUGCAUAUAUAUUUGCCAUCUCGACGAACGAAACUGCAACCCGAGGCUGUAAUUCAAAGAGAUAACGAGACACAUACUCACCGAUUUCCAUGUUGUUGUGAAUCUUACAAGCACCAAGCAAUGCACCCCAUAUGCCCUCGUCAGGCUUCAUAGGCAUAUCUUGAAUAACCUCCAAUGCUUCAAUUAGCUUCCCUUUCCGUCCAAGAAGAUCGAUCAUGCAAGAAUAAUGAUCCAAACCAGGAUUUAUACCAUAUCUUUCAGUCAUCAUCAUAAAACAUUCCCUUCCUUUCUCGAGAUAGCCUCCAUGACAGCAAGCUUGAAGAACAGCUAGAAACGUGAUAUUAUUUGGCUCUAUUCCUGACUCUGACAACAGUGAGAAGAGAUCUAAAGCUUCUCUAAAUUCCCCAUUCAGAGCACAAGCUGCAAUCAUGGCUGUCCAAGAGACAACAGUUCUAUUAGGCAAACUGUAGAAUAUCUCUCGAGCAUCAUUCAAACUCCCACAUUUUGCAUACAUGUCUAUCAAUGCAUUACAAACUACCACAUCUUUUUUCAAUUCAUGUAAAGAUGCAUAGUUGUCAAUCCAAUGUCCAAGCCCAAGUGCCCCUGUUUUACCGCAACCUGAUAUCAGGGAAAGAACAGUAACUAUAUCAGGUUUUUCUCCAGUUUCUUCCAUAGCAUUAAAUAAUACCAAGGCAUCAUCAACUCGCCCCACCUCACUAUACCCACUAAUCAUGGCCGUCCAUGAAACACAAGUUCUAAUAGACAUACCAUCAAACAAAAUUGUAGCAGAGCUAAUAUCUCCACACCUUGAAUACAUUGAUAUAAGGGUGUUAAUUAAAGAAAUAUCUGAAUCGCAUCCUAAUUGGAAACCAUGGCCAUGAAUAAGGAAACCAUAAAUUAGUGCUUCAGGUUGCUGGCAAGAAGAAAGCAAACUAAUAAUCGUACUUGCAUCAGGCUUAAAACCAUCACAGAGCAAUCCUUUGUAAGAUUUUACAGCAUCUACAUAUUUCCCAAAGUGAGCAUAGCAUGCAAUCAGUGAAUUCCACGAGACAGAAGAUCUUGCAGUCUUUUGAAUCCCAUGGAACACCAUCUUUGCAAGCUGCAGUUCACCGCAUUUGGAAUAGGCAGCAAUCCAAGUGUUAGAAACUGAGGUGUCAGCAUCUAAUCCUGUUUCAAUCCCAAUAGCAUGAACAGCUUUUAAAAACCUUAAACUUUUGGCAGAUAUAACUGCUCGAGUCAAUCCAAUGACAGUAGCUGCAUCUGGCCGAGUUCCCACUAAUCUCAUCCCCAUAAACAGAUUGAACACUCUAUCAAGUGAGCCGAUCUGAGAAAAACCAAUAAUCAUAGCGUUCCAUGAUGCAAUAUUCCUAACAGGCAUUUUAUCAAACAAGUUAUAUGCAUCAUCCACUUUACCACACUUGACAUACAUAUCAACCAUGGCCGUCUGGACAUAGAUAUCAGAGUAAAAUGGGGAUUUGACAACAUGGGUAUGGAUGAUUUGGGAGUUAGUAAGAUGGGAGAGCUUGGCGCAAGCUUUUGAUAAGAAGGGAAAUGUAAAAUUGUUUGGUUGUAGACCAUUUAACUUCAAUUGAUGGAAAAGAGCGAGAGCUUUGCUCGCAUUGCCUUGAUUUACAGCGCCUCGUAUGCUGGAGUUCCACCAAGUGAGAGUUGAUAGCUUUGAAAAGCAGUUGAGAUGUUGAGUCAACGUAGACAUCUCCACUUCUCAUGGUGUUUGGCGGGCGUCAAACAGCCGGACGGCCAUGACGAGGUAAAAUAGAAUUGAAAUAUGACUCUUGAUUUUUAGUCUUCCAAAAUUAAACCAAGAAGCUCCAACGUAUAACGUAUACCUCAAGUUUUGUUUUUUUUUUUUUUUAGGAAAAUAAUUUUCAAUUUUAAUUCUUAAAUUUCAAAAUAUUAUAAUUUUAAAUUGAAUAAUUUGUUUUAUUUCAAACAAAUUGUCAAACAAUUUUAUUCGUAAAGAGUUUGUUUCACCCCAACUUUUUAUAAGUGAAUGCUUUUUCUACUUUUCACAUUUGAAUUUUCUAUUUUUGAAUUUUGUUUUGAAGUAUGUUCAAAUUGAUUUUGCUUGCAAAGUCAAUUCAAACAUGCUAUUAAUAUCUAUAAACUGAAAAAACAAAUGAGAAUUCAUUUUGUAGCACAGUUAGGAGUUGUUUGUUUGAUAAGAAGAAGAGAAAAUGAGAGGGCAGACAAUGAAAAGUGAGCAACAUUUUUCUUCCAUUAACAUCAAACUGAAACUCUUGUAGGGGGAGAAAAAAAAUCAAUGGAUGGGGGUGGUGGUUGUCCAUUUACAAGAAAAUUUCACGGAGAAAAAAAUGGUGACAAUUAGCCCAAAAUCAGUAGGCUGAAACCAAUACGAAGCGAAAAAUAAGAAACAAAAACAAUUGGGGUCGAGGAACACUGGAAAAAAACUAAUUCCAAGACGCAUGUACACGGGGGGUUGGAAGGAUGAGGAUGAAAAUCAAACACAUAUAGCACAUAAAUCAUCAAACACUUGUCUGAUGUUAGGCCUCUCAUUUACAGGACGAAUGCACUUGAGAGAUACACCCAACAGUUCAUCCAUAGCUUUCGAAGGCUCUUCUCCAACUACGAUAUCUCGGUCUAUACAGUCCAUUCUUCGUCCUUCUUGAUCGCAUAAACGCACCCAAUCUGUGAGAUCGACGGCCCCCGAUUGACCCGAUAUUAUGUCGCCUGCACUUCUUUUGGUUAAAAGCUCCAUUAAAAUUACCCCAAAUGAAUAAAUGUCAGCCUUGAAAGAUGGACCAGGUUUUGCUGCACAAGCGAGUUCUGGAGCGCAAUAUCCAAGUGCCCCUAGAUUCAAUAUCUGCUCCGCAAUGCCUGCUGGUGUCAUCAAGCGGUGAAGUCCGUAGUCAGUGAGCCGGGCAUCGGAAUCAUGGCCUGCCAAGAUAAUAUUUGUUGGCUUUAAGUUUCCAUGAGGGAGGCCCCUAUCAUGAAGGUAUAACAGACAGCGAGCAACUUCCACUGCAAUUUUAAGUCGUUGACUGAACGAUAACCGAGAAUACCUUCGUGGUGUAGUUUCUGCAAGAAAAGGAUAUAAUACAAUCAAUUACUAGAACACAUGGUAGUAAUCUUAGAGAGAGUCAGAUUGCACGUGAAAAUACUUCUGCAAGAAGAAUACAAGCAUGUGAAGGAUGAUGUUAUUCUAGUGAUUAUGCAAAAUCAAUUCGUAAUUAUUCAGAAGGAGAAACUCAUGAUGCCAACAAGAGGCCGGACAUUCUUAAUUCACAUUCCAGAGAUAUCUUCGGCCGUGGCGGUUGUAACAAGAUAAGAAAUAUAACAAGGACACAGAAAUUGCAUCGCUGGAAACUGGCCACCAUUUUCGAUUGUAGUGCGGCCACUCAUUCAAAGAAAUAAGAAUCCUAAAUAUGCCAUUCAAACUCUUUUGUACAAGGCUUGGGAGAAAGAAAAGGAAAAUGAAUUUAACGUGGAAUGAAACCAACAGGUGCUACUUUAACUUUCCAUGUAGAAAGUACUAAAAUUAACAAAUAACAGAAUCAAGAAUCAUAAUUUAUUCAAAAAAAAAAAAGAGAACAAAAUCAUGUCAAAUACACAAAAUAAUAAUAAUAACGAUUUAUAAAUAAAUUUUAAGAUUUAAAUGGCAAUGGCAAUUUAAGGGCACGAACUACGUGAUAUACUUUUGAGGAUGAGACUAGCAGUUAUUACAUGAGGUCUAAGACUACGGCACGGAUCAUCAGAACUAACUGACAAUCAAGUGUUAACAUGGCAAAAUGGACAAAUAAAUUUUUUCACAAAUCCAAAAAAAAUUGCUGGAAGAUCUUAACACCACAAUGAAAGCAUAAGACUUGCAUCCUUUUGAACUUCCCUAAAUUUUUCAGAAAUGUUAUGUAUCAAAAGUUUUGGUACGUUAACAGCAAGUAAAAAAAAUAUGAGAUCCACCUUCUGCUUUCUCUCAAACUAACACUACAUUUAAAUUUUUCAUUGUUUUGUAUAAACAAUACACAGAAUUUACUUGUUUGGAAGUCAGCCUAAUGUACAGCUUUGUAAGAACAGGCUUCUUCUUAUGGCUGUUUUUCAGGCUAACGGAUUCUAUAGGAGACUGCCUGUAGAAAUAUACUUAAUGCGAGUACAGCUUUCUACAGUAUGGACAGACAAGGAGAUUUUUAGAUCCCUACGUCUGUGGGAAGGCUGGCUAUGAACAUAAUUAGGUAAGAAAAAAGGAACGCAGCGAUACCCCUUGUUGCAACUCACAACUUAUCUUGUUAUUUCUACAAUGAUAAUCCAGACAUACAUGUUGGACGGACUUCAAACUCUAUCAAAUCAUCAUUAUAUUAGUCAUAUAAGGGCAUACCAAAACGUGACACACACAGUCUAAAGAAAGAGAAGACUCCAAUCAAGUAAAAUAAAUCCAUGAAAAAUGUUACUCAAGCUAUGCCAAUACAAAUAAAGUUUGAUCGUGUAUUGACCUUGAAAUGAAAUGGAAUGAGCAAAAUCAAAAUCAACAGUUCAAAAACAUUUGGAUUAAACAAAUUUUUGGAUAAGAAUAAUUAUGUCAAAGAAAAGAGAGCCACGAACGCAAGAGUGUUGAAUUAGUACACAUCCUUCUUGGAAAUUUGACCUAUUGAUAAUAAUAGAGGCUCUCAAAAGUGUUAUGGAAAAGGUCUCAUUCCAGGCUUCAAUGAUACACAACAGCAACAAGAGGUUUGGCUUCAGCUUAUCAAGAGAAAACUAUUUGUCAAAGAUUUAUAUUCCAUUUGCCGACCCUUAUGUACACAAAAUGCAAGAGCAUGUCCACGAAUUUAGAUACCCCCUAUAAGCUAUUGGCAUUUAGAUGUUGAUGCUGUGACAAAAAGGGUAAUUUCAUAAUUUUUCUCUACAAUGUUUGCCAAUGUGUCAACUACACAACAGGUGGAGCCACAGAAACUUUCUAAAAAAAGUAAUAUAAUUAGAUGUCCAUUUUGACCCAUAAAAUUCAGCAGCUAAAUUUAAAAGGAACUGUUCUUGGCAUGUACAUUUGAACACUAACAAAACCAAAGUCAAAAUCACAAAUUUCUUUUCAGAGCAAUUACUCCAAGGGUUAAAAAUCCAGAUAAUAAUUGAAUCAGUGACAGGACACCAAAAAGGGAAUGUGCAGGUCCAUAUGGCUAGCGACAGUAGAAUAUAAGCAAAGAAAUAUCUGAACAUAAAAAGGAUGUUUCUAACAAUCUUACCGUAAAGAUGUAGAGCUAAGCUAUCUCCCAAAAUAUAGUCAGCUAAAAGAAGUCUUUCUUGUUCUCUUGGACCCCAAUAAUAUGCUCGUAAAGGAACAAUGCUUUUAUGCCUCAUUGAUCCUAUUCUUUUAACUUCCUUGGCAAAUUCCUUCUUAUGUUUGACCAGCCCCACACGUAACCACUUAACAGCCAGCAUAUGUCCACUAUCCAGAGUAGCUUUAUAUAGUGUUCCAUGGCUGCUUCUACCGAGAACUUCAGCUGGGGCUCUGGAUAGUUCCUCAGCAGUGAAUAGCAGUGAAUUGUCCAGAAAAAACAAUUCUCCAGCUAAACGAUCUGGUGAAUACACAUCUAGUGUCACAGGUUGUUCACGCCCGUCAACAAACUGGUGUGAGGAAGAUAAUGGGGAACCUGGGGAGGAAUUUUUCCCAGAAGUAACAGGAUCGUCGAGUAAAUUAGGAAUAAUCAUUGAUGAACUCGCUGCAGCACCUCCAGGUAAAACAUGUUCAGAAAUCUCAGAAGAGAAUUCUGCCUGCCCAGAUAAUGUCCUUGAAGUGGAGGUUAGUAAAUGGUCAUUUGAAAAACUUGAAGAGGUUGGUGGAGGCUGAUUGUUUGGUUGGAACUUGAAAAUGGAAGGCCUGAAACGUUCUAUCUUAAUGUUCCUUUCAGUACCUUGGCCGCUAAAUAUACUUCUUCCAUGGAACUCUUUAAGUUGUGCUCUAUGAUAAGCAAGUAGAAGAAAAACAAUCAUCACAACUGCUCCAACUGAGGCAAGAAUAAUAGCUAUUUGGAUAUUAGCUUUAGAAGUACGACGUCUUCCAUGCUCAGGGAAAUUAUUUGGAAUCGAGUUCUCUGAACCUAUCUCUUUUGGUAAGUUAAGCUUAUCAUUUCCUGGACGAAAUGAUGAGAUGGGGAAGUUCCUUAAAUUAUCUGGAACGUCACCUGAGAGAUCAUUGUAGGAUACAUUAAAAACAUGUAGGUCGGGAAGCAUACCAGGAAUUUCACCUGUAAAUUUGUUGUUUGAUAAAUCAAGGUACUCCAAGUUACUCAAUCUGGUCAAUUGAUCUGGAAGUGGCCCUGAUAAUUCAUUCUUAGCAAGAUUUAGCAAUUUGAGCCUCGCCAGUUUAUCUAUUUCAGAAGGCAACCCACCAAUCAACGAGUUAUUGGAUAGAUCAAGAUAUUCCAAUGGCAGAUCUGAUGGUUUAACUAACAACUCGCUAACACUUGAGCCUUGAAGGGGAAUGGGACCGGUUAGCCGGUUUCCGGACAGAUUGAGGCUGAUCAAGGUAACAGAUGUAAAGAAACUAGCAGGGACAGUACCGCUAAAACCAUUUAAACUGAAGUCAACUGCAGACAUGCUAGGAUAGUUCACCAAUGUAAACGGCAAAGGGCCUUCUAAGGAAUUAUUUCUGACAUUAAGCACCUUCAAUCCCUGAAAGAAGGAAGUUAUGUUUGGGAAGCUUCCCGAGAACUUAUUUGAACUUAAAUCAAGAACUUCAAAAUUGGCUUCCCAAGAUUGCAAAACUGAUAUGUCUCCCGACAAAUUAUUUGAAGAGAGGUCCAAAAAUUUCAAAGUAGAGGAGUCAACCCGAAGAUUUGAACCUGCAAGGCAAAUAAUGAAUUAUGUUCAGCAAAGUAUAAUAUCGACCUAGCCACACGAAUGACCGUAUAGGUUCAUAAAAACGAAGUUUAUUUGCACAUGUAGUGGAUAAAUCUUCUUAAAAGUUCAUUAUUGAAAUGGUGACAAGUCUUCAUGUAGUACAGAAAAAUACAAUAAAUGGACCUUUCUUGAAACCAGUUGAACUGAAUAGAUUAUUAGUCUAUGAACACGACAUCUCCAUAAAUGUGAUUUAGUGAUUUCGUAUAUAGACUAGCAAAUAAUGGUCUUGCAAAUAUAAUCAAACAAGAGAAAUUAUUGGUUAAAUUUCCAACCAUUAAUUGCAUUUCCAAACCUCGCAAAAGAAGAAAAGGAGAAGAAGCAGAAGAAAGAAAACCCCUUAUAUGCAUGCCUUGGGAAAAUCCCAGAGAGAUGAGAGAUCUAAGUUCGGAGAACAUAAAUUUGAAACUUAAAAGCAUCUUCUCACGGUCAAUAAAUUUCCGGUAAGUCAUAAAUAGUGAAAUAAUAAGUCAAGUGAUUCUUUACCUGUAAAUGCAUUACCACUAAGAUCCAAUUCCUCCAAUUGCAAGGACCUGUUUAACAGUUCCCCAGGCACCGAGCCAGAU